UUUUUUUUUUUUUUUUUGUGUUGGAUUGCAUCCUUUUUUUUUUUUGAUUAAGUGUUGGAUUGCAUCCUAAAGUUGCUCAAUAAACCACACAAAUCAAAAUCAAUAGGUUAUUUAGUUUUAGAAAGUUUUCAUCCGAUUUUAAUAUCAAUAAAUUCCAAAAUAUUUUAGCCGAAAAUAAAAAAAUCAAUGGGUCAUGAUGUUUUAUUUUUAUUGCUUCAGAUUGCAAAUAAAGUUGCUCAAUAAACCACACAAAUCAAAAUCAUAGGUUGUUGAGUUUAAAAAGUUUUAAUCUGAUUUUAAUCCCAAUAAAGUCCAAAACCUUUUUUCAAAUAAAAAAGCUACACAUCUAUGAGAAAAAUAUACAAUUUGAUAAGGUAUCAAUCGAUCAAUGUUACAAUAAAAUUUUGUAUUAGAUAAAAUAUUAUUAAAUUUAUAUAAUAUAAAUCACGGAUUGGCCAAAAAAAAUCAAUUUGAUAGGGUAUCAAUAGGUCAAUGUUGCAAUAAUAUUUUGUAUUAGAAAAAUUAUUAUUAAAUUUAUAGAUUUUAUUGGUUCAAAAAAAACCAAUUUGAUAGGGUAUCAAUCGGGCAAUGUUACAGUAAUAUUUUGUAUUAGAAAAAUAAUUAUUAAAUUUAUAUAAUAUAGAUUUCAUUAGUUCAUAAAAAAAGUUUAUGGAUUGGAAAAAAAAAUCAAUUUAAUAGAGUAUCAAUCGGUCACUGUUACAACAAAGAAUUGUAUGAUUACAAUGAUUUUGAGAUGACACAAUAUACAAUUAUAUUGCACAACUUAUGCUACGCACGAGUCGGAUUAAUCACCCACUUUUGAUGGAUGAGAAACCGUUGUGAAAGACAAAAAAAAAAAAUGGAUUGAUUUGAUCUCGGCUUAUGUGGCGAAACUUUGAUUUGAUUUAUUUCGGCUUAUUUUAGCAAUUGCAUGAAAUUUAUUUUGAGCCAUCUUUAUUCUUCGUAAGAUAAAACCAAAAUGAUGCGAUCAUGUUUUUUGAAUAAAAUCUUAGAGAAGCAUUAACAGUACAAUAAUCAAUAUAUAUUCAUUUUUUUUUUGAACAAAUCAAUAUAUAUUCAUUUGUUUAUAUUGUUGAUUACAAUUGUUAUAAAUAACCAAUUAAGAUGUUUAAGCUUAUAAUGCAAUCUUUACAUUUUUUAUUUAUACAAAUAAUUGAAUCAUACGAUAUAUAUAUAUAUAUAUAUAUAUAUAUAUAUAUAUAUAUAUAUAUAAAAGAUUUAAAAAAGAUCAACUAUAUGAUCGAUAUAUGAUUCGACCAUUGAUUCUUUAAAUUUCUUUAUGCAAAUGGAGAUAUUGGGAACGUAUGCGAAUGAAGAUACCACGAACUAAUUCAAACAAACUAUCGACUAUAUAAAAAAGAUCUAAAAACAUAACAAAGUCGAAUGAGAAAUAUCAGACAUGAAAUUAAUUUUCGGUGUUAUUUGGAUUGUAAAGAAAUAAGAAGAAGAAACAACAAAUAGAAAGACAUAUGGAGUUGUGAUGUGAAAAAAUUGUUAAACCAUAGGUCUAAUUUAUAGUAAUUUUUACAGGAUAUUUUGGUAAAAUGAUCACAUAUAAUUUCAAAUAUUCAUUAAUUUCACACUUUUUUUUGUCUUGCUUUAACUUUUUUUUUUUUUUUUUCGGUUACUUUUAUUGCCUCACCAUUUACAUAUGGACGUUUCCUUAACUGUUUUUUUUUUUUUUGGCUUUUCAUCCAUUUUUGAUUUUUUUUCGGUUACAACUUUGCCUCUCAACAAAUCCUCACAUUUAUAUCACUUUGAUUUUUCCCUAAAAAAAAAAAUCACUUUGAUUUUGGAAAAAGAGAAAACUUAGGUACAAUUCCUUAGGUGCUUUUCAUAUGGUUCUUAACUAAAAAUACAUAUUUUUUUGGAUAUAACAAACUUUGAAAAAAUUAUGGAUUUGAGAAAAUCAUGAUGAAUUUAGUUAAGAACCAUACGAAAAGCACCUAAGGAAUUGUACCUAAAUUUUCUCUUUUGGAAAAUCCGUUUUUGAUUGUACAUUUUUAUAUAGUUGACUAUCAAAAUUAGAAGUUUUUCUUCUUCUUUUUUUUUUGCCUCAAUAAAUAUUUCUUUAAUUUUUUUCCCUAUUGUUAAGGAAAUCAAAACAUAUCGUGUUUAAUUGUUUUAAUGCAAUUACAUAUAAAAUAUGUUUGACAUAGUUUCAAACAAAAUAUAUAUUUUUUGAAUAAAUUAAACAAAUAAAUUGUAUCACAUUAUUAUUAUUAUGAAAAUAAAAAUUAAGAUAUUGAUUUCAAUGAAAAAUAUGAUGUUAUUUAAAAAAAAAUUAAAAUUGUCUGACAAUAUUAUUAUUAUUAUGAAAAUAAAAUAAAAAUUAGUUAAGUUCAUUAAUUCGUUAAUUUUAUUAAUUCAUAAAAGCAUAAAAAUGUGAAUUGGUUAAAAAGAAACAUGAGUUGAUAAGGUUAUAUUAUUUUUCAAUUUUUUUUUGUUUAGUUUAAAACUUAUAUAAGCUAUAUUAAAUCGUAUUUUUAUUAUUUGGCAUAUAUCAAUUGUUUGAUCUCUUUGACAUUAAAAUAUUUAAAUUUUAUUAUUUGUUUUAAUAUAAUAUCUGAAAUUAAAUAUUUAAAUUUAAAAUUAUUUGAUUUAAAUCUGUAUUAUUUGAAUUCAAAAUGUUUGAUUUUUAAUUUAAUAUGAAAUAUUAGAAAUAAAAUUGAAUUUGAAUUUGAAAAACUUCCUUUUAUUCAUAAGCAUUAAAUACAAAUUUGUGAGGAUGAAUGUAGUGAGAGCAUUUUGUGAGGAAUAAUAUGGUGAAAACAUUUGUAAAAAAGAAAGGAAAUUGUGGCAACACCAAAACAAUAAUAAUUCAUUUCCAUAAAUGUCUAUGAAAUGGGUCCUAAAUUUAUAUAGAUAUAGAUUCAAUCUCCAUAGCUCUUAAUUACCUUCAAAAUUUUGCUAUUUACGUGUGCAACUUUAUCAACAAAUGAAUUAACCACAUAUUUAAUAACAAGAUGUCCAAGAUAUUUCAAAGAUGCAAGUUGCAAUUUAUGCGUGCAACAUUUCUUUGUAUAUUUAUUAUUUUGUCAGAUGUAGUUCCAUAAACCAUUAUUGAGCCAACAAACAAGUACUAUUAUUAGUUAUUACAACCAUUGUUGAGCCAACAAACAAGUACUAUUAUUAGUUAUUACUACCAUUAUUGAGUCUUAACUCCUUAAUUGCAAUUACUACUAUAUCCUUGAAUCUUCAUUGCUCUUAACUUUCUUUCCUCCUUGAAUCUUCAUUGUGGUAAAUAUUAACUUUCAAAUAUCUUUAAAAAAUAUCAUAAAAAAAUAUUUAGAAGAUAUUAUAGGAAAUAAUUGAAAGUGUGUUGUUAGGAAACAUGGCAUCCAUGGAAAGAAGGAGAGAAAACUAACAAACUUUUUGUAUUGAUGGAAAUGAAAUAUUACAAAUGAGUGGAAGUAACCAUCUAAUAAGGUGGUUACAAGUUAUUUAUACUACUCUCUACUAGAACUAAUAUGCCACUAAUCUAUAUCUCUAAUAUGUGUUUUGAAAUAUCAUUUACGUUCAAACUUUCAUUUAGUAAAUGCUAUAAUUUUCAGUAAUGAUAUACUCAUCAGUUAUUACAUUUAGAAAGGGUUAUCAACAUAUUAUAGAUAAGAAAGGUUAUCAACAUACUCUCAGAUAUAUUUAUUUUUAAUUUUAACACAGGUGAUAAGAAAAAUGACAUAUGCUACGUUUAUUUUUAGUAUAUGAGAGGACUUUAACGAGAAAUUGCAUAUUUGAAUCACUUUCCUAAAGUAAAUAUUAACCACUGCUGAGCUUUUGCUUUCCAGCUUUCAAAUUUUGUUUCUUACCUAACCAUUGAAAAACAAUAAUGUUAUCCAUUCAUAUAAGUGUUCUUGAGUCUACCCUUUACUAUAUGCACUUCAAGCCACUCAAAAAUAAGAGAUUUAAGGUUUGGGGUUGGUUACGUAAAGUGAAUGUAUUAGUACACUAAACGUCUAUAGUAUGCUACAUGAAUUUCUUGUAUUUUUUUAUUUUUGACUAAAAUUGAUUAUUAUUUGCUUGCGAAAAAGAUUAGUGAGAUAACAAAAAAAGAAAAUAUUUUGUUAUAUUUUUUGAUUUGGAAAGACGAAGUCUUUUGCCUCCGUACCCGCGAAGGAUUAAAAUCACGUAGUUCGGGGUAAAAAGCCGAGUGAUUUGUUCGAUGUUUUUUAAUCGUUUUUGAAAAGGUUUUAAAAAAUAAAAGCCAAAAGGCAAAAUGAAAGUUGUUUAGUGUUUUUUCAGUUUUAAGAAAAAAGUUUAAAUAUGUUUGAAAUGGAUUAAAGUUUUUAUUAAAGAAAAUAAGAAAGGGAAAUUCCUUGAUAAGAAUCAAGGGUUUUUUAGAAAAAAAAAUAGUUCUUUUUUUUUUUGAAAUUUGUUUUGCGACUACUUGAAUAUUUUGUUGAUUUUUCAAUAAAAGCCUAAAAGAAAUAAAAAUUGAAAAUAACGACGAUUAACGCACGAGGAAACCGUAGUGUUUCCCUUGGAUAAUAACGAAAACUACCUAAUAUGAGAAAGUGAAGUUUUUGAGUCCUAAGUACCAUUAGAUGACUAUUGAAUCCAAUAUUGAUAAGUCUAUUUUUGAAAUUGAGAGCAGAGUAGUUGUGAACAGAAUUAUUGGAUCCAUACAGAACUUUUCAAAAUAUGGAACAAUCUCAUUUUGAGUGCCAAAGACUAUCAAAGUCUAUGCUUUUCAACUACAUUUUUAUAUGUGAAUCAAUCAUAAUUUUUGUAUCAACUACAUGAAUCAACCAUAAUUUUCAACGUGAGUUGAAUUAAUUAUCUAUCCAAUUGAAUUAACCACAUUUUUAUACGUGAUUAACCAGGUGUCGUAAGUGUAUGAUAAAAUAUGUGCAUGAGGACCGAUAUCUUCUUUGGAAUAUAGAAGUCUACGGUCUUCAUAUUGUCACUGGCCAUAAAGUCAAGAGGAGGACAACGAGGUUUUAUUUCUAGGCGAGUUUUAGCAUGAGGCAAUUGUCAAAUUGCUCUAUCUUAGAUCAAUUUUGUUUUAUUUGCUAUUAGUUGUACAUCCUGAAUUUUUAUAUUCCAAUUUAUAACCAUAUUCAAUUAUAAUAUAUUAGUUUUAAUUUUAAUUUAACGAAGACUAAAAUAUUUUGAAGAGACAAAAAUGUCAUUAUUUAUAAGAACUAAAAACAAAUUUAGUUAUAUUUAUAAGCACCAACAAUAUAUUUAACCCUAAUUAAUAUUAAAAAGUUUUGUGGAUGGGAUUAAUAUUAAGAUACAAACUAAAUUUAUUUCUUUACAAAUAAUGUAGUAAAUAUAUAUUUACGCCAUAUUUUUUUUAGCCCAGAUUUAAACAUGUCUAUAUUUUCAAAUUUAAAAAAAAAAUGUUUUCAAAUGAAAAAAUCAUUGAGAAUGAGCUGGACCUAUUAGAUUUUUAAACGAAAGAUUAAAAAAUAAUGUAUUUACAAAUAAAUUAAUUUGAGUCAAAUUAUAAUUGAGUAAGGCUAUAAAUUAGAAUUUUUUUUUCUUCUAAGGAACAUGAUCAUUAGAGUUUUAAAUAAUUUUGAAAUAAUGGUCCAUAAACCCAUAGUUUUGAAAACCGGACCGGACCGGCCGAUCGAACCAGUCGGACCGUGAACCGGAGGGGUAACCGGUUCGGUUGACAUAUUGGAUCGGUCAUGCAUUUAAACCGAUGAGAACCGGCAUGAACCGGAAAAACUCGGUUAAAACCGGCGAACCGGCGGUUUAAUGAGCUGACCGGUUUUUUUAAUGAACAAUUGUUUUAUAUAUCAAAAAAUUAAAAAUUGGUGCAGCUGGGGAUCGAACAGCCGCGCAUGCAUUCACUAAGGCACUAAGAACCACUGCACCACUUUCGUUUGUUGUGAUAAAAUAUUGAUUCAUAUUGAUUAUAUAUUAAUUCAAAAUACCAUAUUGAUUUUCCAUUCAAAUAUUUUCGUCAUUUUUUUUUAAUACCAUAUUGAAUAUUGAUUUUUUUGAUUAUAUAUUUUCCAUUCAAAAUACCACUUUUUUUUUUAAUACCACUAAGGCGCGCAUGUAUUCUCUUUUUAUUUUUUAUUCUAUCUUCAUAAUAUAUUAUACAAGUAAACGUUUCUAUUUUUUUUAAAGGGAACCAAACACUCUUUUUUAUUUUAAGGAAUCAAGCUCACUCUUAUCAUUUAAAUAUUAUUGUCCGACAUCUCAAAUAUUUUAAUAAACAUUUUUUUUACAAUAUUUUUUUUGAAAGAAUAGUUUUAUUUUACUAUAUUUAUUUGAAUAUGUAUUACUCUCUUCGUCCAUAUAUUUAAACACCCAUUUGAUUUUAUUUUUGUCCUUAAAUGUAAACAUUUUUUAAAUUACAACACUCAUUAAUUAUUUUAGUUUCUAAAGUGACCGAGUCACCGAUUCAAUCCGAGUUAAUCCGGUUAAAUAACUAUAUAAAUUUAAUCUAAGGACCGAAUUAUCUAACCGAGUCAUCCGAGUGGUUCCGAUUCAGUCAUGCGGUUCGACCAUUAACCCAUUGACCCAGUACCCCCGCCGAGUCGAUGACCGAGCCGAGUUUUAAAACUAUGCAUAAACCACUAAUGAUCUUUGCCGACAAACAAGCAUUAUUACUAUUACUACUCAUUCACAUGUGAGUUUUAUUGAGUCUUACCUUUACCAUAUGUACUGCAAACCAUCCAAAAACAGUACUGUUGUCGGUUCAUUCAUAUGCUAAAUCCUCUUCAGUCUUAACUCCUUUACCAUAUCUCCAAUACGAUAUCCUUGUUAAGGACACUCAUUGAAAGAAGAAAAAACGAAUCCCCGUUAAGGAACAGACAACUAUAUAAAAAUCCUCCCUCUCCUAAACAACUAACGGAUCCUACGUUUAAAAGAAGUAAUAAAAUAUGCACUAUUUAGUGCCACUUAUAAAAAAGUAAUAUUUUUCAACAAUCAUAUACUUAUCAGCAAAUGAUUAUUACAUUUAUCUCUUUUGUUGGGUAAUACUACAUUUAUAAACACAAUAUUACAUUAUUUUUUAAUUUUCACACAGGUGAUUAGAAAACUGAUAGUAUGAUGGUAAAGGAAUAAAAGUGUAACUUAUCACCAAAUGAUUCCGAUUGCUUUAAUUGAGUGUGCAAUAUUAAACAAUGAUUAUUUCUUUUGCUUUGUAUCAAUUAUUUUGAAGGAUGUGGGUCCAAUAUUAAACAAUGAUGACCUUUGCUAUAUGCACAAUCAACCAUUCAUUCACAUGCAAUUAUUUCUAUCAUUCAAUCUUCAUAGUUCUUAAUUUCCUUCAAAAUUUCAUCUAAAACUUUUUUCCUUGCUGCUUUACUAUAACCAAUCAGAGAUGGCUGCAGCUUUGGUUGGAGGUGCGUUUCUGUCUGCUUCUGUUCAAACCUUAAUGGACAAACUAACUUCACCCGAGUUUCGUGAUUAUUUCACAAGAACAGAGUUGAAUGAAUCAUUGAUGUAUGAGAUGGAAACAAGUCUACUUACUCUUGAGGUUGUACUAGAUGAUGCAGAGGAGAAGCAGAUCCUCAAACCCAGAAUCAAACAAUGGUUGGAUCGGUUAAAAGAUGCAAUCUAUGAUGCUGAGGAUUUGCUCAAUAAAAUCAGCUACAAUGCCCUACGAUGCAAGCUGGAGAAGAAACAAGCUAUCAAUUCUGAAAUGGAGAAGAUUACAGAUCAGUUUCGGAACUUGCUUUCAACUUCAAACUCAAAUGAAGAGAUCAAUUCUGAAAUGCAGAAGAUUUGUAAAAGGCUGCAAACUUUUGUCCAGCAGAGCACCGCCAUCGGCUUGCAACACACUGUAAGUGGUAGAGUUUCUCAUAGACUGCCUUCAAGUUCAGUGGUAAAUGAAUCUGUCAUGGUGGGUAGGAAGGAUGACAAAGAGACAAUAAUGAACAUGUUGCUAUCACAGAGAGAAACAACCAACAAUAAUAUAGGUGUUGUUGCAAUUUUGGGCAUGGGAGGUUUAGGAAAAACUACCCUUGCUCAACUUGUUUACAAUGAUAAAGAAGUUCAACAACAUUUUGACAUGAAGGCGUGGGCUUGUGUGUCUGAGGAUUUUGAUAUUAUGAGAGUAACCAAGUCUCUCCUUGAAUCAGUCACUUCUAGAAAUUGGGAUAUCAAUAAUCUUGACAUCCUUCGAGUUGAGUUAAAGAAAAUCUCGAGGGAGAAAAGAUUUUUGUUUGUGUUGGACGAUCUGUGGAAUGACAAUUAUAAUGAUUGGGGUGAACUAGUAAGCCCCUUCGUUGAUGGAAAACCUGGAAGCAUGGUGAUUAUAACAACGCGGCAACAAAAAGUUGCUGAGGUGGCAUGCACAUUUCCUAUACAUGAACUAAAACUUCUAUCGAAUGAAGACUGUUGGUCUUUACUCUCAAAGCAUGCAUUGGGCAGUGAUGAGAUUCAGCAUAAUACAAAUACAGCCCUUGAAGAAACAGGCAGGAAGAUUGCAAGAAAGUGUGGAGGAUUGCCAAUAGCUGCCAAAACACUUGGAGGACUUCUACGUUCAAAGGUAGACAUAACAGAGUGGACUUCAAUUUUGAACAGCGACAUAUGGAACUUAUCAAAUGAUAAUAUUCUUCCUGCUUUGCAUUUGAGUUAUCAAUAUCUUCCCUCUCAUUUGAAAAGAUGUUUUGCAUAUUGUUCAAUUUUUCCAAAGGAUUAUCCACUUGAAAGGAAGACAUUGGUUUUGCUGUGGAUGGCAGAAGGCUUCCUUGAUUGUUCUCAAGGGGGAAAAAAGUUGGAGGAAUUAGGCGAUGAUUGUUUUGCUGAAUUGUUAUCGAGAUCGUUAAUUCAACAAUUAAGCGAUGAUGCUCGUGGAGAAAAGUUUGUCAUGCAUGACCUUGUCAGUGAUUUAGCUACAGUUGUAUCGGGAAAAAGUUGCUGCAGGCUUGAAUGUGGUGACAUCACUGAAAAUGUUCGUCACUUCUCAUAUAACCAAGAAUACUAUGACAUUUUCAUGAAGUUUGAGAAAUUACACAACUUCAAAUGCUUGCGAAGCUUCAUAUCCUUUUCCUCCAUGACGUGGAAUUACAGUUACUUAUCCUUCAAGGUGGUUAAUGAUUUGCUACCAUCACAAAAAAGGUUGCGUGUGUUAUCACUAUCAAGGUAUAAAAACAUCAUCAAGCUACCAGAUUCAAUUGGAAAUUUGGUGCAGCUGCGUUAUCUAGAUAUCUCCUUCACUAAAAUCAAAAGCUUGCCUGAUACAACAUGUAGCCUUUACAAUUUGCAGACCUUGAAUUUAUCAAGGUGUGACAGUCUUACUGAAUUGCCAAUACAUAUUGGAAAUUUAGUCGGCUUACGUCACCUUGAUAUAAGUGGGACUAACAUAAAUGAGUUGCCUGUGGAAAUUGGGGGACUAGAAAACCUUCAAACUCUCACCCUUUUUUUAGUGGGUAAGAGACAUAUAGGGUUAAGUAUCAAAGAGCUAAGGAAAUUCCCAAACCUACAAGGAAAACUUACCAUCAAGAACCUGGAUAAUGUUGUUGAUGCCAGAGAGGCACACGAUGCAAACCUGAAAAGCAAAGAGAAAAUUGAGGAGUUAGAGCUGAUAUGGGGAAAACAAAGUGAAGAGUCGCAAAAAGUGAAAGUUGUGCUCGAUAUGUUGCAACCACCAAUAAAUCUAAAGAGCCUGAAAAUUUGUUUGUAUGGUGGGACAAGCUUUCCGAGUUGGUUGGGAAAUUCUUCGUUUUAUAACAUGGUAUCUCUGCGCAUCACUAAUUGUGAAUAUUGUAUGACACUUCCACCCAUAGGGCAGUUACCUUCUCUCAAGGACCUAGAAAUAUGUGGUAUGAAGAGGUUGGAGACAAUUGGUCCGGAGUUCUAUUAUGUCCAAGGAGAAGAAGGUUCUUGUUCUUCCUUCCAACCAUUUCAAUCCCUUGAGCGUAUAAAAUUCAACAGCUUGCCAAAUUGGAAUGAAUGGCUUCCCUAUGAAGGCAUAAAACUUUCUUUUCCUCGACUUAGAGCUAUGGAGUUACAUAAUUGUCCAGAACUAAGGGAACAUUUGCCUAGCAAACUUCCUUGCAUAGAAGAAAUUGUAAUAAAAGGUUGUUCUCAUCUAUUGGAAACAGAGCCAAACACUUUGCAUUGGUUGUCGUCAGUAAAGAAAAUUAAUAUCGAUGGGCUUGAUGGAAGGACCCAAUUGUCAUUGCUUGAGAGUGAUUCUCCGUGUAUGAUGCAAGAAGUAGUUAUUCGUGAAUGUGUUAAGUUAUUAGCUGUUCCAAAAUUGAUUCUGAGAAGCACUUGUCUAACACACUUGAAACUCAGUUCUCUUCCUUCUCUCACUACAUUUCCCUCAAGUGGUCUACCCACUUCAUUGCAAUCACUUGAAAUUGUAAAUUGUGAGAAUUUAUCCUUCCUUCCUCCUGAAACGUGGAGCAAUUACACAUCACUUGUGAGUCUUGAGUUAAAUCGUAGCUGUGAUUCACUUACAUCCUUUCCACUCGAUGGUUUCCCUGCCCUCCAAACACUUGACAUAUAUAAGUGUAGAAGUCUGGAUUCCAUUUAUAUUUUAGAAAGGUCUUCACCUCGGUCGUCGAGCCUCGAAUCACUUACUAUCAAAUCCCAUGAUUCAAUUGAAUUAUUUGAAGUCAAGCUUAAGAUGGAAAUGCUCACCGCUCUUGAAAGGUUGUUUCUAACAUGUGCAGAGUUGUCAUUUUCUGAAGGAGUUUGUCUACCUCCCAAAUUACAAUCAAUUGAGAUUUCUACCCAAAAAACAACACCGCCGGUUACGGAAUGGGGUCUCCAAUAUUUGACAGCACUUUCCUACUUGACUAUUCAAAAGGGUGAUGAUAUAUUUAACACCUUGAUGAAGGAGUCAUUGCUACCCAUCUCCCUUUUGUAUCUACGUGUCUUUGAUCUCUCUGAAAUGAAGUCCUUUGAUGGAAAUGGGCUUCAACACCUCUCCUCUCUCCAAUAUCUCUGUUUUUUCUUUUGUCAUCAACUUGAGACAUUGCCAGAAAACUGCCUCCCUUCCUCGCUGAAAUCACUUCUAUUGCUUGGAUGUGAAAAGCUAGAGUCAUUACCAGAAGACAGCCUCCCUUCCUCUCUUAAACUACUCGCUAUCGAGUUUUGCCCAUUGUUAGAAGAAAGGUAUAAAAGGAAGGAACAUUAGUCCAAAAUUGCUCACAUCCCUUUCAUAAGAAUAAAUGAUGAAGUCACAAUAUGAUAGACAAGUUGUGUUCCCAUUUCAGGUAUGUUCCACAGUUCCUACCAGAAAGCCAAUAAUCAAUCAUCUGUACGACACACCUCUUAAUAUUUUCAUAUCAUCUCAUGGGUCCUCUGCUACGUAUGUUUUUUUUUAAAAGAUGAAUUUUUAAAGACCAAUUUUUGUAUACAUUUUGCACACAAUAUUUUAUUUUGUUUUUUUUUUUAUUUCCAGAAUCAAUUAAUGUAGCUCGGGUAGUUUGAUAUAGAACUACAUAAGUCUUGUUGGAAAACUGGUUUCUUAUUAAUUUUUGGGCUUAUAAAACCAUCUUUGGUCUGUAAUAUUUGCACAGAAUCAAAUCUUAUGCACAUUUGAUGAAUAAAGCUGUAACUGCUACAUUUGUCUCAGGAAAUCAUAUCAAAAAUCAAUCUUUUACUUCUAUAUUUGGGAUAAUUCAACUGAGAAAUCAGCAGGAAAAACUCAAUAUGUUUUGUAAACAGUAAUCUAAAUGGAAUUGUCGAAAGAACAUUUUCUACAACAAUAAAAAUUUAACAAUCAUGUCCUUGGAGCUAAUCAAAGGAAAAUGCUUAUUUCAUCUUUUCAGAAGAUCAAAGUUCAAAGGCCUAUGUGGAUGAUAAUCAGCUCACUUGAUGAAUUGAAGAAAAAUGCUUAGUUGAACUUAUUUGAGAGGACCCAAAUGCAUGGUUGCCAUUGAUUGCCACAAGAUCGGUUUGUAUUUUAUUAUCAUUUGAAUGUUUCGUAAUAACCUGCAUGAUCCGAUCAGACAAAGUACAAUGUAGUAGGAUUUGUAAUAUUCUUAAUUUGUAACUUUUUUUUUCGGACGUGAUUCUUAAUUUGUAACUUUAAGCGAAUGCUCAUAUGAUAAAACCAUUCUCUGCUAAAUAUUCUUGUUGGCUGGUUUAUUUACCACAAAAAAAAGAAAAAAAAACGACCCUUUAGUAACCUUUCUGAUCAACAAUGCCUCAAAAAAUCCUACAAUAUCUGCUUCCCAAUUGGUAAGUAUCUUAAGAAGCUUCAUAACCCUUUGCUUCCUCUCAACCAUAAUCUACUGUAUUAAUUUAAUGUAAACCUUAGGACUUAUAACUCAAAAUUUGUAUAUCCUACUAAAUCAUGCUUUCAUAAUGAUCAAACUUCAAAUGAAAAUAUAUUAUUUUAGUAAAAUUUUGAAGAAGUAAACUAUUUGCUCGCAAUGACCCGUAUAAACUUUUCAUAUAAAUAAAUGGGAAACUUGUUGUCCAUAUAUCACUAGUACUUUUCUUUUAUGCCGAAAAUAAUGACUAACAUCACUCUUUUUUUAAUUUUUUUUUUAUGGGGAACAAAUUGUCCCAAUUAUUUCUAGUAUCAACAUAAAUGUUCCUUAUUUAUUUUUUUAAACAAUACACGUGACACAGUGAAAGUCGGUAAGACAACCUAACGACCACAUAUGUCUAGUCAUGGUUAAUAAAUAGGAAGAAAAAAACUUAUUGAGAUUGUCUUGUUUAAUUUUGUAAGGGACUGAAUAGAGUCUUUUUAUUUGUCAAGGACUCAUUUGAUCCCUUCACAUUUUUUUUAGAAACCCUACAUAUAUUUUGUUAGCGACCAAAACCAUCAACGAUUUUCUCAAAAAAAAAAGUUAAUAGUGUUUUUCACCCCUGUAAUAUAUGUCAUUUUCAAUUUUCGCCCCUGUAAAAUUUCGGUUUGAUUUGCAUCCUUGUAAAACUUUUUUUUUCCAAAAAACACUUCUCCCCCAUCCAACUCAACAAAUUCACUUACGUGGCGCUGAUUUGCCAUUUUUUUUUCAUUUUUUUUUAUUUUUAAUUAUCCACGUGUAAAAAAAAAUCCACAUCAGAUUUUACAUUAAAAAUAUUUGAAAAUAAAAAAAAUCAUAAAAAUAUUCAGUUUUUAUUCCAAAAAUUUAAUAAAUCGAAAAAUAAUUUUUAAAAAAUUCACAAAAAAUAUUAAGAUUUUUUCCAAAAUAUAAAAAAACAGAAAAAUAGUCGUAUUUUUUGGAAAAAUCGAAAAAAGCUCAGAUUUUUUUCAAAAAUUAGAAAAAAAAAACUAUUAAGAUUUUUUUCGAUUAAAAAGAUUUAAAAAAAUUCUGGAAUUUAAUUUUCAAAAUACAAAAAAAGUAAGUUUUCAAAAUUAAAAAAAAAAAAAAAAAAAAAAGGUCAGAUUUUUUUUAAAAAUUGUGGAAAAAAAUUUAAUUUUUAAAAAUCUGGAUACAAAUUUAGAGGGUUUUGAAAAAGUCGUGGAAAUUCCAAUUUUCCUAGAAUUAAGCUUUUCCUUAGAGGAGGUAGUAAUCAUAAAUCUUAUCUUUGUGGAAUGAAAUGAUUUUUUUCCCAAUAUUUUAUUAAAAUUGUGGAAUAAAAUUUUCGACUAAAAAAUCUGUAUUUUUUCUAUAUUUAUAUACAAAUUUUUUAAAAAAAAUUCAGAUUUUUUUUUUUAAAAAUCUGACCUAUUUGGUAAUUUUUAAAAUUUGCUUUUUUUUUAUUUUGAAAAUUAAAUUCAAGAAUUUUUUAAAAUAUUUUUAAUUUUUAAAAAAAUCUGAUUAUAUUUUCUGAUUUUUUCUAAUUUUUGAAAAAAAAUAUAAUUUUUUUUUCGAUUUUUAAAUUUUUUGGAAACAAAUAUGACUAUUUUUUUGUUUUUUUAUAUUUCUGAAAAAAUCUUAAUAUAUAAGAAGAUAGAAGAUUAGGUGUGAGCAUUAGGGUUAAAACAGUAAAAUUAUGCAAUAGGGUUUAGGUUAAAAUUAGGGCUUACAUGUUAACUUUAAUAUAUAAGAAGAUAGGUGUGAGCAUUAGGGUUGUUCAUGAAAAUAGGAGAUUAGGUGUGAGCAUUAGGGUUAAAACAGUAAAAUUAUGCAAUAGGGUUUAGGUUAAAAUUAGGGCUUACAUGUUAACUUUAAUAUAUAAGAAGAUAUUGUUUAGGUUAAAAUUAGGGCUUACUAGUUAACUUUAAUAUAUGAGAAGAUAUAUAAGAAGAUUAGGUGUGAGCAUUAGGGUUAAAAUAGUAAAAUUAUGCAAUAGGGUUUAGGUUAAAAUUAGGGCUAACAUGUUAACUUUAAUAUAUAAGAAGAUAAGAAGAUAUGCAAUAAAUUUAGGUUAAAAUUAGGGCUUACAUGUUAACUUUAAUAUAUAAGAAGAUUUUGUACAGAAUACUAGAAAAAUUCAUCGCACUAAUUUCAUGCCUUUUUUUUUUACAAUAUUUUGCACACUUUUUUUUAACCAAUUCCAUGCCUUUAUUCCAUCCCUAACAUGUUGCCUUUUUUUUUUUUACAAUAUUUUCUACACUUAUUUAAUACAUUUAUAGAUGGAAUACCCUAAUUUCCAUACAAACUCGGCUACCUUAAUUUUCAUGUAAACUUAGUUAUAUAUACCAAGCCCUAAACGUGUUUCUCUAAAAAAAAAAAAAAAAAAAAACUUAAACCGUGUAAAAAUUUCACACACAACACAAAAAUCAUAUAUUUUAAUAUUUAGAACUUUACAAAUGGAAAGACGCGACAUUACAACUUAUUUUUUUCAUCGUUACCAAUUAUAUAUUACAUUUUAUUAUUCGUAUGUCAAUCCCUUUACAAUAAACCAGAGCGAAGUACGGGUCAAAAAUCUAGUUAUAAAUAAUGGACAAUUAAUGUGGCGUUUUGGAGGGAUUAAGGUUUAGGGUUGAAUAGCGUCUUAUUUUUAAUUGACUAAGAGCUUCUUGAUGCUUAAUAUUUAGGGUCGUGCGUGAAAGUAGAUUUGGAGAACUUUAUCUCUUGCUUUCACCGCAAUCUUUCUUCUUGUUGUUUUCAGAGCUCUUAAGUAGUUCUUCGUUUCACCAGUCACCACAAAUAAGGUUGAAUCACUGCCAAGGUUUUGCAUCAUCACCAUUUGUAUUCUAGUAUGUCGUUGUGGACUUAAGUCAGUUGGUAGGAAUAAUGCAUAAUAUAUAAAGGUCCGGGUUUAAACUCCAACCACCACAAAAUGGGCUGGGCCGUAUGGGCCGGCCCGUUUAGCCCGAAUAAAUAUAGGGCUCGGGCCUAAAAUAUUGAGCCCGAAUUUUAAUAGGGCUUUUUAGCCCGGCCCUUAAAAGCCCGUUACCCGUUAGGGCUAGCCCGUUAGCCCGCAUAACAAAAAAAACUCCUAUAAAUUAUAUAUAUUUUUCAAAUAAUUCUUUUCUUAGUUGAUUAUCAAAGUAAAAAACAAAAGUGAAAAUUCAAUGAAUUAACACAAAUAUAAAUGUAAUAUAAAAUUAUAUUUAUUCGCUUCGUUAUUUAUAGUUUUAAAGAUCGAAUAUAUAAAUAUCUAUAACCAUAACGUAUCUAAUUUAUUUAAAAUCAUUUUCUUCGUCGUUUUAGUUUACGACGUUUGUACAAAAAUGUUUACAAUUUAUUUUUGUGUUAGACAUUAUUUAAACAUAUUAAAAAUAUUAUUUAUAAAAAAAUUAUAGUAGUGUUUUAUAGUACUUUUUUAAAAUAAAAAAUAUAUAAUUUUUAAUACGGGCCAGCACGUUUAGCCCGCGGCCCGUGUAGGGCCGGGCUCAGGUAGUAUAUUUCAAGCCCGUUUUUCUACCGGGUUUUUUUGACCCGGCCCUAAAGGGCCAGGUCGCUCAUUUUGACAGCUCUACUCCUAGGACUAGGCGUGUUCCGGUGUCUGACACUGACACUUGUAAUUACACUAAAUUAUGUGAUUUUUUCAAAUUAUUAACUGUGUCGGCGUGUCAGUGUCCAUGUCGUAAUCGAUGUCCGUGUUCGUAUCCGUGCUUCAUAGGUACCGAUCCAAAACCCACCUUAAUCAAGCUUCAUAUAGAAGUUCUUAGUUAAAAACUUCAAUAUCUUUAUGCAGGUAACAUAUUGGCAUACCAUUUAAAUAUUUUGAGAAAUUUUUUCUCAGAGAUUUAAGUUAUUUUUUCUUUUUCAAGUAGUAUCUAACCCCAACAAAGAGCUGAACCGAAAUUACAAGCAACGUUAAUAUGACAAUAACCACAAACUUCUAUGGAAGAACAUUGCAAGACAAGCAAUUUCCACGGCAAUAUGUUUAACAACUGGAUUAAUUGGUUUUCGAAAAGGAGAAACAAAACCAUCUUGUAUGUAUUCUUUUUGCAUUCCUAUCUUGUUUUAGUGCUUAACAUUGUUUGCCUACAUGUAUUCAAUUGCGGUUGCAUACUUGUUCGUUUCACAUUUUAUUCCUCCUCCUUAUAUUCUAUUUUGGUUACUAUCUCUUUUUGAGGUUGUUAAAGGGGUUGAGAUUAUGAUGCCCCAUGUUCGAAUUCGGAAUUUCCCAUAAAAUUUCAUCACAGUCAAGAUAACAAUUUAUGUAUUUUCCUUUUUAAAAAAAUUAUGUGAUUUCUUUUGAAGGGAAAAUUUGCACUUUUGAAGGCAAACUUUUAAAGGCUUAAUUUGCACUUUUGACUUCAAACUUUUUCAAUUGUACGAUUUUGAUCCUUCUAAUUUUUUUGAGGCAUCUGUAUCCCCCACAUUUGCACCUUUUCUAAUUUCAGUCUCCCUCUCAAUUUUCCCAAUUUCAUGUUGAGUUGGCAAAUUCUCAACGAUGUGGCAUCACUGUCACUAUGCCAACAUGAAUAUUAAUAAAUUAAAACAUUAAAAACCUAAAAAAUAAUUCAAUAAACUUUAUUAAAAAAAAAAUGAAAAAUGGAGAUAAAGAAGAAGACUAGAAAACAUAUCUUUUUGUCUCUCUAUUAACCAAGUAUUUAAACUAUAUUAACUAUCUAAUGAAUAAAAAAAAAAAUUAAGGAUAUGAUAUACAUUAAUCAUCUACUAAACAUAAAUUUAAACUAUAUAUUACCCAUAUAAUAAAGAAUGAACCGUAAAUAAUUAAGUGAAUGAUUCAAGAAAAAUCAAAUUUAAGUCUUGCUCAGAUUAUAUUUAUUUAUUUUACGGUCAAACUCUAGAGAUUACUAGUCUCGAUAGGAGGAUUAAAAAAAAAAACCACUAAAAGAUUUGUGUUAAAACUCAAAAUAACAAUUUUAAAAUUUAAUAGGAGGUUGAGUAAAAAAAUAUAAUUAGUGUAAGCCAAAAAUUAUUUAAAAAUUAAAUCUAAUUAGAGAUCUAAUUAGAGGUUUGUUAAAUUACAUAUGACUUUGGAGAGACAUAAUCAUUUCCUUACAUUUGCAUAUCACACUUGAAUUCCAUUCAUCAUGCGACAGCCGAGAGAGAAAAGCCCUGGUUUGAAGAUCCUCUGGAUUUGGACUUUUGGAACCGCUGCUAGUACCUUUCUUUUCCUUGCAUUUCAUCUUCUAUUAAAUCUAAAAUCUCUUUUUAAUCUCCUCAAAAACUACUUAAUUACUUUCUUUUUUUCUUGUUGCAGUACUUAUUGCGAAUGUGAUGCGAACCAGUAUAAGAGAUUUUCAAAAUGUCUUGAACGCUGAAGAACAACAACAACAAAAUCAGCAACAAAAUGAUAACGUUGUGAUUGAUGAUUCUCGUGUUUCAGAGGAGAGGGUAGUUGAAGACUAAUUCAAUUUGUAUGAGUAUUGAUAUUUUGAUAUUUACUUGUCUUUGCUUUGGUAACGAUGUUUAAACUUGUUGAGGAUAAAUGGGCACGCAACGUGUUUGUUGAAAGUCCUAGUUGAAAACUUAAAAUCAUGUCUUGGCUAUUAAUUUCUUGUGUGUGAUUUGAAUGUUGUCCAUGACUUAAAACUUUUAAAUUGAUGCGUGAAUGUGUGGUAGUAUCAGAGACAAUUAUCGACUUAAUAAUACCAAAGUUGUGCAACUGAUCCGUGGUUGGGUCUGACAUAAGAUGUUAAACUUUCAUAAACAUGAAGAAUUAAGGUUCGUAUCUCGGUUGAGAGAAAUAUUCACAUUUAAUUGAAUUUGAAUAUGAUUCUUAGUAGAGAGAACAUGAGAAAGGAAAAAAAAAAAAUUGAAGUUGUCUAUGAAAUUAUAGCACCAAUACUAUGUGAAGAAAAAUUGAGUAAUUAUGAGUGUGAAGAAAAAUUGAUGUUGUAAGUACUAUCGAUAUUGAUGGGACAAGACAAGAUGACAUGAAGGGAAACAUGAAUCAAACUAGCAUUUGCAACUCAGAUACAAAGUAGUAAGUUACUAGUGGAUUGGUGUGGAUUGAUAUUGAUAUUGAUGAAGAACAAACGUCUACAGGCUUGGCAUUUGGUUGAUUUCUAGAUGAAGAACAAUGUCUAUGCCUUAAUAUGCUUGACCUUCGAUGGACUAUGGACUGUUAUAGGUCGACUGUAUGAAAAAUAAACGUCUACGCCUUUACAUGUUUGCCUUUUGGUGGACUAUAGACUGGUAUGGGGCAACCAAAUGAACAAUAAACUUCUAUGACAAAACAUGCUUGACGCUUGGUGGAUUGUAAUAUCUUCACUUGACUAGCUCACAAGAUCCAACUCGACAUUAAUUUGAUUGUUCAAAUCAUGUAAACUCACCCCGUUUAACAAGAUCUCAAUCAACAUUGAAAAGUGUACUAAAGAUAGAAAUUUUAUAUUAGAAAGUGCACAUUGCAUUUAAAAAAAGAAGUAAAUAUUUUUUUUUUUUAAGAUAUAAUUACUAUUCAUAGAUUCCUUAACAUUAUACUAUGUGUGUGCAAAUGUACACAUUUCACAAGUUUAGUCUUUAUUUGAGGCAUAUCACAAAUAUAAUCAUGAAUUAACUACGGUUGAUUAAUAAACUGUCAACUAAUGAAUUUAUCAAUUAAACGGCCAGUCCAAUUUUAACAUAUUAAAUAAAAAUUAAAAUUGAUUAAAGUUUUAAAUAACUUGGCCAACUUUUAUAGUUAAAAAAGGAAGCAAGCACUACACUAUCCACUAAUGCAGGAAGCACAUUGUUUCAGCAAACAAGUAACAAGUGAAGUUUUGGUAACCUAAACAAUCAAGCAACUUAACCUAAACAAUCAAGCAACUUAAAACAGCAAGACUUAUGGUGGAAAAGCCAAACACAAUAUAAUUCUUUUUCCUAGAAUCACAGUAACUCAUGACAACAGCAACCUAUUUGUUCCACUAAUUCAGUUGCUUUCUGAAGCAGGCUUCCGCGCCAAAAAGAAGUACAUUGGUGUGAAGAUCUCUCUCCUGAAAAGAUAACAUAAGCAAGUUGUGUUCGAGAAAACGCGGCUCAGAAAAACUUUCACCAGUGUUAAUCAAUUUAGUAUUUAGAGUGUGUUUAGCUAAUGAUUUAAGGUAAUUUAAAAGAGUUUUAAAGAUGGUGCACUGUUAGUGUAAACAACUGUAUACAUGUAUGAUGCAUCUAGUGAGAAUAUAGUAUUUAGACAUGUCAACCAAGGGUUCGUUUGGAUUGACUUAUUUUUUAGCUUAUGCAAAACAACUCAUGCAAAUAAAUAAACUUUUAUGUAUUAUUCAUAAGCUUCAAGGCAGUUUCUGAAAAAACAGCUUAUGAGGAUACAAAUUUCGUUCAUAAGAACUUAUGAAUUAACAUAUAAGUUUAUUUUUUUGCAUAAGUAUUUUUCAUAAGCUAAAAAAUAAGGCAAUCCUAACGGGCCUUAACUCUUGUAACAUUAUUUUAAAAUUAAUAAUGAAGUAGGAACAUGAUAUGUUUUCAUUUGAUGUCAAUGUAAAACUGAUUUGCAGUGAUAGUGUAAUGUAUGCCCCUCAAUCUUAAUUUAUAAUUUAUUUGAAUAGCUUUUUGACCAAAAUAUGUUAAAUAAAGAUAUCUCACUGAUUUUUAUCUAAUAAUUUUGGGUUAAAAUUUAACUUUUCAAUAUGUAUACAGUUUUUGCCACACAGCCUAAUUUAUCAGCAAUUCACUCAAGGCUCAGAUGCACCAAGAGUAGAGACCUAACAGUUAAAAAAUCGCCGUAUUCAUGAGAAUUGUACAUUUUGCUUAAGAUGAAAAACUAAUUCCAUGAGACAAAUGGGAAUUGAGAAACUUACUUUCCACCUUCAACUAGACCCUCUGCAGCCUUCUCAAGGAAAUCUUGAACCCUUUGACUCCCCUUCGGAGCAAGUCCAACAAACUCCAGAGCCUUCACCUACAAAUGUAAAUUCAUAACACCAAACAACUAUUGAGUUUUGAGCACGAAAAGUUAUAAAUCCAAAUAUUCUCAGCUAUGUGCAUUAUCCAAAAUGCAAAAACAAAAUGUAUGAGACAGAUUCUAACACCCUAUUUCCAACACAUUUGAUUAUCGUUUGAAUUUCACAUAGAUCUCACUAUGGGAAUCAGAUCCACAUUCAUUUGACCGAGUAACAAAGUAUUACAUAAAGUGUGUUGCAAGUAAUUCUUAAAGUGUGUAAAGUGAAAUAAACAUUAGCUAUUAUGUUCAGAAACAAUACCAUAUUUCUAGUGAAAAGGCGUCCAACAGCCGUUAGACGAAAGCUGCUAAGUGAGAAGUGACUCUUGUCUAAAGGCAAGUACCAAGGAAGAGGAGAGUCCGAAGCUAGAUCUUUCUCCCAUAUGACCUUCACAUACAAAAAGAAAAGAAACUCCCAUUUAGCCAAUUAGGCUGAUCUCUUAAAUAUUCAAAGAAAAUUUGUCAGAAAAUAAAAUAGCAUCUGAUAUUAUCUUGAUAUUAUUCUAGAAUAUCUUGGUUUAUCCCCUUCGGUAAGUUUACAGUCUUAGCGUGCCUUAGAUUAUCUCCUAGGAUCAGUUUAUAAUCGUAGCGUAACAUAGAUUAUUCACUAAUCACUAUUUAUUUAGGACUGAGUUUAUGUUUCCCUAUAAAUAGUGAUUAGUGUUUAGUCUUUUGUAUCACAUCAAUAAUAUCCAAAGUUCUUAUUAUUUUUCUCUCGUCGUUUCAUCUAAUAAAAUCCCACAACUUCAAAGAAAAAAGUAAAUAUAUAAUAAUCAUGAAAGGUGAUAACUCAUAAGAAACUGAUGUUCACCUCAAAACCUGCUUGCUUAAGAGCUUCAAGACACUUUGUGGUCAAUCUAAUGUCAGGAAGCCCAUCACCAAUCUCAAUUUCUGCCUGCAGCAAGGAAUUUUGUCUUUUAAGUAUAAUAAAGUGAAUCAAAAGAUAACCUUAAAAUUCUUUCUAUACCUUCAUAUCAUACCUUGAUUUUUUGGUGUUCUUGGUUAUUGGGAUCAAAAGAAUCAGUCAUGCACCAUUCAUAAGCAGCAAAACAUUGGCCAGGCUUUAACACUCUAUAAAUCUCUUUGUAGCAUCCAUACUAUGCAUAAUACAAAAAAAGUCAGUGUCAGAUAAAUGUUUAGUUAUGCCAAGAUUUUAAAUAGUAGAUGCAAUUGCACCACAAUAUUUAAUAUUGCAGUCAAGUGUGAAGGCCUAAUUAAGGCGUAGAGACAUCAAAAACCUGGGUGCAUGUGUAGAUAGAAACCUAUAGUAUGGAAAAAAGAAGCAUGGAUGUGAAACUAAAUAGAGUUAGAAAUAUUUCACAUACAGCAUCUGGUGCAUGGCAGGUGGCUUCAAUAGCAUACACUGCAUCAAAACUAUUGUCUUCGAAUGGCAUCUUCAUGAAAUCAGCCUGCAUUAUCAAAUAAGAUUAAGCAUGUCAAUUAUGAUUCUUAAUCAUUAUUGUUUUAUUAUCAGGUUAUGAUAACAUGUUUGUUUAUGUUUAAUUUGAAAUAAAUUUUAAGAUAAAAACUUCAGGAUUUCAAUUAUAAGUGUUGUGAAUUCAAACCCUUUGUCAAAACCAACAAGAUAAAAAAUGUGAAGCAAAUAACAAUGGCAACCAACAACCAAACAGUCCAAGCAACAAUAUUCAACCUAGAACAAAUCUAGCAACCUAUGUGUAUAGAAAAACCACAAUCAAACCAAAGAACAAAGAUAAGACACAAGCAGAUCCUAAGAGAAAUCAAGAGAGAAAACUUAGGCCCUUCCUCUAAUGAGAUCUCACUACCCAAGGUGAAUAUAAUGUGUUUCCCAACCCAAGAAUCUCACCCAAAAGCACUCAACCCUUAGCCUUUCAGUUUCCUAAAAAUUUCCACUUUUGGUCUCUCAAGAUUACACAAAAAAUAAGAAGAAUAUGGCUGAAAUAUGGCGCCUGCUGCAACGUUCUUCCGGGUGCCUCGCAGAUGACGCAGUGUCAAAAUGCCUAAAACCCCAUUUUUCAACCCGCCUCGCAGAUGGGACAGAGGCAUACCCAAAUUCCAGACUUCCAAACUUUGCAUUGUGAGAUUUUAAGGCAUACACAACAAUAAGCUUUUCUUAAAAAAAAGCACAUCCAAACAACGUCUAAAUAAAAUAUCCAGGUGUAACAUUUAUAACUGGAGUAGAACAAUUUUAAAAAUAUUGGAACAAUAUGUGUUGAAAUAGAAGACAUCCCACUCCUAAAAAACAGAAAUCAUUGAUUUAUAAAAGGCCGACCUUGACGAAGUUGCAAGUCUUGUCCACUCCAGUUUUGCGAUUGAGUGCCUGUUAAUCAGUAAAAAUUGGCCAGUUAGAUCAAAGUAUUUUAGAAAUUUUAAAGUUAUGAACUGUAAUCAUUUCAUAAAACAUGCAAAAUAAUUAAUAGUCUUUUCAUCAAUAAGGCUAAACUUAUUCUAGAGGGACUAUGUGUAUAAAAUUUAUGCCAGAGGAUUGUCAUAUAAGUACAUUUUUCAUGCCUAAACACAAUGCAUCAUGGUUGUGUGAUAAAAAUGGAACAUUACAAACAGUAACAGUUCCAGCACCUAUAAGGCUUUAAAAACUAGAUAUGAGAAGGUUAAAUUUUUUGUGUCAAUGCAUUUAAUCUCAAAACACAUACCUUUCCCCUGGUGAUCUGGUACUCAUUAUUAUUCAAUCCUGUAACAGAUGUCGAGCUGCAAAAAUACCCCUUGAUGAUUUUUGUAAGCAACUAAAGGUAAAACAAACAAGGAAGAGCAAAGGACAAGGAAACAUAGAGGAUGGAUCCAAAUUCCCAGCAGUCAGAAUCAUGCUGUCACUUGAUGUUCUGACUUGGUAAAUCAAGUGCGAAAUACAAAGUAAGAACGCGAGUCAUCUGAUCUUGUUAGGACAACAAAAUUGGAAACUAGUUGAGUGCUUGAAUGCAGUACUAUUGUCAAUCGCGGAUUGCAGAAAAUAGCAAUUUGUUCAAAUUACGCUACACUACAGUGUUAUAACGCCACUAUUUGACAAUAUUUUUGUAAUAAAUAGCAUAUCGCAGAACAACAAUGAUUUGUUCAAAUUCCACUAUGCUAUAGCAUUGUAGCAUCACUAUUGGACUGCAUUGGAUCGCUGAGUAUUCGUAAGAUGGAUUUUCAAUUUACCUGAAUCGUGAAAUUUCUCUUAAUGGUCCUCCAAUACCACAACCAACAUCCAAAACCUAAAAACAAAUAAAGAAAAAGACUCAUGAAAUAUUAAGAAAGAACAUACUGCAAACAAGAUAAAUCAGUUUACUAUUUUGCUUUAUUGAACAUGAAAGAUGAAAACCUUCUGUCCGGGCGUAAGACCAAGUUGUAAAGCAAGGAAGUGUUCAUGUCGCUUGAUGCUCUCUCUAAGAGAUUCCCCUACCCAUCUGCAUCGGAAGAAAAGUAUCAGCACAAACAAAUUAACAGUGAAAUCGUGAAUUUGUAUGUGCAAAAAUGAAUAAAAUGGACACCUUGUUGCGAAAUGGAAAGAUUCCCCCCAGCCAAAUUCAUAAAAGCUUGUCGCAAGAUCAUAGUAUUUAUUAACCUGAAAAUAUAUGAAGAUCUUAUGAUGUUCCUUUUGCAGGUAAUCAAAUGGAAUAUAAUUAAAACUUAAAACAUGGCAUUCCCAUCUAUACAAAUCAUGUUAUACAACAUCAGAAAAGGAAGAUAGCUUUAAUGAGCCAAUAUUCAUUAAUUGUUAAAAUAUAAAAUAGAAACAAUAGCCAUGCAUCUGACAAGGACCUAGAUUGUCUGCUGUUGAAAAACCGCAAAGCAGCUACGGUCAAUAAAUCUCCAUUGUUAGAUGAAGAUUGGAUUGUUCAUGUUACGAAAGUAAAUUCUAAAUUUGAUUUGGUGAAAUAAAAAUAUAAAUCAUUGAUCGUCAUCCAACAACAGAGUUUUGUUGACUGAUGCAGCUGCGUGGAUUUUGCGACCGCACCAAAUCCAAAUCUGAAAAGAUUGGUACUACAGAUUAUAUUGUUUUGAUAAUAGUGCUACACACAUAAUUGGUUAUUGGUAAUAUAAAAAGACACCGUUGAUAUCUGUGUAGCACUAUUAUCACUAUAAUUAUAGCUAAUUAUCAGUUAUAUUUUGGUUGCUAAAUGUUGAUAUCUCUCACCAUAUCACUAUAAUUAGCUUUCCUUUCAUCCUCUUGACCUCCAUAGGAUGCAUGAUACUUCUCAUACCUGAAAACCAAAUGAUCAAUACAUUUUAUCAGGCUUUUAAAACAAUAACGAAAAACAAUAAUUCAAUUAACUUUUUAAAUUUUUUUACAUCUUACAACAGCUUACAAAGAUGAAAUUUCAAAGACACUGUUCAGGUUAACUUAAGGUGGAAUUCCUUGCUAAUUGAAAUUGACCUCACACAUUUACAUAGUCAUACAAUCUAAUUUGUUCGAUGUCAAUAAAACAACUCAUAUGAACAACGUUACAAAACAAGGGUCUGUUUGGAUUGGCUUAUUUAAGCUUAUUACCUAGCAUGAGUCUUGAGAGACUGUUUCAGAGAACAUAUGAAAACAGCUUAUGACAUUUUCCAUAAGCUUUUUCAGAUUCUCUUCAUAGAAAUAGCUUAUACAUAAGUGUUUAUCAUGAUAAACGGUUUGUGCUAUAAGAUGCAAAAAAGAAGUUUAUCCAAACAGGGCCCAAGUUUACAAUGUGAAGUCAAAAUAUGGACCCCAUCUGAUCAAGAUGGAACAAUCCAGAUCCACAACAACGUGAAUGUGUAACAUCAUAAAUAUCAUCUCAAACAAUGUCUAGGUUGUCAUUUAUAACUGACAACAAUAUUUUGAUUCAACUCAUUAAUCUAUUACCGAUCUGACUAUUCUUCAUCUGAUAUAUUCUCCUUACUACAAAAUCUUAAACAUCUCAUAUGUACAACUUUACAUAAUCAAAAUGUGGACUCCGUCUGAUCAAAAUCAAACGGUCCAAAUCCGCAACAAACCGAAUGUGUAACAUCAUAAAUAUCAACUCCAACAAAGUCUAGGUUGUCAUUUACAACUGUCAGCAAUAUGAUGUUAGGUGAGGCAUUAUCAGAAGCAAAAUCCAAAACUGGACCAGCUCGGUCGUUUUGAAUAAUAAUGCAUUUAUUGACCAACAUGACACAUUUUGUUCAAAUCAGAAUCUUUCCACACAGGAUGAUAAAGACUGGAACCUAUUAAUUACCCAAUUUUGUGCAAUCUACAGGAUUAUUGCUUCUUUUUUUCAUCUGUAUUUAAAUUUAAAUAAAAAUAUAAUAACUUAAUCUCCUUAUUAUAUUUUUAAAUUAAAUUAAAUUAAUCCCUAAAGUUCAAAGCUAUACACUAAUAAUCUCCCUUAGAUUAGAUCCAAGGAUUCAAUGUUUUUCAGUCAAAUCUACAGAAAAGUAAUACUAGUAGCUUUUCUUUAUGUAUACUUUUCAAUAAAAAUUUACAGAAAAGUUACAUGUAUUUUUCAUUAAAAGUUUACAAAUUCAUUUAAAGUUAGUAAAUUUAUUGAUCCCAGCAUCAUAGAGAUUCUUGAGUACAAAAAAGCAUCACAUAAAUUCUUCAAUAAAAUUGCAUUUUCAUGACAAAAUAUGCAAACAUUUUACACUAAUAAAUAAAUAAAUAAAACACAAGUUAGAACAGAAAAUCAAAACAUUCAAAAUCCAAAACAAAAAAUAUGAAAAAUUCAAAAUUGAAAACUAACAACUAAUUAAAGCUGAAACAGUAAAAAUAAGCUGAAGAGAGUUGAGAAAAUUGAAAAUAUUAAAAUUAAAAAACACAAUAAAAGUCUAAAUUCACAAUGCGGCCGUAAUUUUAGAGAGAGAGACGCACUUGUCGACGGCGGAGAGAACUUGAGCUUUUUCAAUCUUUCCACCGAGAUUCGAAGCCAAAUCCAUUGCUUGAAAAGGUUUUAAGUAGAACUCAAAAACGACCUCGUUUCGAUCUAAAUUACACAAAAGAGGAAAAAAGAUGAAGAAAAAGUGAAAUGGGAGAGAAAAUGGAAUCAAAUGUGAUAAAGAUGAUGAACUCACGUGGAUGUAGAGAGAGAGAGAGAGAGAGAGGUUUAGAGGUGUUUUAAUAAAAGAAGAAAAAGGAAAGAGGACAAAGAUAUGGAGUGAGUGUCAUGUGACGAUGUAUUUUAUGUCUGCGAUCGGGAAAGUACGCCCCCAUCAGCACGUUGGUUGGGUUGGCAUUGACAAUCCACUUGUUUUUUAACACUAAAAAUAAUUGGGAAUUUCUACCGGAUAAGUGAGAUGUACCAAUACUCUUACUUCAUAAUUUUAUAAAUUAACGAUUAUUUUUUAUGUAAUAAAUAGUUAUCUGUCAAUAUUUAUAUUUUACACAACAUCAUUUCAUAAGAAAAAAUAUCAUUUUAUUGUUUAUAAUAAUCAUAGUAACUUUUUUUUUACAUAUUAUCGUAAAAAUAAUGAAUGUUCUCAAUUAUGAGUGAUAAAAAUUAAAAAAAAAAUUAUUUCGUUGACAGAUGAAUAAGAUUUAGUUAUUAUAAUUAUAAAUGAUAAAAAAUAUAUAUAUUUUUCUUCAAAAAACAACUCAUUUAACUAUUAAUUUAAAGAGUGAGUAUAGCGGUACACUCAAAUACGAUAGAUGUACCAUAGAAUUUACCAAAAUAAUUAUGCCAACUAAGUUAAUAAGUUACUCAAACUAAUUCCCUAAAAAAAAAAAUCAAACUAAUACGAGUGGAUGUUAUAUAAGGUUAUAUUGUUCAAUAUCGUUUUAGAUAUAUUUUAAGUUUGAUUGUUAGAUAAGUUUAUAUAAUAUAAACCAUCUUAGUAAAUUUUUGCACAAAUCCAAAAUCACAUGUUAUUGCGAUUCACUAAGAUUGUAGAUUUAUGGAUUUUUAUUAAACACUAUUAAUUUUGAUGAGUCUCAAUAAUAUAUCAAAUGAUGUUAGAUUUGUGUGAAAUUUUACAUAGAUGAUCUAUAUGAUAUAAAAUUACGAUCCAACGGUCAAAUUUAAAAAAUAUAAUAAUAAAUAAAACGAUAUUGAACGAUGUAACAUUAUAUAUCUUAUUGUCUAUUUGAUGGUCAGGAUAAGAAGAUAUGAUAAAUCUUUAUAUCAUAGUCAUAUUUUCAUUAAUGUAUCAUUUUGAUCUGAUACAAUAAUCCUAUUAUAUUUAUUUAUAAGUAAGAACAAAAUGGCAUGUAAUAAGGACGUUCCAGCGAAGUUGACACCCCACUAUAAGCCUAUAAUUAUCAAGUGAUCAUAUAUUUUAUUAAAAAAAGGAAAAAAUUACAUAAAAAUUAGGGGACAUAAAAUCUGACCCAGUGAAUUCAAGUGCAUGAACCCAAACGGGAAAUACAACCAAUAACAGCAGCAUACUCGAUUCAAUCCUAGUCAAUUCUAACAAACGAUGAUUGCGAGCACCAACCAAGUCUAUAAGUUGGCGAAUGAAUUGACUGUCGACAGAACGGAUCACGUACCAUCAACUCCUUACACCAUGAAAAACAAGCAUUAAUGACUCUUUCGAGUUCCAAACAAUCUGUACCCCACCAAUUCAUUAAACAAAAUGAAUUCAAAGGAUCAAAACGGGUUUGGGCGAGUCUUCACUUAGAUCGAUACGGUGAAUGAAUUGAAUGCCAACACGGUCAAAUUCACAUUCCAAUAACCCCCUGUUAACAACAAUCACAACAUGCAUCAACGUUUUUUCAAGCCAGAUUAACACAAAGCAACCCGGAAUCAUCGAUAGCCAGAUCGUGGGAUGGUCAAUCAAUGGGACUGAGCACCACGAGCACAAUAACAGACCCUAACGAGUUUCAGAACAACAAACUAGAAAUCCGUCUACAAUAUCACAACUGAAACCAACGACAGUGAACCUUCGACACGGAGGCGACAGAUUUGAAAGCAAAUACCAUCAACCAACGAAACAACGCCACUUCACAACCCUUGACUGACCUUAGAGUCGACAGUGAUCUAUAAGACCACCAGAGAAGGUUAGGAUGCUACUGAGACUUGUACGUCGGAAGAACACCGAAUUGAACAGCGGCGCUGCGACGAGAACAAGAGAGAGCCGCCACAGUUCUCCACCAGAUACAAACAACGAUCGUCGUAGGAAAACAGAGCCGUCGCUAAAGAGGAUGGCUGGGCCAUCGUCGCACCACCAAAGUUCUACUGCUACAUCUUUACUGGCGAUAUUUUGGAAAAGCAAGGGGAGGUGGCAGAGCUAGGUUUGGAGAGAGGUUGGAGAAAGUUUAGAGAGAGAUUCUUAUCCUUUUUUUUUAACAACGGUUCUUAUCUUUUUUUAAUAACACCCAUUAAUCCUAUUAUUAAUCUUAUCAUGCCAUGCAUUUAUAUUUUCCGUCCUGAGUAUUGGUUGGGUUAGAAUUAUUAUAUCCUUUUUUCUUACCCUUAAUGCCUCUCUUCUACGAUCAACCUUUCUCCCUUUCUCUAAAGCAUCUCCGUCUUCGUCUCUCUCUCUCUCUAUGUUUGUCUUCGUCUCUCUCUACGUCUUUGUCUUCAUCUAUCUGGAUCACUCACCAUCAUCUUCCUCUUCUUUUCCUUAUUUUCUCAUUAUCUGCUUUCUUUCUCAUUGUUGUUGUGUGUACUCUGUUCUAAUGAAACUUGCAAGAAGCUAGAUCAAUAUCAAAUAAAACCCCUUUUUCAUAACACAUAUUAAACUUAUUUUUGCAAGUAAUUUAUAUACAAAACCCUCAAUUGAUUAUAAAUAUAUAGUUUUAAGCCUCGAGACGUGGUGGUGGUAUUUUUUAUAAAACCCCCUUAAUUUAUGUAAAGUAUACGGUGAUGGUAUUUUUCCAACUUCUAAUACACCUCAUUGGUGUGUGUGUAUAUAUAUAUAUUAAAAGAAUAUUAUCAUGAUGAAAACCACCUUAGAAAGCAAGUGGUCGCAACAAACAAUCCAUCCAUAAGGAUAAGAAAAAUGCUAUUUCAUGGUUGGUUGAUCAAUUUUGUAACGUAAAAGUACAAAAUGUUUGGUUGAUCUCAUGGUUUAAGUGGCUAGAAAGCUACGUAAAAGCAAGCUACUUGGGUUAAAUCACAUAAAAUGAAACUUAUAUAAAAUUGUAGGAAAUAUAUUGAUAUCAUUAAAUAAAAUAUUAAGUAUUAAAGAGAGUGUUCAAAAGAUAUUGUUCGCGGCAUUCCUCUUGCCUAUAAACAUAGAGAUAUAUGAGACAUUGAAAACUACUUGGGAUAUCACACGCUACAUUACAUAACAAAAAGGAUUGGUUCUUUGCAAUUUUCCAAGAGUUUAAAAGCAAAAUAGAUAGAGGGAAUGAUUUAUAGAGGAGAAAGAUACGUCGGAGAAGAACGAUGAAUCGACUUCGACAUCAAAUUUUAUUUCUUCUUCCUCUUAUUGCAAGGUUAUGUUUAACUAAACAUUGCUAUUGUUGGGAUUAGGUGCAAUUACUACGAGUCUGUUGUAAAUGUUUGAUCUGACUGGUUAUAUAUAAAUUUUAUUAUUCAUUAGUGGAAAGACGAACACUCAAAUCCUUAAUUUUUUCAGAGUUUAUUAUAUUAAAAAAAGGUGUGUAUUUUUAGGGAGUGCAAUAGAAAACCUGAGAUUUUAAUUUUAUGUGAAUUCAUGAUUUUGGUCUGACUUUUUUACUUCCGAUUAUACCUUUAAACAAAUUUAUUUAUAAGAUUGUUAUAUUGUUGAUGUCAUUCAAAAAUAUAAGUUGGUUUGUUACAAUAUAAAAGUGAAAAAUAUCUAUACAUGUUCUUUUUUCAAAAUCAAAAUUACAUAAAACGUAUCGUUCGUAAUUUAUAUGUAUUAACACUAUAAAAAAAUAAUUGAAUAGUGUAAUUUAAAUGCAUUAGUUCAUUAAAUUAUGUAGAUUUAAAAUUAAAAAUGAAUUUAAUCAUUAAGAGUAAAAAGUAUUGAAUAAAGUAAAGAAUAAUGAUCUGGUGAGACUUGGUCAAAAUGAUACAAGUUUGUAGAGGCUACAAAUAAUACUUGAUUUCUCAAUGGGUAUGAUUGGUUGGUGAUGUUGAAAGGUAAUUCAUGGGUUUUAAGAGUAUUAUAUAUAGUGCAAAUCAUAUGGUAGUUAAGUUAGUUAUGUUACUUGGUGUGUAAAUAACUUACUAAGUUGGUUUUCAUGUCUUGGGCUUCACUAGUACUUUGUAAGCCUGACUCAUAAAAUGUAUAAGUAAUCACAUUAUGAUGAUGAAUGAAGGAGUAAAGUGCAUAACCAUAACCAUUCUAAGAACCUACCAUAGACUAAAUUCUAACAACUCAAGAUUAAGUAUCCUUUCAUCCUUUGAUCAUUUAGUGAAGAUGACAAGCUCUUAUAUGGAGAAUCUUGGCAAUAGUUUCGGUUGCAAAUUACCAAUUUUUGACACCAAUAAUUAAGAUUGGUGGAACAAGCAAAUAAAUCGAUAUUUGAUUUGCGAGAUAUCUCUUAAAAAAAAUGUUACUGAUGUUCAACCUAAGAUCUCCAACUCAUCUUCCUUUACAUCAAACCAGUUUAGUUUAAAAAAAAAAAUCACAAUUAAAGUCUAAUAACAAAGUAAAAAGAAAAUUUAAAACAUAAACGUAAUCAGCAAAACAUAGACUCAUAAUCAAAGUCUAAAAAUCACAAUGAGGCCAUAACUUAAAAAAGGGAAAGAAAGAAGAAAACAAGAGAAUGAUAGAGAGAGGACGCACUUUUCAACGGCGGAGAGAACAUCAUCCUUUUCAAUCUUUCCACCAAUAUUUGAAGCCAAAUCCAUUGCUUUGAAAUGCUUUAAUCAGAAGUGAAUGAAAUGCCAGAGAGUAUGGAAUGAAAUGUGAUGAAGAAGAAAUCACGUAGAUGAGAGAGAGAGAAAGGGAGAAGGUUUUGAUGUAUUUUAAAAUAGAAAAGAGGGAGAGGACAAAGAUAUGGAGUGUCAUGUGACGAAGUAUUUUAUGCCAUGCGAUUGGGAAAGUACGCCGUAGGCUUACGGCAAGACCAAGUUAGGUUAGCAUUGGAAACUCCAUUGUUCUGCUAUGACUUCUAGAAAAUUGAUCUUCUGACAUAGAAAACUUCACAAUGACAUAAGUAAUUUACAUAAUUGUUCCCGGCAAUUAACAUUACAUAAAAUGGUAAUUCCGCAUGAAAUCAAACCGAAACAACAACAUCCACCAAUCACAAACAUCAACAUUUCAUAGUUUAUCAAUUAUUCGGUAACAUUACACAAAAUCGAUAAUGCGUUAACGUUUCACAAUUGUUUAAAAUUCGUCAAAUUUUCCACAUUAUGCAACACAUUACACGUAAUGUACAUUAACUUAUACUCCCUCCGUCCCUUAUUAUAGGACCCUUUUAGAAAAAACACGGGUUUUAAGAAAGUUGAUUAUUUUGUUAAAUUUGUUGACAAAUGACAUUUUUUUCCAUGUUUGCCCUUCUUAUAAUUGAAAUCGCAAUUCACUAUUUUACUAUAUUAAUUACCCACUACUACUUGAAUGUAAGUUUGAAAAGGUCAUUGCACAGAAGAAAAAAAAAAUGGAGCGUGAAUAACCACUACUACUUGAAUAACCAUUCCAUUUUUUUUUUUGUCCACAAAAAUUUGGAAUCAUUCUUUUUUUUCCAAAAUUUCAAAUUUGAAGCUCCAAACUUAAAAUUUUUACGAAUUAUUUUCAAAUUUCUUGCGCUUUUUUUUAAGAACAAGGAGCAUGAAACAACAAUAUAUAAACAUAUAGAGGACUAAACAUAUUCUUCAUGAAAAAUUAUAGGACAUGAAUAUCAUAAUUAUAAAGGCAGCCUUCAGUGCAUGAAUUGGGAGUUCCCACAUAAACUUAUUGCUCUUUUUUUUUAUCAAAGGAAAAAAGAAUUUAUUGCUUUUCAAAAAAAUAUGUAGAGUAAAUAGGGGUAAUUUUGUAAAGAAAAAUUAAUGCACUUGAAAAUAUCAAAAGGGUCUUAUAAAAAGGGACAAUUUUUUUUCUUCCUAAAAGGGUCCUAUAAUAAGGGACGGAGGGAGUAAUAAAUGCGAAACUCAAAUAUAUAUAUAUAUAAUUAGUUAAAGGUUAGUUACAUAUCACCUAAAAAAAUUGGUCAUUACAUUAUAUAUCCCAAAAAAUACAUCGGGGCGUAUCAACCAAAAAACAGAUUAACACCUACCAAAAUGUGUCAUAUUUCAUCUAAUAAAAGCAAAUAAUCUAAAUGUUCCAAAACAUCUAAAAAUUCGGUGUUUGCUUUAACCGGAGUGUCAUCAAACAUAAUUGGAUUGUCUUCAUUUGUUGGUUUUUUUGUUGGAACCAUUCUCUCUUUGUCCUCAAUCUCCAUGAGUGCUCGGAAACAAUCGUGUUGAUCCAAGAAUUUAUAAUCCCAUGUUUUUGCCUCAUCGCUCCAAUGAUUUCUCCACUCCGUGGAUGAUGGAGGUAGUAGACAACCAUCUUUCAACGAAAGAAGGACAAAAUGAUUUGGGAUUAAACCAAGGCAAAUCAUGUUGCUUUUCGGAUUAACUGGAGGCACACCUCUACGUGGGAAAAAAGUCUCGGAGACUCCAAUAUCAAGGGUAGUCAUCUCCACCACCGGCUUAUUGUAACAAGAUGCAACGAUGUGUCCCAUAUCUGGCAAUGUCAACCAUUUUUCAGAAGGUGCAAAGCUACUAGGAUUUUUGGGGGGAUGCAAUCCAUCCAAAAUGUACUUGUAACGGUCCUCGCUCGCAUAUACCUCUAUGUAUUUGUUCCUAUGCUCUUUCAACAUUUUAAUAAGUGCUCUCCGCACCAUAACAUGACUUUCUUCCGUCAAACCCACGCGUUCGGCAAUAGCCCUAAACCCACAAUGUCCGUCACCAAUAACAUGCACAAUUCCCUCAAUGUAUGGUCUCAUGAAUUUUGGCAUGUAAUACAUAGGACUCGAUGGAUUAUAAUUUCUUGAAACCAAGCUAGGCUUAGGAACCGGGACCGAAGAAAUGCCAAUACAAGCACCUUUUCUUUUAGGUUAUGAAGAUUUUUUUCGUGGUGAAGAUUGACUUUCCGGGUGUUGAGAAUCAAUAGUCUCCCACAUAGAUGGGAUCCUACGCGUUGUUUUUGGUGUAGUAUUGAUUUUUUUGGGAGCUCCUUUGGUUGGCACCUUUCUUGGAGGCGGUGACAACAUUGUGAUCUCCGGAAACGCUAACAACCGCAUACCCUCUUUGAUUUCUAGUUUCAAUUGGAAUGGAACUCUUACAAGACGUUCUUGGAUACCAUGCCACUCCUCCGCGACCGAUAUACUCUUCAUUACUUUCUUCUUCACCCAUAUACAACUUAUGCCAAUGUGGGUGUAUCUCAUCCAAUCGAAUGGGCUUGUUGUGACGGAUUGUCAUAGCAAUAAUGCAUGCACAAGGUAGGCCAUACAAUGUCCUUGGAACAAAACCGCAAGUUUUCUUCUCGAUGCACAAGGUUUUCCUAGCACGCGUUUUUUCCACAAAAAUAAAGUUCAUGGUUUGUCUAGACAUGUGACCCCCCAACUCGGAGUACAAAGUGACAUCUUUGUACCUAUGUUCCAAGACCGUAACGCUCCUACCAAACGAUGAUUGUAUCUCCCCAAAUUGGUUUGCCAACAUGUCAUCUAUUUAAGCCAAUUUACGUCUUAGCCGAUUCACCACUUACACUUAGUUACUCUAUGAUUCAUCCUCAUAUCAUUAACUAACUAAACUAUUACUCAUCAUUGAAUAAUCAUAGCACAUCAUGUUACAUCAUCAAGUAUUCCUCAUCAAUAAUUUAUCAAAAUCGUAAUAAAUUCAUAAUCCAAUUAUGGUUAAAUCACAACUUCAUUACUAGUCCUUACAUUCCUCUACACAUAAUUAUUAAUCCUACAAGCCUUACAUUGAUGUUAUACCAAGCCUACCCAAUUCUAAAUGCCAAGAAGGGUUAAAAUAGUGAAAUAUGAAGAAAAUGGUUUCACAGAAUCGUGUCACGAUUUUGGGAACCGUGGCACGAUUUUAUGUCCAGAAAACAAUGUAAUUCUGCCAGCAAAAUCGUGACACGAUUUUGACAACAUCAGUUCCAAAAAUCAAGUUUUUCCAAAAUACGAUUUUCACCAUUUUAAGUUAUUCCAAGGCUUUAAAUCAAUCUCAAACACACCGAAAUCAUCAAACUAAUGUCAUCUAAUCAAUAAUACAUUCAUUACAUCCCCCAUCAACUUAAUUUAAUCACUUUCAUAAACCCAAUAACCUAGCAAGAACAUAAAUUAUGAUGGAUUCUUCAUCAUUCAACAACAACAAUCAUGUUUUCCAUCAAAUUAAGCUAAAAACACAUAGUUAUGAAUUUAACAUAAUCAAAACUUUAAUUUCGUGCAACAACAAGAAGUUUAUAGCACUUUUAAUAUACUCAAAAUUAACAACUUAAUUAGAGCACGAAAAUUAGUUUAAAAUAACAUCAGUUUCAUAAUUUCACAAACACAAACAUGACCCAAAUAUCAUAUAAGAGGUUAUAAUUCAAUAUAUGAACAUAAUCUCUCCAUCCUUACCUCUAAAUCCCAAAAGCAAUGAUAUAAGCUCCAAUUUACUCUCCCUCUUGAGUUUCUCCAAGCUAGAUCUUAUUCUCCUUUGAAAUUCUUCUCUCUUUCUCUUUUUCUCUAUUUUCUCUUUUCUUCCACUUUGUCUCUUUUCUCUCAAUUGUGACAAAUGAGCUCCGGACCUAAUUUUCACAAAGACUACUUCUCUUAUAUACUAUUGGACUUAGUCAUACUCACUAAUGGGCUUAAUAGCUUUCUAUCACUCAUAAAAUAUUACUACCCAAUUGCUUUUUUGAAAUUCCCACUAUUACUCAUACACCGUGAUUCUAUUAAUUACCCUAAGUUGCUACUAACUUCGCUAAAUGAUCUUCCACGCCAAAUUAAUUAAAAUAUCGAUAACUCGAAAAUUACAAAAAUGCCCUUACUCCUAAAAUGACCAAAAUACCCUUAGUGCCUAAAAAUCCACUAAUCCCCAAAUCAAGCACAUUUUUUUAUUUUUUAUUUUUUGCGAAGCCAAGAGAUUGGACACGCAUCAAGGGGAAGCAAUGGCAUCCCAACUAGGUUGGCACCCCGCAAAACUCCCAUCCUAUACCGAUAAUCUCAGAGAAAAUUUUAUUAAAAAAAAGGAGAAAAAAGUACAAGAGGGGGACUAGGCCAAAACCCUCAAAAAACAAAGAAGAAACAACAAAAAAAGAAAAGAAAAAUGAAACAACAAACAGGAAAGAAAAAAGGAAACAUCUAACUACUUAAAUGAGAGCGAGGGAACCGACUCCAGUCCAAAAAGAAGUCAGUCUGAAGAGUCUGAGGCAACACCGAAAACCAAGUUGUGCCUUGUAUCGAAUGACCCAUAUUAGCAAGUAAAUCGGUGCUACUCGAGUCAUUCCAAUAAAGAAAAUUCAUUGAUCACCUGAAUCUGGGGUAUCACCAACUCCUCCCAUGAUUCAAAUUUUACUUGUUCCACAUCAUCCGAAAGCAUGACAGCGUGCAAAUCAUCAGGGGAAGCUAACUCCAAUAUUGGGCGUGAAGGCAAAGAGCCUUGGGGGAUCUCCUCAGACACACAGGGGGUGUCUGAGCUAGUGUUGGAGCCGCAAAAGUAGAACCAUCAACAGUAGUCGAGUUGAUUUAUGGCUCGGUAGGUUUAGGUGUUGCAAAUGCAAUGGAUGAACCUAUACCAUAGGGGUUCUCUUUAAUAUGCACCCACUGAGGUUUCAUGGAUGGUAUCUGCAUCUUCCCUUUUGCAACUUUAUCCUUAGACAUGUCUUCCUUCCUAGGGUACAACCAACGACAGUUUGUAACAUCAUGUCUAAGUGUCUGACAAUGCGAACAAAAAUCUGGAAUCCGUUCAUAAACUACCUUCCCGUUCGACGAGAAUUUCGUGAAAAAUCUUUUAGGAAAAUUCAAUGUCGACUAUAUUACGUGCAUAGUGUCCAAAAAGUCUUUUCAAGGUUCCAUCCAAUAUUCUUGUGGCAGUGCCAUCAAUCGGAUCCAUACUUGCGCAUGUGUAUUUCUCUGAUUAUGCAUAUCAAUAUCCACUGACCAUUCAAAUAAUCGUAACAUCCCCGGCUUCAAGUUCACAGUUCCCAUUGCCCAAACAAUUUGCAAAUCAGAUUCAGUGGCAAAAAAGAAUUCAUAAAAGCCCCUACCUAAAGAUAGCAACGUCCAAGGUGCAUAGUAUUCCAUUGUUUUCGAAGCUUGUCUUCAAUUUCCUUUGACGCAUAGGGUUUAUCUCCUUUUUGUUUAGAACCAACCUUCCACAAAGGUUUCUCUUACACACAUUGACCCCCUGUUCAUAAAUUGGCUGAGUAAUACGAAUAGAGAGAGUCUCACCACGCAUUGUAGGUUGUGGCAGAUUGUCCGUGCGAUGCGACAAGUGCUUGUGCAAGGGACCGCGGCGGCGGUUGUGGUGCUGGAACCGCCGUUGUGGAGGGCAGUGCCAUGAGAGAUGGUGCAGCUUUGGAGGGCGCAACUGUCGGCAAUAACAACUCUGCCUGCCAAUCGAACGGCUUAGCAGAAAGUCUUGAAAGAGCACCAAAUAGCACUUCAGUUAAUCACCAAUUGGAAAAUAGUGACCACCGAAUUUGUACAAUAGUAACAAAUCAAAAGUUAAAGAAACUAGCACUCCCAAAGAAUUUGAAAGACCUCGUAAAGUGAAUUCAAGGAUGCUAAAUACGGUAAAUAUUUCAAUUGUAAAUAAUCAGAGGUCAGCACCGAACAAUAAUAACAAGUAGCAAUGGAAAUGGAUGGAGAAUUAAAAUCAAUUUUACAAAAGAAGGGGGCUCUUACACACAUCAAAUAAACAAUUAAAUAAAUAUAAUAAAUAAAUAAAUAAUCAUAUAGAAAAUUGGGGUGUUACAUUUCAUAGCCAUUAAUUGAUGUGACAACACAUCAUUAGUCCGGUACAUGAGGUACAACCACUUCUUACUUUGGCGUCUGAUUUCCCACUUGGAUAAAAUUAUCCUAUCUUCACUUGGAUAUUGAAAUAUCCUAACACCAAGGCUCAUGAAUGCAUGAACAUAUGACUCACCAAAUGCAUAUGUUCAUACAAAACAUCACCAUCAUAAACUUCACCAUUUUAUAUACAUGUAUUGAUCAUCAUUUUAUACAUAUAUACAUACACCAUCAUGGAUUAUCAACAUCAAUAAUUAUCAUCGUGAAAAAUCAUCAUUAUAAUCAUCAUAAUCAAAAUCAUCAUACACCACAUCAAAGAGGUAACAUCACUUCAUACGGCGAAAUUAGCAUGUGAGAUGAUUAAUCAUUUACGCCUAGUUAAUCGAUACACCAUAUGCAUACUCAUUACUAAUUCAAUCGUUAUUCAUCAUGUUAACACUAUUAUUUAAUCAUUUACAAGUUAUCAUGCCUUACUUCAUCAUUUUACCAAAGUUCGUCUAUUUUCGCAUAUUUCAACAAAACCAAGUUAUAUGUUCUCAUGCAUUCUUACAUUCUAUAUCUAUGGCUAAGAUCAUAGUAGUACAUGCAUAUCAACAUCAUUCACAUCAAUAGAACAACAUCAUUUCAUUAAGCCAAUUUACGUCAUAGCCGAAUUGGUUUGCCAACAUCUCAUCUAUUUAAGCCAAUUUACGUCUUAGCCGAUUCACCACUACACUUAGUUACUCUGUGAUUCAUCCUCAUAUCAUUAACUAACUAAAUUAUUACUCAUCAUUGAAUAUUCAUAGCACAUCAUGUUACAUCAUCAAGUAUUCCUCAUCAAUAAUUUAUCAAGAUCAUAAUCAAUUCAUAAUUCAAUUAUGGUUAAAUCACAAGUUCAUUACUAGUGCUUACAUUCCUCUACACAUAAUUAUUAAUCCUACAAGUCUUACUUUGAUGUUAUACCAUGCCUACCCAAUUCUAGAUGCCAAGAAGGGUUAAAAAUAGUGAAAUAUGAAGAAAAUGGUUUCACAGAAUCGUGUCAGAAUCGUGUUACAUUUCAUAGCCAUUAAUUGAUGUGACAACACAUCAUUAGUCCGGUACAUGAGGUACAAACACUUCUUAGUUUGGCGUCUGACUUCCCUAAUAUAAAAAAUAUUGUAGCUGAUCCAGACGAUCCGGUGGAUCCGGUGUUGCAAAAGGAAUUAGAUUCGACCAAUCAUUUUUUAUUGAACAGCACCACCGCAGAUAUCUCCUUUUCUCCUUACUUAACAAAGGCACAAAAGAAGAAAGAAAACCAAGCAAGCAAGGUGACUUAUGCAACCCGUUCUCAUGGUCCACUCCCGACCUCUCAAUGAUUUCUACUUGAAUUUGUGAUUUUGCGGUUGGUAUUUGGACGAGGCUUGGGGCUCAAAUUGGUUUGACACUCUUCCAUUGUCGCUGUCAUUAGACUUCUUUAGGGAUCGACACGGCCUUCCUAAGUUUUGAUUUCCCUAGGUUGUCUUUUUUCUUUUUCUUUCUCGCCUUUUUUGUUGCUGAGGGUUUUGGCCUAGUCCCCCCUCGUUUAUAUUUCUUUUUCCCUUUUUAAUAAUAUAUAUGGAGUAGGUGGUAGAGGAUGAGAGUUCCGGUUGGGUGCCAACCUAGUUGAGAUGUUUCCGGCCUCCUUAAUGUCUAACCUAUUUCUUGACUUAUAAAAAAAAAAAUACACUGAUGAAAUAUACUAAUUGAAUUUUUAUAAUAAUGUAUGAUUAAACUUGGUUUCAAAUUUUACUAGAAAUGUAAGUGCGUAUCAUAUUUUUUAUAUGUAAAACAUUUGAGUAUUUAUUAGUGAAUGACAUACAAUGAUCAAUGUUAAAAUUGGUGAACACAAGUACAACUUUCUAUUUUAAAUAAUGGAGCACAAAAAGUACAGGAAAUGGAUUCUACUUUUGACUCUAAAGCAAAUGGAUUUUUCACCCUUUGAGAUUUGGUAACUUUAAGGGUUCAUUUAGUUCGCAUUUUUAGAGAGGAAGAGAGGGAGUAGUUUUUUUUUUUUUGUUUGAUUCAAUUUCUAUGAGGGAAGGAGAAGAGGAGCAAAAUCGCUCAUAAAUAAUUAAAAUAAUUAAUUUAAUUUGUUCCAACUAGAAUUUGAAUUUGAAUUUUUCAAAAUUUUUUUGUUAUUAACUCAAUUUCACUAACCACUUGAGUAAAAUUAUUCAUUUAAAUAAGAUACAAAUAUAUAACAAAUUAUAUUCUUUGAUUUUUUUAAGCAAAAAUUAGAAUGUAAAAGCAUUAGAUAAUAAUUUUGUUGGCCACAAUCUUUCAUUCAUUUCACAUUAUAUUCUUUAAUAACGAUUGCAGGGGAACUCGAACCACAAUCAUUCAUUCAUUCAUUCAUUUCACUCUCUUUUACUUAUGUAGAAAAAAGAAGACAAACAAAUUAAUGGCAUUAUAGAAGAUAAACAAAAAGCUCAUUAUAGAAAUUAAUGGCAUCCAUCCGUAUUAUUGCAAAUUAAACAGAAUUACAAAGGGUGAUGGAAGCAUCAUCUCUCAUACAAUACUCUCAUUUUUCUUAACAAGGUUUAGAGCAAAAACAUCUGCGACGGAAGCCAUGACAAUGUCCUCCAGUGAAACCCUCUGUUUUGCACACAUUAGCACAAUUGUGUUUAAUCCAACAUACUCCUUUGAAGCUAUGACUUUGAGAAUCACAAGUCCUUGCCUCCGGCUCUUCCACGUGAGUUGGCUGCAUCUCUGCCCAUAUCAUAAAAUCAACAAAUUGAAUAUAUGAAGUUAGAGAUCUCAUUAAUUCAUGCAGUCACAAUAUCGAUGUCCAAUAGAACAAGAUCGAAUAUAUCAGAUUUAUAGCUUUAUUUUUAUAUUAAAAAAACAAAUUAUGCACUAAAAUAUGGACCGUACGAUCAUGAUUCAAUGUUCAUCAAUAUGGUCGGUGGUGAUUUUGUGAGAUCUAUGAUCGCAUGAAUUAUGAUUUAGAUAUACCAUAUAAAUUGAGGGAAAUAUUAAACACAAUCAUAUAAAGUGUUUCAUAGCAAGUAACACCCACCUGUGGAUACUAGAAGGAAAAGGAAGAAAAAGAUGGUGCAAACUAAAGUGAUUGAACGAGCCAUAUAAGAGACUUUGCUUCGAAGAAGAAAAUAGAACUAGUUGAAACUUGUUGAACCGUUGAAGUGAAAUGCAAAUGGAGAUAGUCUGUCUUAAAUAGGGUAAUAGAAUUUUUUUUCCUAUCAAAAAUAGGGUAAUUUUUUAUUUAUUUUUGGAAUAAAGCUUCUUUUCUAUUUUUUAUAAAGACAUAAGAGAUGAUAAUAAAUGUUCCCUUGUUUUUUUGUUUUUUGAAGGAAAUAAAUGUUACCUUGUUGUUUGCCAAUGAAUGAGUAUUUUACAAGUACUAGAUUUAAUACUAGUGCACAUGCGAAUAACAUGAUAAUUUUUUAUUUUAGUAUGAUUUUUUUUUAUUUUGCAUGUGUUUAAAAUUUAUAUUAUAUUCAUCUACAAUUACAACUUUUUUAUAUAAAUAAGUGUAAAUAUAUUAACUUGAAUUAUCUCGUGCUAGAGAAAGUAUUUUGGCACACGUCAAAGGACCUCUUCCAAACAUCUUAAUGCUCUUACUUAGGUCACAAGCCUACGUUAUCAAACUCUGCUCGUGCUAGAGAAAGUUUUGAAUAAGUGAUUUUCAAUGAUUAAUAUAAAAUGUGAUUUUGAGUGAUGCCAAUCAUACCACGUCGUUUUUAACCAAUUCACUCAUCCUUCACUCCAAUGGUAUAACUUUUUAGAGUCAAAUAUAUUUUUACCAAUUACAUCAUGUAAAUAUUUUUAUUGUUAUUUUUAUUUUGUUAAUUUAAUAUUUUUUUUAUCAAUUAAUAUAUUUUUCAAGUUAAUUAUAAAUUACUUUCACCAUCAACUAUUUUGUAUAUAUUACCUUUUAAGUGCUAUGUUAGAUCUUGUAAAAAAAAAGUGCUAUGUUAGAUUGAAAUUAAACUAUUUUUUGAUUUUUUAUUGUUUAUGAGAUUUUAGGUUAUUUGAAUUAAUUUUUAUAGAAUUAAGUUUAGUUUUCUUUGAGAUAGCUGAUUGAUAAUCAAUAUUUAACAAAAAAAAAAUGGCUUAAUUGCAUUUUUUUCCCCUAUCUUUUGUCAAUUGUGCGAUUUUGCACCCCCUCUUUUUUUUUGAGCGAUUUUGCACCCCAUCUUUUUGCCCCCUUUCUGAUUUUGCACCCAUCUUUGUGUUCAAUUGCACUUUUGCCCCUUAUCUUUUUGUUAAUUGUGCGAUUUUGCACCCUCACUUAUAUUUUUUGAGCGAUUUUGCACCCUAUCUUUUGCCCCUUUUCCCCUCUUUUAAUGAUGAUUUUGAACAAAACACAGUUGGCAAAAGAUAGGGUGCAAAAUCGCUCAAAACAAAAGAGGGGGUGCAAAAUCGCACAAUUAACAAAAGAUAGGGGGGAAAAGUGCAAUUAAGCCAAAAAAAAUAAAUAAUAUCUUAAAUAUCAUUUAUUGUGAUAUAUCUCAUAUUUUAAUCAUUUUUUAUAUUUUCCUUUUAUAAUUAGAGUUUUUAUGUUUUAUUUUUUUGAGGUUGUCUUGUAGACCUCCAUUGAUACCUAAAUUGUUUGAUAAAAUUUAUAUUUUUGAAAUUUUUCAAGGUUUAUUUUAUGUUAAAUUAAAAUUUUUAUGCAUUAAUUUUUUUUUGUUUUGUUUAAGAGCUAUAGACAAUUUGAUCUCUUAUUUCUUUUUUUUUUUUUCGUUUCAUUAGGGUCUGUUAAAUUACAAAAACUAACAAAUUUGUGUCAUAUGUUAUUUUUCGUCAAGCAAUAUGUUUGUAAUUUAAGAGACAAAAAUUGAACCUAAAAAAAUUAAGGGACCAAAUUGUUUACCGAUUACAAGUUAAGGGACAAAAAUAAAACAAUCAAAAUUUAAGGGACUAAAGUGAACUUAAAAGAUCAAAACUAUAAAAUGCCGUAUAUUUUGAGCGUAUAGAUCGGAUAAUCAGUUUCGUUUUCUUCCCAUUAGUACGUAAUGAUUAAGAAUCCGGCUAAAACUGAUUGAUGAUUUUUCUCUUUUUAAAAUGGCUUAAUGAUGUGUUUCGUCCUUGCAAUUAGGCGUCAUUUAAAAAUUAGUCCCUGUAAUUGCUAAUCAUGACAAUUUACCCUUGUAUUGUUUAAUCAUUUAAAAUUUCGUCCUUUAACCAACUUAAUCACGUCAUCAAAUUAGCAAAAUGACAUGGAAAUGUACAAAAAUACCCUCAUCAUCAUUCGUGAAAUGACAUUUUUACCCCUGUCUUCAUCUUCUUCUCAUGAUAAAGACGAGGGUAUUUUUGUCCAUUCCCAUGCCAUUUGGUAAUUUGAUGACUUGGCAGUGAUUAAGUUGGUCAAAAAACGAAAUUUUAAAUGAUUAAACAAUGCAAGGGUAAAUUGCGAGGAUUAGCGAUUACAGGAACUAAUUUUUAAAUUACGUCUGAUUGCAAGGACGAAACACAUCAUUAAGCCUUUUGAAAUUUUUUUUUUUUUUGGUACAAGCCUUUUGAAAUUUAUGUACAACAUAAAGGUAUUGAUCAUUUUUAGCAAAAAAAUAAGAAGGCAAUUUAUCAUUUGUUAACUUCCCUAUAGUUCUAUUUGCAUGUACACAGUUUUUAUUAUUUUUUGACAAAAUGAAUGUGCAAAGUUAAUCACCAAUCAAUUAUCAAACAGUCCUCGUGAGCUUAGCUCAGUUGGUAGGAACAAAUCAUAAAAUAUGCAAGAUUGGGGUUCAAACCUCGAUCACCAUAAAAAAUAUCAAUUACCAAACAGAACUAUAGGAAAGUCUUUGUUUUAAGGAAUUAUAGGGAAGUUAACAAAUAAUAAAUUACCUUCUAUUUUUUUUUGCUAAUAAUGAUCAAUUACCUUUAUGUUGUGCGUAAAUUUCAAAAAUAGAAAAAUCAUCAAUCAAUUUUAGCAUGAUUCAUAAUUCAUUCAUUACGUACAAAUGAAAAGGAAAGAGAGCCGCUAUUUACCGCGACAUGAAGUUUCACGGAAUAACCUUUGUAAAAGUGAUUUUGGCGAAAAAAAAUAAAAAGUGAUUUUGGUUAUAAUAAAUAACAUUUCAAUAUUAAAAAUAAAAAGUGAUUUUGGCGAAAAAAACGGCGAUGGUUGUGUCAUUCUUGAUUUUUCGUUUUUAAAGCGUUCGUGGUAUAUGGUAUUUCUCAAUGAUAAAUCACCUUUGUUUUUUUUUUUUUUGCUAAUAAUGAUCAAAUACAUUUAUAUUGUGCGUUAAAAUGUCCUCAUGAACUUAGCUCAAUUGUUAGGGACAAUGCAUAAUAUAUGUACGGUCUGCGAUUCACACCCUGGCCACCACAAAAAAAAAAUUGUGCGUUAAAAUAUACCUAUACAUAAGUUUAAAAAAUAAAAUAAAUCAUCAAUUAAUUUUAGCAUGCUUCACAAUUCAUUACGUACAAAUGAAGAAAAAAAAAAUCUGAAUAUCCAAUCUAUAUGCUCAAAAUAUACGACAUUCCUUAGUUUUGAUUUUUAAAGUUAUUUUCAGUUUCACUUUAGUCCCUUAAAUUUUUAUAGUUUUAUUUUUGUUCCUUAACUAGUAAAUGUUAAACAAUUUUGUCCUUUAACUAGUAAAUGUUAAACAAUUUUGUCCCUUAACCCUUUUAGGUUCUAUUUUUGUCUCUUAAAUUACAAACACAAUGCUUGAGAAAAAAAGAACAUAAGGCACAAAACUAUUAGCUUUUGUAAUUUAAGAUACCAAAAUGCAACGAAAAAAAAUUAAACGAAAAAAACAUAGAGAUCAAUGUGUCUAUGGUUUUUAAACUAAAAUAAAAUAAAAUUAAGGGAAGUAAGUAAAAUCUAAAAAUAACUUAAUGCAUCAAAAAUUGAAUUUAGCUUCGAAUAAACCUUGCAAUUUAAAAAAAAAAAAUUAUCAAACAUUUGUCAAAAAAAAUAAAAAUAAAACUUUAUCAAACCAUUUGGGUAUCAAUGGAGGUCUACAAAGACAACCUCAAAAAAAAAAUAAACAUAAAAACUCUAAUUAUAAAAGGAAAACAUAAAAAAAUGAUUAAAAUAUGAGAUAUCACAAUAAAUGAUAUUUAAGAAUAUGAGAAUAUUGUAUGAGAGAUGAUGGUUCCAUCACCUUUUGUAAUUAUGUUUAAUUUGCAAUAAUACAUAUGGAUGCUAUUAAUUUCUAUAAUGAGUUUAAUUUCUAUUAAUUUCUAUAAUGAGUUUUUUGUUUGUCUUCUUUUACUACAUAUGUCAUUUUUAUUGAAAUAUAAACAAAUAGGUCCAAAAAAUUAUAUGUGUUUGUCUAAAUUUCAGGCCAAAUACACUAUAAAAUUGUUUAUCUAACCAUUACCAAGAGUUUUUUUUUUUUGGUACAACCAUUACCAAGAGUUUUAUUCUUGAGUGUAUAAACUAAUUAGGGUUGAGAGUUUUGAUUUAUUGUGCAAAUAAGAUUGGUUUGUUUGAUUUAGAUGGUUGACAAUGAUUAAAGGGUCCGUUUGUUACGGAUUAAAAUAAAAGAGAUUUUUACAUAUAAUAAUUUAGAGAUUAUAUUUUAGACCGUUUGUUAUAGCUUUUUUCAGAAGAAAAAAAAUAAUUUAAAAAAAAAUAAUAAUUAAAAGUUUUGUAUCCGUUUGUUAAAACUUUUUUAAAAAAUAAGAAUCUAAAAACAGCAUUAAAUGAGAAGGUGUUAAGAGCAACUUCACAAAAAAUAGAUUUUUUUAGAGGAGAGAGAAAAUAUUAUUUAAAAGAUUGAACUAAUUUUGUAACAGAAAUCCCUUUUAUAUAUAGUUGUAUCCAAACAAACUAAAUUAUUUGUUUAAAAAAAUGAUUUUUAUUAUGGUAUACAAACGCAAAAUAGAUUCUGAUUUUUCAUUUUUUUCUAGGGAAGUUUCUGAUUUUUCAUAAAUCUCUAAAUUGUUUUAUUUUAAUCUGUAACAAACGGGCUUUUAGUUUGUUUUGAUACAAAUAUAUAAAAGAGAUUUUUUGUUACAAAAUUAGUUCAAUUUUUAAAACCAUAUUUUCUCUCACCUCUAAAUAAAUCUAUUUUUUGAGAAACUGCACUUAACAGCUUCUCAUUUGAAACUGUUUUUAGAUUAUUUUUUUCAAUUUCCAAUUUUUUUUAAAAGUUGUAACAAACGGAUGCAAACCUCUUAAAAGUGAUUUUUUUAAGUGAUUUUUUUUAAAAAAAAACUAUAACAAACGGAGUUUAAGAUUCUUUGAAUCUCAUCUAUCUUUUUAUUGGGUUAAUAUAAGUUUCCUACUAAUUAUUAUAUAAAAGAAUCCUUAUAGAAGAGAAAUAUUAACCAUUCAUGUUACGAUUGCAUCGGAUGAGCGGAGUUUCUAAAAAUCAAAAUUGUUAAUAUCUUAUUUGUGAUCUAUAGUUUUUAGUUUUCAUAAACAAGUAUUUAUGUAAUAAAAGAAUUCAAGUGACUUAUUUUUUUUUUAAUGGCAAAUAAUAAAAGAAUUCAAGUGACAUAUUUUCUUUUAAUGGCAAAUGUUAGUACUACCUCCGGUCCUAUUUAUAAGAGAAAUUUAGGUCAACAAAAGUGAAUGUAUUUGGACUGAAUUUUUAACUAGAUACAUCAACUUUUGUUGACCCAAAAUUCUCUUAUAAAUAGGACCGGAGGGAGUAUUUAGAAGUUAUGUUAGUAUUUUUGUCUCCUUUGCCAUGAUUCAAACUUGGACCUUUUAUACCUUAACUCCUUUAUUGACCACUCAUACUUUCAUGAUAGGAAAAGAAUUAGAACCAAUUUUCGCAAUAAUAGCUUGUUCCAGAGCAGGAUUAACUUCAUUUUAUAUGUUUCGAAUCUAUUUACUUGUUUUUGAAGGAUAUUUAAACGUUCAUUUUCAAAAUUUCAAUGGAAAGAAAAAUAGUUCUUUCUAUUCAAUAUCUUUAUGGGGCAAAGAAGAAAAAAUAAAAAACAAAAUUCAUUUAUUAGCUUUAUUAACAACUAAUAAUAAUGAAAGUACUUCUUUGAUAAAAAAGUUUAUUUCUUUUUAUUAAUCUGUGAACUUUUUUUAUUGGUUUGAGAAUUAACGGUAUUUUUCUUUUAUGUUAUGUGUUUACAUUAUAGGGUUUGCUAAUGAUAAUGAGAAUGAUAUAACUGAAGCUACCCUGAGAAAUGCUGUUUCUGCUACUGAAGAGGGUUUUUUGGAUUUUGCAAAAAUGAAUUAUAUGCAUCAGCCAAAUCUUGGAUAUGUUGGUUCAUGCUGUCUUGCUGGAAUUAUAUGGAAAGAGACACUACAUGUUGCAAAUCUUGGAGAUUCGCGCGUUGUAAUUGGUACUAUGGUUAAUAAAAAGAUCCGUGCCGAGCAGUUAACAAGAGAUCACAAUUGUAAUGAUGAAGCUAUUAGAGAAGAACUCAGGGCAAUGCAUCCUGAUGAUCCUAACGUUGUGAUAAAUGAUAAUGGUUCGUGGCGUGUUAAAGGCUUCAUUACGGUAAUUUUUUGUUUUUCUUUUAAUCAAUUUAGAUAGAGUUAUUGUUUGAUUUGAUAUUGGUUGUAAUGUUUUCUUGUAUAUUGAUUAGGUAAGUAGAGCUAUUGGUGAUGCAUAUCUGAAGAGGUCUGAAUUUACUUUGCGCGAAUCAUUCCCCAAAUUGGAAAUAGUUCCGGAACCCUUUACAAGAGGUGUGCUAUCAGCAGAACCAGAGAUGCAUACUAGAGUUUUAACAGAUAAUGAUAAGUUUAUUAUAUUUGCUUCUGAUGGACUUUGGGAUUUCUUGUCAAAUAAAAAAGCUGCUGAAAUUGUUCAAAAGAAUCCUAGAAAUGUAUGUAUAUAUCUAUAACUUGUUCUUUUCUUGAUUUUUCCAUUCACAUUGAGAAGAAACACGAAGACUUAUUUAGCCUUUAGAAAAUGAAAAUAAGUCUUCGUGUUUUUUGAUUGACGACAAUUUGAGUCUUUACAGUUAUAUUUGCAGGCUUUUAAUUUAAUUAUUCUGUGGUGGAUUUUGCAGGGAAUUGCAAAAAGGCUUCUGAGUACCGCUCUAGCGGUAGCUGCUAAAAGAAGGAAGGUUACCUAUAGGAAGAUUCAGGCCGCUGCUACGGGACGCAACAAUGUGAGCCGGAGGUCUUUUCAUGAUGAUAUAAGUGUGAUUGUGGUGUUCUUGGACAAAACGUCGUUUCCGAGGCAGCCUGUACUUAAUUUGUCCUACACAGGCUCAUCUGACAUGCCUGUACAAUCAGAUUUUGCACAAUUUGGAUUAACCACUUCAAGGCUGCAGUCAUUGAGGCAUCGGAGUCUGAAGGAUAUUAUCCAGUUUGAAUCAGGUUCAUCACAUGCAUCUAGCUCUCAGGGCCCUCGGACUCCUCUGGCUCUGAACCCUCAAACCCUUGAGGGCGAGAGUUCUCGGGCUCAGAGCAAUCGGUAGAAUCUCAAACAGUGGUUUUUCCUCAGUUUUACGUAUCAUGAAAUUUUAAUAAGUGUUCUGGAGUUUGUGACACAAAGGAUUAUGUCUGAUAUGUAGCAAAAAAGCUUGUAUGGUUCUGCUUUGUUUUGGAAAUGAAAGUUCAAAAGUAUUCUGAAAUGUUGCAUAGUGUUUUUACAUUACUCUAAAUUAAAUUUCAUGGUUUCGUUCACUCUUAAUUAAUUUGAUUCAACAUUUGAUUCUACAUGGUAAUAAGGAUAUUCUUAAAUAGCAAGAAGAGAUUGUUGCUAGCUUUUUUAACAAGAAUUUGUUCUAGCUAGCAUUCCUCUUUUCUCAAAUUCAUGUAUAAAUAUUUACAGCAUAGACUAUGAUUGAAUCUCUGUCGACAACUUUGUUACACUAAAGUUAUCAAAUUUCAUAAUGAAUAUGUUUUAAAAAAAAAAUGUGCAUAUGAUGGUAUAUCUAUUUUAACUUAAAAAAACUAAAAUUUUGGAGUAAUCAUAAAUGGGUUUCAGCUAGUAAAGUUGUGGAUUCUAUGUACUCAUAAAUGGCUCUGAACCCUUAAAUUCCUUUGCAUGAAUCAAUAGCCAUGGAUAAUCCAGUUAGUGCUAAAGAUUGUCAAAACUACACAUCUAUUAUAUGGCCUCAAGGGAAUGAUUUUUGUUAUUAAUCAAUAGCCAUGUUAUGUGGUUCCAUUAUAGGGCAUGCUAAAGAUAAUUAGAAUGAUAUAACUGAAGCUACCCAAAUGAUGGGACUCCUUCCCAGACCCUACGUAUGCGGGAGCUUUAAUGUACUGGAUUGCCUUUUUUUGUUUCAUUUGAUAUUGGAUGCCUAGCCACUGAUAGAUAUGAGAUGCCUAGCCACCGAUAGAUAUGAUGCCACACCAUACCAAAAAAAUCACAAUGGAUGAGUAAAUGAUUCGCGGUCUCGGAAGAGCCGCACCCACCAGUACAAGAAGUGUCGUCAAGAGGAAUGAUGCGCUUACGGAGGAGGUUGUCUUAACUGUUAUAUUUAUGAGUUCUCCGGUCCUUUUAUUUAUUGCUCAAUUAUUUAUAUCAAUAUAUAUUAUCCAUAACUCACUAGUCUUCAAUAAAAGGCUAAAUUAAUUCAAUGGUCCCUUAACUAAUUUUUCAGUUUUCAUUUUGGUUCCAUAAAUCUUAAAAUCAUCAAUCUGGUCCCUCAACGUUUGCUCCGUUAUUCAAAAAAGUCUAUUAACUUUAACCUCAAAUAUCUAUGGUGAACCAACCUUAAGAGUGAUCCACCAUAGAUCCUAUUAAUUAUUUUAAUUUAAACUGUUUGAUUUUUUUUUUUAAAUAGGACUGUUAGAUUUUGAAGGUCCAUCAUAUCUAAUAGUGAUCAUCACCAACUAAUUUUUUUCCCUUUCACCGCUCAUUAACAACCCAUCAAAAUAUUCCAUAAACAAAAAAUAAACAUGAACAUCAUUAUCAUAUAAAAAAAUUAAAAUGUUGUGAACUGUAAAAUUUUUGUCACUAACAUUCAGAAUUGUAAGAACUUAAUAGCAGAGAAAGAAAGGAACAAAAUAGAAAUCCAUUUGUGUUAGCAUUGUAUAAUCAAAAACAACACAAAUUAAUAACAAAUGCAACAUCAAUAUUCAAACCCUAAUCCCAAUUUAAAUCCAAAUCCACACAAUUCAUCAAAAAAAUUGGUACUUUUUAAGUUGUGUUUUUUCUUUGGAUUUGUGUUGUGUUGAGAGAAGAAGAGUGAAAGAAUUCUAGAAAAAAAAUUAUGGAGAAGAGUAAGGAAAUCUGGAAAGGAAAAAAAUUGUGUUGUGUCUUUAGAUUUGUAUUUUGGAAAGAAAAAAAAUCUAGAAAUGUUGAUAUAGAUAUGAGGAAGAAGAAGAGAGAAGAUGAUGAAAGUGAAAAAAAUUAUGUGCUGAUGGUUCACUGUUAAAUACAAUGGACAUUCAAUCAAAUGGUUAAAAUCAAAUCAAAAAAUUUAGACAUUAAAAAACUAACAGAGGACACCAAAUUGACUAACGGAGCAAAAGUUGAAGGACCAUAUUGAUGAUUUUAAGACUUAUGGGACCAAAAUGAAAAAUGGAAAUUAGUUGAGGGACCAUUGAAUUAAUUUAGCCUCAAUAAAACUACCUAAUCCUGAAUACUCUGGUCCUCGAUAAAAUAAUUGUUUAAAAAAAAUUAAAACACAUUAAUAUUAUAUUCCUCACCCAUACCAAGAAUUUUAUUGAGUAUACACACUAAUUGUUUUUCAGAAUUAAAUCGAAAAAGGGUCAUAAUUGAAACCCCUUUCUUGAGACGUUUAUUGCUACUUCAAUUGGUAUCAAACACAGUCUCUAAAAAGAAAUUCAAGCACUUAACACGUGCUAGAGGAAAAGAUUUAGGAAGAAGCAAUGUCAAGAGAAAAGUACAUACCAGAAGGCCUGUCUUGUGCAUGGCCUCCGUUUUUCGAGGGAAAAAACUACUACUUCCAGAAAGGAAAAAUGCAACUAUUCAUAAAGUCUUAAGAUAGAGCACGCCCCUUCUGACCACUGUGAAGUAUUUUGAUCGUAUCUAGAGUUCUAGACGUUGGAAUGAGGUCAAACCAACGCCCAAUUAAAUCUAACAUGCAUAUCUACAACUUUCAUGAAUACACCAAAGCCUAAUUAUGAACAUAAAAGUUCCAGUUUUAUUCUUGUUUUGGUUACCGAAAUCUGCGAUUUCCCAUAUGCGAUUUAGCCUUGAUAGACUUUUCCUAACUCCGUUUUCAACCCUAAACUCGCCAAACAUGAUUCUAAUCUUCAAUCCAUGAUUACCCUAUCAUUCAAACACUAAUUCUUCGUUAACCUACCAGAUUAUCCACUCUUUUAAAGACUAAAACUCAAUUCAAAAACUUAAAACUAGUUUUCCUCAAUUCUCAUCUUUCAAUUCGUUCAUUGUUAUUCUCUCAUCAUAACAUCAACAACUUAUUAAAAUUUAAGACAACCCUCCCAUCAUAGAUUAAGAUACCCUAAAGUGCAAAGAUUCUCCCCCGUACUUCGAUGUUUUGCAAAUUGAUGAAUUCAUGCGGUUGAAUCUCUCCUUGACCGUCUCUUUAUGCCUCCUCUCCUCUCUAGUUUUCUUCUAUUGCCUCCGCUAUCUUUUUUCUCUUUUUUGUUGUAUCCCUAAUUCUCUAAUCUCCUCCUCUAUUUAUAACCAUCAAGAGUUUGUUUCUCACUCAAUCUUUUUAACAGGGUUACUAUUCGCACCUCUAUUUUGGUUACUAUUCUUGUUGUAACUUCGCCGCCUUGCUACUCACACCUCCUUAUGCUUAAUUCAUUAAAACACUACUCAUCUCACUAACUACCUCUUUUCUAUCCAAUUUUACCAAACCACCUCGAUCCAUUCGAAAUCUACUUUCUUAUUCUUUCCAAAAACUAUAUUUUCUUCCUAAAUAUUAUUUUCUCCCAGUGUUUAACCCGUCCAUUUUCUCCUUACCUAUUCUCCCAAUGAAUUCAAAUAAUUUAAUUAAUACUAUCUAACAACCAAUACUAAUAAUAACAAUAAUACUAAUGUGUCUUAGAAAAACAAUAAUACUAAUGUUAUCUAAUAAUAAUAUUAAUAAACUAAUAUUAAAAAUCGGGGUGUUACAUUUUUAGUACUUUUCUCUACAUUUGAAAUCAAAUAAGAUGUGAAUUAGAGGAGUUGUCAAUGGUUUGAGAAAAAAGUACAAGAGGGAUGACUAGGCCAAAACCCUCAAAAAACAUAGAAGAAACAACAAAAAAAGAAAAGAAAAAUGAAACAACAAACAGGAAAGAAAAAAAGGAAACACCUAACUACUGAAAUGAGAGCGAGGGAACCCACUCCGGUCCAAAAAGAAGUCAGUCUGAAGAGUCUGAGGCAAUACCGAGAACCAAGUUGUGCCUUGUAUCGAAUGACCCAUAUUAGCAAGUAAAUCGACGCUCGUCGAGUCAUUCCAAUAACGAAAAUUCAUUGAUCACCUGAGUCCGGGGUAUCACCAACUCCUCCCGCGAUUCAAAGUUUACUUGUUCCACAUAUCCAAAAGCACGACAGCGUGCACAUCAUCAGGGGAAGCUAACUCCAAUACUGGGUGCAAAGGCAAAGAGCCUUGGGGGAUCUCCUCAGACACACAGGGGGUGUCUGAGCUAGUGUUGGAGCCGCAUAAGUAGAACAAUCAAUAGUAGUCGAAUUGAUUUAUGGCUCGGUAGGUUUAGGUGCUGCAAAUGCAAUGGAUGAACCUAUACCAUAGGGGUUCUCUUUAAUAUGCACCCACUGAGGUUUCUUGGUUGGUAUCUGCAUCUUCCCUUUUGCAACUUUAUCCUUAGACAUGUCUUCCUUCCUAGGGUACAACCAACGACAGUUUGUAACAUCAUGUCCAAGUGUCUGACAAUGCGAACAAAAAUCUGGAAUCCGUUCAUAAACCACCUUCCCGUUCGACGAGAAUUUCGUGAAAAAUCUUUUUGGAAAAUUCAAUGUCGACUAUAUUACGUGCAUAGUGUCCAAAAAGUCUUUUCAAGGUUCCAUCCAAUAUUCUUGUGGCAGUGCCAUGAAUCGGAUCCAUACUUGCGCAUGUGUAUUUCUCUGAUUAUGCAUAUCAAAAUCUAUUGACCAUUCAAAUAAUCGUAACACCCUCGGCUUCAAGUUCACAGUUCCCAUUGCCCAAACAAUUUGCAAAUAUUCAAUGGCAAAAAAGAAUUCAUAAAAGCCCCUACCUAAAGAUAGCAACGUCCAAGGUGCAGCAGUCUUCCAUUGUUUCCGAAGCUUGUCUUCAAUUUCCUUCGACGCAUAGGGUUUAUCUCCUUUUUGUUUAGAACCAACCUUCCACGAAGGUUUCUCUUACACACAUUGACCCCUGUGUUCAUAAAUUGGCCGAGUAAUACGAAUAGAGAGAGUCUCACCACGGAUUGUAGGUUGUGGCAGAUUGCCGUAGGUAGCUUUGCCGUGCGAUGCGACAAGUGCUUGUGCAAAGGACCGCGACGGUGGUUGUGGUGCUGGAACCGCCGUUGUGGAGGGCAGUGCCAUGAGAGAUGGUGCAGCUUUGGAGGGCGCAGCUGUCGGCAAUAACAACUCUGCCUGCCAAUCGAACGGCCUAGCAGAAAGUCUUGAAAGAGCACCGAAUAGCACUUCAGUUAAUCACCAAUUGGAAAAUAGUGACCACCGAAUUUGUACAGUUUAACAAAUCAAAAGUUAAAGAAACUAGCACUCCCAAAGAAUUUGAAAGACCACGUAAAGUGAAUUCAAGGAUGCUAAAUAUGGUAAAUAUUCCAAUUGUAAACAAUCAGAGGUCAGCACCGAACAAUAAUAACAAGUAGCAAUGGAAAUGGAUGGAGAAUUAAAAUCAAUUUUACAAAAGAAGGGGGGCUCUUACACACAUCAAAUAAGCAAUUAAAUCAAUAUAAUAAAUAAAUAAAGGGCUAUGCUAUAUGUAGCGACAAAAAGUCUCGCGAAUAUCCCACGAAUUAUGUUUUAUAAGCUUUUGCCGUUUUCCAUUUCACAGUUAUUACUCUCUACCUUUUUUUUUCCACUCAAAACUUGGUCACCAACUACAUAUGAAGACACAUGAAGGCAGAAGCAAACACUGUAUGCUCAGAAAAAGACAAUAAGCAAAGGCAACUUUGUCACGUCUCUAAACUUUGGUAAUUGAAGAGAACCAAUAAAAUAAUACAAUGAAGAGAAUCUGGAGAUGGAGUGGAACAGUUUGAAACAAGGGGAGAGAUAAAUGGUAUCACCAAAAAGAGAUAAAACAAGGAAAUCACCGCUUUUGAGCUUUUCUCGUGUGAUAUUCGUGAAACUUUUGUCGCGAUGUUAAGCAUUUUCCAUAAAUAAAUAAUCAUAGAGAAAAUCGGGGUGUUACAUUUCAUAGUCAUUAAUUGAUGUGACAACACAUCAUUAGUCCGGUACAUGAGGUACAACCACUUCUUACUUUGGCGUCUGGUUUCCCUAAUGUAAAAAAUAUUGUAGCUGGUCCAGACGAUCCGGUGUUGCAAAAGGAAUUAGAUUCGAUCAAUCAUUUUUUAUUGAACAGCACCACCGCAGAUAUCCCCUUUACUCCUCACUUAACAAAGGUGCAAAAGAAGAAAGAAAACCAAGCAAACAAGGUGACUUAUGCAACCCGUUCUCAUGGUCCACUCCCGACCUCUCAAUGAUCUCUACUUGAAUUUGUGAUUUUGCGGUUGGUAUUUGGACGAGGCUUGGGGCUCAAAUUGGUCUGACACUCUUCCAUCGUCGUUGUCAUUAGACUUCUUUAGGGAUCGACAUGGCCUUCCUAAUUUUUUAUUUCCCUAGGUUGUCUGUUUUCUUUUUCUUUCUCGCUUUUUUUGUUGUUGAGGGUUUUGGUCUAGUGCCCCUUUAUAUUUCUUUUUCCCUUUUCAAUAAUAUAUAUGGAGUAGGCGGUAGAGGAUGGGAGUUCCGGUUGGAUGCCAACCUGAUUGGGAUGUUUCCGACCUCCUUAAUGCCUAACCUAUUUCUUGACUUAUAAAAAAAAGAUACACCGAUGAAAUAUACUAAUUGAAUUUUUAUAAUAAUGUAAUAUUAAACUUGGUUUCAAAUUUUACUAGAAAUGUAAGUGCGUAUUAGUUAAUAUCAUAUUUUUUAUAUGUAAAACAUUUGAGUAUUUAUUAGUGAACUCAUUCAUUUCACUCUCUUUUACUUAUGUAGAAAAAAGAUGACAAACAAAUUAAUGGCAUUAUAGAAGACAAACAAAAAACUCAUUAUAGAAAUUAAUGGCAUCCAUCCGUAUUAUUGCAAAUUAAACAGAAUUACAAAGGGUGAUGGAAGCAAAAGAUGGUGCAAACUAAAGUGAUUGAACGAGCCAUAUAAGAGACUUUGCUUCGAAGAAGAAAAUAGAACUAGUUGAAACUUGUUGAACCGUUGAAGUGAAAUGCAAAUGGAGAUAGUGUCUUAAAUAGAGUAAUAGAAUUUUUUUUCCUAUCAAAAAUAGGGUAAUUUAUUUAUUUAUUUAUGGAAUAAAGCUUCUUUUCUAUUUUUUAUAAAGACAUAAGAGAUGAUAAUAAAUGUUCCCUUGUUGUUUGCCAAUGAAUGAGUAUUUUAUGCGUACUAGAUUUAAUACUAGUGCACAUGUGAAUAACAUGAUAAUUUUUGUAUUUUAGUAUGAUUUUUUUAUUUUGCAUGUGUUUAAAAUUUAUACUAUAUUAAUAUACAAUUACAACUUUUUUAUAUAAAUAAGUGUAAAUAUAUUAACUUGAAGUAUCUGUGCUAGAGAAAGUAUUUUGGCACACGUCAAAGGACCUCUUCCAAACAUCUUAAUGCUCUUACUUAGAUCACAAGCCUACGUUACCAAGCUCUGCUCGUGCUAGAGAAGGUUUUGAAUAAGUGAUUUCCAAUUAUUAAUAUAAAAUGUGAUUUUGAGUGAUGCCAAUCAUUCCACGUCGUUUUUAACCAAUUCACUCAUGCUUCACUCCAAUGGUAUAACUUUUUAGAGUCCAAAUAUAUUUUUACCAAUUACAUCAUUUAAAUAUUUUUAUUGUUAUUUUUAUUUUGUUAAUUUAAUAUUUUUUUAUCAAUUAAUAUAUUUUUCAAGUUAAUAAUAAAUUAAUUUCACCAUCAACUAUUUUGUAUAUAUUACCUUUUAAGUGCUAUGUUAGAUCUUGUAAAAAAAAAGUGCUAUGUUAGAUGGAAAUCAAACUAUUUUUUGAUUUUUUAUUGUUUAUGAGAUUUUAGGUUAUUUGAAUUAAUUUUUAUAGAAUUAAGUUUAGUUUUCAUUGAGAUAGCUGAUUGAUAAUCAAUAUUUAAUAUCUUAGUCAUCAUCCAUUCGUGAAAUGACAUUUUUACCCCUGUCUUCAUCUUCUUCUCAUGAUAAAGACGAGGGUAUUUUUGUCCAUUCCCAUGCAAUUUUGCUAAUUUUAUGACGUGCGAGUGAUUAAGUUGGUCAAAGGACGAAAUUUUAAAUGAUUAAACAAUGCAAGGGUAAAUUGCCAGGAUUAGCGAUUACAGAGACUAAUUUUUAAAUGGGUUUGUCUAACAUGUGCAAUAUUGCACAUGAUAAGGUAACUAAAAGUAGCAAAUUUUUAUUGAAACCAACAAUUAUUUAACAAAAAGUUAUAUAUUUAAUACAAAAUGUUCAAGUUCCAAUGCAAAUUUACUAUUUUAAAUUUCUUAACAUGUGCAAAUUUGCACAUGAUAGAAAAACCCUUUUUAAAUUACGUCUAAUUACAAGGACAAACACAUCAUUAAGCCUUUUGAAAUUUAUGUACAACAUAAAGGUAUUGAUCAUUUUUGCAAUUUAUCAUUUGUUAACUUCCCUAUAGUUCUAUUUGCAUGUACACAGCCAAACCGUCCUCGUGAGAUUAACUCAGUUGAUAGGAACAAAGCAUAACAUAUGCAAGUUCUGGGGUUCAAACCUCGAUCACCAUAAAAAAUAUCAAUUACCAAACAGAACUAUAGGAAAGUCCCUUAACCUUUGUAAAAGUGAUUUUGGCGAAAAAAAAUAAAAAGUGAUUUUGGUUAUAAUAAAUAGCAUUUCAAUAUUAAAAAUAAAAAGUGAUUUUGGCGAAAAAAAAGGCAAUGGUAGUGUCAUUAUUGAUUUUUCGUUUUUAAAGCGUUCGUGGUAUAUGGUAUUUCUCAAAUCUCAAUGAUAAGUCAACUUUGUUUUUUUUUUUUUUUUUGCUAAUAAUGAUCAAAUACAUUUAUAUUGUGCAUUAAAAUGUCAUCAUGAAACUUAGCUCAAUUGGUAGGGACAAUGCAUAAUAUAUGCACGGUUCGAGAUUCACACCCUGGCCACCACAAAAAAAAAAUUAUGCGUUAAAAUAUACCUAUACAUAAGUUUAAAAAAUAAAAUAAAUCAUCAAUUAAUUUAAGCAUGCUUCACAAUUCAUUACGUACAAAUGAAGAAAAAAAUAUCUGAAUAUCCAAUCUAUACGCUCAAAAUAUACGACAUUCCUUAGUUUUGAUUUUGAAAGUUAUUUUCAGUUUCACUUUAAUCCCUUAAAUUUUUUUAGUUUUAUUUUUGUCCCUUAACUAGUAAAUGUUAAACAAUUUUGUCCCUUAACCCUUUUAGGUUCUAUUUUUGUCUCUUAAAUUACAAACACAAUGCUUGAGAAAAAAAGAACAUAAGGUACAAAAUUAUUAGCUUUUGUAAUUUAAGAUACCAAAAUGCAACAAAAAAAAAAUUAAACGAAAAAAACAUAGAGAUCAAUGUGUCUAUGGUUUUUAAACAAAACAAAAAAAAAUAAAGGGAAGUAAGUAAAAUCUAAAAAUAACUUAAUGCAUCAAAAAUUUAAUUUAGCUUCGAAUAAACCUUGAAAUUUUUUUAAAUUUUUUUUUUAUCAAACAUUUGUCAAAAAAAAAAAAAAAAAAAAAACUUUAUCAAACCAUUUGGGUAUCAAUGAAGGUCUACAAAGACAACCUCAAAAACUCUAAUUAUAAAAGGAAAACAUAAAAAAUGAUUAAAAUAUAAGAUAUCACAAUAAAUGAUAUUUAAGAAUAUGAGAAUAUUGUAUGAGAGAUGAUGGUUCCAUCACCUUUUGUAAUUAUGUUUAAUUAGCAAUAAUACAUAUGGAUGCUAUUAAUUUCUAUAAUGAGUUUUUUGUUUGUCUUCUUUUACUACAUAUGUCAUUUUUAUUGAAAUAUAAACAAAUAGGUCCAAAAAAUUAUAUGUGUUUGUCUAAAUUUCAUGCCAAAUACACUAUAAAAUUGUUUAUCUAACCAUUACCGAGAGUUUUUUUUUUGGUACAACCAUUACCAAGAGUUUUAUUCUUGAGUGUAUAAACUUAAUUAGGGUUAAGAGUUUUGAUUUAUUGUGCAAAUAAGAUUGGUUUGUCUGAUUUAGAUGGUUGACAAUGAUUAAAGGGUCCGUUUGUUACGAAUUAAAAUAAAAGGAAUUUUUACAUAUAAUAAUUUAGAGAUUAUAUUUUAGACCAUUUGUUAUAGCUUUUUUCAGAAGAAAAAAUAAUAAUUUAAAAAAAAAACACAACAAGAAAAAAUGCAUUUUGCGACUUUUAAAAUGACAGAUUGUGACUGUUAGAAGGGUCGCAAAUGUACAUUUGCGACUGUUCUCCAACAGACGCGGAUGUUGGGGUCGCAACUGUCUUUUGCGAUAGUUCAACGAACAGCCGCAAAAGGUAUUGCGACAGUUCCAAACAGUCGCAAAUGUAGAGCUUUCACUAGGUUUUGAAGGGACUUGCGACCCUUCACAACUGUCGCAAGGCAGGCACUUUAAUUUAAUUUAAAUGGGCUUGCGACCCUUCACAACAGUCGCAAAUGUUUAGUUUUUUUUUAAAAAAAAUAUAAAAUUAAAUGGUGCAAUUUUUGUUGACGAUAAUUCUUUGUUACCCAUCUCACUAUGGUGGGUAUUUGUACCCAUGACAUUUUAAGUCGGUUAAAAUGUUAACUGACGUCAUAAGAUUUUUUUUUUUAAUUUUUUUUUAGAAACGAGAUUUUCUUUGAUACCAGAGUUUUAGCAGAAUGCGGAAGACUUUUUCUAUAGAAAAAUUUAAAAUCUUUUGUCUAGUUUUUCGAGUUGUAGAGACAACUUGAGCUUUGUAAUUUAUUUAUCUCUUUUUGUUCUGAGAUUUCAAAAUCUCUUUUGGGUGGUGUUACUCUAAGGCUUUAAUCCAUGAUCGAUGGUUUUUCUGUUUCUUCAAAUAUAUAUUUCUCAGCUUCUAUCAAGGAAAAACUAUUUCUUGCUAAAUUUCUAAAUAUAGGUGACUUUAGGGUAACUAAAGGUGUAAAUAAUUCAUCAAUAUGAAUUGUAUUUUUUCCUAUAAAUUCUAUGCUAUGGUGUGAAUUACUCAAAGAAUAAUUAAUUCUAUUACAUAUUGUAAAAGGAUGAUUACCCUUUUUCAUAAAAUUCGAGUUUUCCAACUUAUAAUGAAAAACUAUAGAUCUAUCUAGAUCUUUAUCUUUUUGGGAUAAUCCCAUUUGUAAAUUUAUAUCAAAUUUUAUUUUUCCAUAUUUUAAAUUACACUUUACGUGUGCAAUUGUUGCUUGUCUUUUGUCUAAAAUCCUAGAGUCUUCUAGGGCUAUUUCUAGAGGUGAAUCAAUACAUUUCAUAAAGAUACUUUUGAUUAAAAUUUGAAUAAUUGAUAUAUGAAUAUAACCACUUUUUCUUUUUUCUUUUUCAGAAAAUGUUUCAAUUCUUUUUUCAAUUUGAGUUUUUUGUAUGGUAGAUAUGAAUAUAUUUCCUUGAGUAUUUGCAAUUGAAAUUUCUUCUUCUUCUAUCAUUAUUCCAAAUUUCAAAAUAUUUUUUCUUGAGAAAAAUUCUUUGAAUUUAUUAAACUUUCUUUUGAAAUUUUCUUCAGCAGUUAAAGAUAAAUCUGAUUCUUCUAUCUUAUUAUCUAUUAUGUCAUCAGCAUAAUAACUAGAUGUUCCUUCAAAGUAUGAAACCUCGGUCAUAUUCUAUGUUGUUUAUUAUGUCAAUACUAUGAUACUGAAAAGUAAAUUUUGAAUUUAAUAAAGAUAUAUUCAUACCUGAUUUGAUUUUCUUUGAGAUUUUGUUGAUAUUUUUGGUUUCAUUGUAGUUAGAUAUAAUAAUACCCUGUUUUUCCAAUUUUAACUUCCCUAUGCCCAAAUUUGAUCCAAAAACUUUUCUAACCAUUUCUAUACAUGUUAAGGCACUCAAAACCAUAUAAAACAUUGCACUAAAAAUAACUCAUGAUCUGAACAUCACUUCUACCAAAUUCAACGGAUUUUCUACUCUAUUAACAACCAAUUACAACUUCAAAACCUAAUUCUCAAAUUCUCAUAACUACAACCUACAACAUGCAAAAUUCAAUUUCAGAAUUAUACAACGUAGAAUUAGAGAAAGUUAGUCCCACCCUUACAAAAUAUAAUCAUUCGAAGAUUAUAUCUAGCUACAACGAAACCAAAAAUAUCAACAAAAUCUCAAAGAAGAUCAAAUCAGGUAUGAAUAUAUCUUUAUUAAAUUCAAAAUUUACUUUUCAGUAUCAUAGUAUUUACAUAAUAAACAUUAUAGAAUAUGACUGAGGUUUCAUACUUUGAAGGAACGUCUAGUUAUUAUGUUGAUGACAUAAUAGAUAAUAAGAUAGAAGAAGCAGAUUUAUCUUUAACAGCUGAAGAAAAUUUCAAAAGAAAGUUUAAUAAAUUCCACUACUACAAAAAUGGGCUUAUAUAGCGCUUUUUUUUUUACUUUAGCUAGCGCUUUGUAAGCGCUACUGUAAAUGGCGCUGGUAAAGGUAAUAUAGCGCUUUUUUCUUGUAUAAAGCGCUAUCUAAAGCGCUAUCUCAGUAUAAAGCGUUAUCUCAGUAUAAAGGUAAUAUAGCGCUUUUUUCUUGUAUAUAGCGCUUUUUGUCAAAAAACGCUGGCAAAGAUUCUCCUUAGAUAGCGCUUUCAUUAAUAAGCGCCAUCUAAAAGGGGUUUAAAAUAACGCAUACACUUGUAGAAAACAGCGUUUUUGUUUAAAAACGCUAUGUAACACUAGGUUUAGAUAACGCUUUAUACUGAGAAAAAGCGCUAGGAAAAGCAUUAAUUUUUUUUUUGACAGAUUUUUUUUAAUUUUUAAUUUUUUUUUGUCAGAUUUUUUUUUAAUUUUUACGGAUAGCAUUUUUUUAUUAAUUUAAAGUAAUAUAUAUAUACACACAUACAUUUAUAUAUAUAAUUUUUCUAAAGGAAAUAUAUAUAUUUUUGGCAUAUUAAAAUUGAGACUAUUAUUUAUCAAAUAAAACUUAAACACAUCACAAAAAAAAUUAUGUAUAUAUAGCAUAAAAGUCAGAAAUGUAUAGCCACUAAUAUGGUAACAUAAUAUGGUAACAUGGAUAUCUCUAAGUUACAACUAAUUAGUUAACAUAAAGAUAAAAAAUCUUCUAUGGUAGCAUGCAGACUUGAUAAAUCUUCUUGGUCGUCUCAACAUUGUUAUCCAAAACAAGCAGGCCAAUCAUUAUUCAUUUCCAAAUACAGCUAACUUUCUCCACCUGAAUAUAUAACAAAAAACACCAUUAAACAAUAAACAAUAACACUAUAUUAUAUUAGAGGAAAAUUCAAAAUACUACUCAUCGUUUCUCUAUUUUCAUUCAUCUAGAUCUUUCUCUCUAUGCAAUUAGAAAUAUAUAUACAAUACACAAAGCAUAGUUAGUUCUAGCUUAGAUUUUUUUUUAACAAGCAAAAAUGAGAUAUAUUAACACGGACACCGUAAUUGUUACCGCACAAGAUGUGCCAAAACAAUCACGGAAAAUGUCAAGGUCCAACCAAAUCAGUCAAUACCCAGACAUGAAAGCGGGUUCGACCACCAAUGAUGAGUACCAAAACUAAAUACAACGUUACACGCUUUUAACCACCACAAAGAAGUUGAUUAAAGAUAAUGGCUAUUUAGUCAUAUUAAAGAUAUGAUAUACAUACUGUGUGCUCAUAAUUCAAUGAUGUGUGAAGCUGACACAUAUUAAGAUAUGAUAACUAUACUUUUCCCUACCUUAAAAAAAACUAUACCUUUUGCUUAGUUGGAGGGUUAUUUCAUUAAUAAUCACAUAAUUAAUUUGUUUCUUUCCUGUGUAGUUGUUUCUCUUCCCACUAAAUUUGGAUAGUAACAAAUAUAGCUAGUUCCCUAGUUGUAGAACACAAUUUAUAAUUGACGUGUUAGGUGUGGCCAAUAAGUGAAAACUAAUGAAGAUAUAGUACCAAGUUACUAACCAUCUUUUGGUUUUGUAGCACGUGUGCUAACAGUACUGUAACUGAUAUGUGCAUACAACAAAAAAAAGGGGGGAAAAGGGGACUGAAUUGUCAUACAUAAACGAAUGAAGAAACCUAACAAUGAGAAGAGAAAAACCUCUAUUGUGGCAGCAAGGACAAAUACUACGUACUAGAGUUAAAUUGAAAUGGUUCCAACGACCUGUUCAAAUUUCAAUCUAAUAUCUACUUGACAAUUCAGGUUAACUCAUGAUCACAAGAGAAAAAUCUGCAUGCUAAUAAAGAAGCUACUAAUAUAAAUACUUUGCUUUGGCAUCAAGAAGUCAAGAGAGAUACAACAACAUAUUAUAUAAUAAUUUAAAACCUUUUUAUUUUUAUUUUUAUAAUAAGCUAUAAUAUAAAACCUAUUACUUAUCAAGCUAUAAUAUAAUAAACUGCAACUUAAAACAACUUAAAACAUGUAUUCUAAAUUCAAAUCAUUUAGUCCUAAUUUGAAAUCACUAAAAACAGAGACCCCAAGACAUGUUUGAUUUCAAUGUCAUUAAUAAUUAGUUAAUUGCAGUAAGAAUUGAUAGAGAACAUGCUUUCAAUUUUACCACAGUAUAAGAGUUUGCAGAGUAACGACAAAGACAAAUUAAAACCAAUUAAAGGACUGAAUACAUUGAAUUGAAGAUUACAAUAGAAGACCAAUCACAGUGCAAGAUCAAGACAUUUACCUAAGAAUAAGAUACGACUUUGUCCACUUCAACAACAGGACAGGAGAUUGCGGUUUGUGAUUUCCAACUGCAAAUACAAUUGCAUUAGUCACACUUGUAAUUUUCUACAAUAUAUCAAUAAUCACAACACCAACUAAAUUGAAGAAAAAUACCAAAUGGGUUAGUUUUAUUCCAUCUACGCAAACUUCAGACUAACCUGAUAAGAGGAGGCUUCGACGAGGGAAUCGAACCAAUAACAACGACGAUGGCUUGACGGCGGUGGCCAGAGACACUGAGAUUAGCGUGAGAAGUGAUGAGCAUAGGGAAUCAAUCAGAGAAGAUGGGUUUGAGGGGUUUGACGGUUGAAUCGAUGGGUUUGGGGGAAACCAGUCAUGAACCAACCAAGCAUAAAAGCAAUCGAUGAGAAAGAUUCAAAGAGGUAAUCAAUGGGCUUUUAGGGAGGAAUCAAUGGUCGGCGAUUGAUGGUUUGCACAAAUGGGUAGGCGAUCAGAUUCAAAGAGGAGAUGGGUUAAUUUGUUUGAUUUCACAAGAGAAUUUGGAAUUAAUAUUGGGGAACGUGAAGGAAGGAGUAGUUUUCUUUUUUUGUUUUGUUUUAAGACUUUCAAUGAAAUAAAUAAUUUUAUUUUUAAUAAUUUAAAUUAAAAAAAGUUUUUAAUUCAUUUAGGGAAGAAAAAAACGAAAAAUAUUAGAGAGGGGAUCGAACAAGGGACCAAGAGCUUGUUGGUGGUUGUUGUAUGCCACUUUGAAAAUCAAUUUAUUUCAUAAGAAGCGCUUUUUUUAAAUCAAUAAACGCUAUGUUUGUAGUAUCAACUAUAGCGCUUUAAAAGCGCUGUUUAAAAGUGAAUCAUAAAUAGCGCUUUCUAUAUUAAGCGCUAUCUAAGGUUAAUUGUUCAAUUAUUUUAUAUUUAAUAUUUUUUUAAGAAUUCUACGUUAGCGCUUUUGACACAAAACGCUAUAAUCAGUUUGCCUCAUAAAUAGCGUUUUUUUUAUAAAAGCGCUAUCUAAGCCCUCCGUGUUUCCUUAUAUAGCGCUUUAGUGUUAUAAGCGCUGCUAAAUGAGCGCUAUUUUUUCCCCAUUUUGUAGUAGUGUUCAAAGAAUUUUUCUCAAGAAAAAAUAUUUUGAAAUUUGGAAUAAUGAUAGGAGAAGAAGCAAUUUCAAUUGAAAACACUCAAGGAAAUAUAGUCAUAUCUACCAUACAUAAAACUCAAAUUGAAAAAAGAAUUGAAACAUUUUCUGAAAAAGAAAAAAGCAAAAUUGGUUAUAUUCAUAUAUCAACUAUUCAAAUUUUAAUCAAAAGUACCUUUAUGAAAGGUAUUGAUUCACCUCUAGAAAUAGCGCUAGAAGACUCUACGAUUUUAGACAAAAGACAAGCAAAAAUUGCACAAGUAAAAUGUAAUUUAAAAUAUGGAAAAAUAAAAUUUGAUAUAAAUUUACAAAUAAGAUAUCCCUAAAAGAUAAACAUCUAGAUAAAUCUAUAGUUUUUCAUUAUAAGUUGGUAAACUCGAAUUUUAUAAAAAAGGGUAAUCAUCCUUUUACAAUCUGUUAUAAAAUUAAUUAUGCUUUGAGUAAUUCACACCAUAGCAUAGAAUUUACACCAUAGAAUUUAUAGGAAAAAAUACAAUUCAUAUUGAUGAAUUAUUUAAACCUUUAGUUAUCCUAAAGUCACGUAUAUAUAGAAAUUUAGCAAGAAAUAGCUUUUCCUUGAUAGAAGCUGAGAAAUAUCUAUUCGAAGAAACAUAAAAACCAUUGAUCAGGAAUUAGAGCCUUAGAGUAACACCACCCAAAAGAGAUUUUGAAAUCUCAGAACAAAAAGAGAUAAAUAAAUUACAAAGCUCAAGUUAUCUCUACAACUCAAAAAACUAAACAAAAGAAUUUAAAUUUGUCUAUAGAAAAAGUCUUCCGCACUCUGCUAAAACUCUGGUAUCAGAGCAAACCUUGUUCCUAAAUAAAUAAAUAAAUAAAUUAAAAAAAUAAAAAUAAAAAUAAAAAAAUCUUAUGACGUCAGUUAACAUUUUAACCGACUUAAAAGGUCAUGGGUACAAAUACCCACCAUAGCGAGAUGGGUACACAAGUUGUCACCUAAACAAAUAUAUUAAUGAGUACUUAAAAUACAGAAAUAUAUAACUAAAAAUAUCUAAAUCCCAUUCAUAUGAAUCCACAAAAAUGUUACAAAUCAAACAAGGAAAACAUAAGAUUUUAUGAAACAGACUCCCAUCUUUAAGAUCUUUAUCAGUUGAGUAUCUUAACUUCGUGAGAGUUUCUGCCACACACACUGCUACAUAAACCUUAUUUGCAAACUUGUAGCAGAAUCGACUAAUACUCAACCGUUGUAACCCUCCAAUAUAACCUACAAAAAACAUCUUAUUUAAUCAAUCAAUGGUCAUCAUCUCUAUUAUCUUUAUAAAUCAAUAUGAAAUUCCAAUCAAUUGAUAUGAAACACACUGAACAUAUUGCCUAAAGACAUAGAACUCUUAGCAAUACUAAUAGCCAUACAUCCAUGAAUAUUUUACAUCUAUUUUUAUUUCUAUUGUUUGUUUCUGAACACAGAAGUAGCAUAGACCCAAAAAAUAAAUCAAACUACAGCCACCGUAAUUACGCCUAUUGAUCACCCCACAACCUGCUGGACCUAUGACAGCCCUCACGCAACAAAGAAAAAACUGCAUUGCACAUCAAGUAAAAACACAGCCUACAGACCCACAAAAACCCGCAAAACCUCCAACACAAUAGGCAGCAACCGUAGCGCAACAAAACACAACACCUAUCACAGUCCUCUAGUAGUCUAGUGUCGUAAUUUGCAGUUUUUCUUGUAGUUAAAUAAUAAAUAAAAGUUUUGUAUCCGUUUGUUAAAACUUUUUAAAAAAUAAGAAUCUAAAAACAGCUUUAAAUGAGAAGGUGUUAAGAGCAACUUCACAAAAAGUAGAUUUUUUCAGAGGAGAGAGAAAAUAUUAUUUAAAAGAUUAAACUAAUUUUGUAACAAAAAUCCCUUUUAUAUAUAGUUAUCCAAACAAAUUGAAUUAUUUGUUUAAAAAAAUGAUUUUUAUUAUAUAUUCUGAUUUUUCAUUUUUUUUUAGGGAAGAUUCUGAUUUUUCAUAAAUCUCUAAAUUGUUUUAUUUUAAUCCGUAACAAAUGGGCUGUUAAUUUGUUUUGAUACAAAUAUAAAAAAGAGAUUUUUCGUUACAAAAUUAGUUCAAUUUUUAAAACCAUAUUUUCUCUCACCUCUAAAUAAAUCUAUUUUUCUAGAAGCUGCACUUAACAGCUUCUCAUUUGAAACUAUUUUUAGAUUUUUUUUUUUCAAUUUCUAAUUUUUUUUAAAAGUUGUAACAAACGGAUGCAAAACUCUUAAAAAUAAUUUUUUUAAAAAUGAUUUUUUCUUAAAAAAAAACUAUAACAAACGGGGUUUAAGAUUCUUUGAAUAUCAUCUAUCUUUUUAUUGGGUUAAUAUAAGUUUCCUACUAAUUAUUAUAUAAAAGAAUCCUUAUAGAAGAGAAAUAUUAACCAUUCAUGUUACUAUUGCAUCGGAUGAGCGGAGUUUCUAAAAAUUAAAAUUGUUAAUAUCUUAUUUGUGAUCUAUAGUUUUUAGUUUUCAUAAACAAGUAUUUAUGUAAUAAAAGAAUUCAAGUGACUUAUUUUUUUUUAAUGGUAAAUGUUAGUAUUUAGAAGUUAUGUAGUAUUUUUGUCUCCUUUGCCAUGAUUCAAACAUGGACCUUUUAUACCUUAACUCCUUUAAUCCCAAGUGAGCCAUUCAUCUCCCAUUGACUCAUACUUUCAUGAUAGGAAAAUAAUUAGAAAUUAAAGAAAAUGAAGGAAGAAAAAUUAAGGUCCAAAACUUUCAUACGCUAUAAUAACAUAAAAGUUCUGUUAAAUCAUUCCCUUCAAUCAAAUCAUCCUACGAAGCACGAACACUCCUCCAAUUAGGCGUGUCGUGCCCGACACCGACACUUAUAUUUACACUAAAAAUGUGACUUUUUCAAAUUAUUAGCUGUGUCGGCGUGUCAGUGUCCGUGUCCGUGUCGUGUCCGGUGUCCGUGUUCGUAUCCGUGCUUCAUAGAAAUCAUCUUAUGUAGAAAUGUGUGGUCAAUAUAUCACAUAGAAACGUUUCCUUCAAUUUUCCUUUUCCCGCCAAUUCAUAAUAUUGCAAUGACAAAGUUAGUUAAAUUCUGUUAGGUUUCUGUUUAGAAUAUUUAGUUUUCUGUUGUCAGUUGGUUGAUAUACACACACACACACACACACAUACAUAUAUACAUAGAAUAUUCAUUCCUAAUCACAUUCACAAUUUUUCAUACUUUAAAUCAUCAUUCACAAUCAAGAUCACUCUAUUUUUCUUUUCCAAUCACAUUUUCUUUUCCUUCAAAGAUGCAUUCUUGGCUUGAAAAUAUAGUUAAUCUAUACAGGAACAUGAGGAAUGACAACUUUGCUUUAUUCGACGAAGACCCUCUCGGGAGAUCGAUUAAUCUCCAAAGCCAUUGCUAUGGAGAAUUUUCCAGUGCUGUUGUUCAAGCCAAUACUACUAUGGAAGAUCAAAGCCAAAUUGAAGUUGCCUCUAACAAUGCAGUCUUUCUUGGAAUUUACGAUGGCCAUGGUGGCACCCAAGCUUCCCGGUUCAUCUGUGAACAUCUCUUCAAAAAUCUAUUGAGUGAGUAUCUUUCUUUGAUAAAAAAGUUUAUUUCUUUUUAUUAAUCUUUGAACUUUUUUAAUUGGUUUGAGAAUUAACGGUAUUUUUAUUUUAUGUUAUGUGUUUACAUUAUAGGGUUUGCUAAUGAUAAUGAAAGUACUUCUUUGAUAAAAAAGUUUAUUUCUUUUUAUUAAUCUGUGAACUUUUUUUAUUGGUUUGAGAAUUAACGGUAUUUUUCUUUUAUGUUAUGUGUUUACAUUAUAGGGUUUGCUAAUGAUAAUGAGAAUGAUAUAACUGAAGCUACCCUGAGAAAUGCUGUUUCUGCUACUGAAGAGGGUUUUUUGGAUUUUGCAAAAAUGAAUUAUAUGCAUCAGCCAAAUCUUGGAUAUGUUGGUUCAUGCUGUCUUGCUGGAAUUAUAUGGAAAGAGACACUACAUGUUGCAAAUCUUGGAGAUUCGCGGGUUGUAAUUGGUACUAUGGUUAAUAAAAAGAUCCGUGCUGAGCAGUUAACAAGAGAUCACAAUUGUAAUGAUGAAGCUAUUAGAGAAGAACUCAGGGCAAUGCAUCCUGAUGAUCCUAACGUUGUGAUAAAUGAUAAUGGUUCGUGGCGUGUUAAAGGCUUCAUUACGGUAAUUUUUUGUUUUUCUUUUAAUCAAUUUAGAUAGAGUUAUUGUUUGAUUUGAUAUUGGUUGUAAUGUUUUCUUGUAUAUUGAUUAGGUAAGUAGAGCUAUUGGUGAUGCAUAUCUGAAGAGGUCUGAAUUUACUUUGCGCGAAUCAUUCCCCAAAUUGGAAAUAGUUCCGGAACCCUUUACAAGAGGUGUGCUAUCAGCAGAACCAGAGAUGCAUACUAGAGUUUUAACAGAUAAUGAUCAGUUUAUUAUAUUUGCUUCUGAUGGACUUUGGGAUUUCUUGUCAAAUAAAAAAGCUGCUGAAAUUGUUCAAAAGAAUCCUAGAAAUGUAUGUAUAUAUCUAUAACUUGUUCUUUUCUUGAUUUUUCCAUUCACAUUGAGAAGAAACACGAAGACUUAUUUAGCCUUUAGAAAAUGAAAAUAAGUCUUCGUGUUUUUUGAUUGACGACAAUUUGAGUCUUUACAGUUAUAUUUGCAGGCUUUUAAUUUAAUUAUUCUGUGGUGGAUUUUGCAGGGAAUUGCGAAAAGGCUUCUGAGUACCGCUCUAGCGGUAGCUGCUAAAAGAAGGAAGGUUACCUAUAGGAAGAUUCAGGCCGCUGCUACGGGACGCAACAAUGUGAGCCGGAGGUCUUUUCAUGAUGAUAUAAGUGUGAUUGUGGUGUUCUUGGACAAAACGUCGUUUCCGAGGCAGCCUGUACUUAAUUUGUCCUACACAGGCUCAUCUGACAGGCCUGUACAAUCAGAUUUUGCACAAUUUGGAUUAACCACUUCAAGGCUGGAUUCAAUGAGGCAUCGGAGUCUGAAGGAUAUUAUCCAGUUUGAAUCAGGUUCAUCACAUGCAUCUAGCUCUCAGGGCCCUCGGACUCCUCUGGCUCUGAACCCUCAAACCCUUGAGGGCGAGAGUUCUCGGGCUCAGAGCAAUCGGUAGAAUCUCAAACAGUGGUUUUUCCUCAGUUUUACGUAUCAUGAAAUUUUAAUAAGUGUUCUGGAGUUUGUGACACAAAGGAUUAUGUCUGAUAUGUAGCAAAAAAACUUGUAUGGUUCUGCUUUGUUUUGGAAAUGAAAGUUCAAAAGUAUUCUGAAAUGUUGCAUAGUGUUUUUACAUUACUGUAAAUUAAAUUUCAUGGUUUCGUUCACUCUUAAUUAAUUUGAUUCAACAUUUGAUUCUACAUGGUAAUAAGGAUAUUCUUAAAUAGCAAGAAGAGUUUGUUGCUAGCUUUUUUAACAAGAAUUUGUUCUACCUAGCAUUCCUCUUUUCUCAAAUUCAUGUAUAAAUAUAUAUAUACAGCAUAAACUAUGAUUGAUUUUCUGUCGACAACUUUGUUACACUAAAGUUAUCAAAUUUCAUAAUGAAUAUGUUUUAAACAAAAAUGUGCAUAUGAUGGUAUAACUAUUUUAACUUAAAAAAAACUAAAAUUUUGGAGUAAUCAUAAAUGGGUUUCAGCUAGUAAAGUUGUGGAUUCUAUGUACUCAUAAAUGGCUCUGAACCCUUAAAUUCCUUUGCAUGAAUCAAUAGCCAUGGACAAUCCAGUUAGUGCUAAAGGGAAUGAUUUUUUCAUGUAUAAGUAAUUAAUUCAUCAUUGAUUUAUUAUGAAUAUGAAAGAAAAACAAGUUCAGAGCAAUCAUCAACUCCUAAUCCUCAAGCACUUGAUGAAUCUAGAAGUAUAAAACUGGGUAUACCUUUCAAAGAUAGAAAAACAAAUUUUUAGUAUUGGAUUUGGAAAAGCUUCCUAGUGAUCAUUGGUUGAUGACAAAAAUUUCAUAUUAUCAUCCAAGUAAUAGAAAAUAAAUUAGGGGAUACUAUUUUCAAAAAGGCCCUUAUCAAGAAAAAGUGAUUAAUUUUUCACUAACAAGAUUCGGAAAUGCCCCUCGUAAGUGUAAUUCAGGUUUGUCAAUGCCUCUACUAAUUUUAAUUCACAUGGGAGAUCAAUGAUUAAAUGAUUAUUUAGUUACAAAUAUAGAGAGAGGAGUGUUUUUAUUGAGAUUGAAAAUCAGAAAAUCAUUUGAUAUUUAUGAAAAAUGACAAAUUUUAUAGAAUAAUUGUUGUUUUGGAAUUUGAAAAUUACGACAGAGCUUUGAAAUUAUUACCAGGAUCAGUCACGACCAGGUCGCUUUCUUUAAGACGUUUCGCGGCACUACUUAAAUUGUGCAAGGUAGACUAGCAACCGCGUUGUCUCCAGAAUAAAAACAGCCCAGAUUCCAUCUGUACGAUUAAAGGCUGCACUGCCAGAAAUCGCUCGAGAAUAACACCUCAAUAUGGUUUCGAAAAACCACUCUAAUAUGGUACGCAGACCACUCGAGAAACCAAAGAAGGAGGAAGAAAAGAACGGUUCGUCAACACAAACCGAGGGAGAUGAGAAGGGGAGAAAACCUGAGAAGAGGAUUCAAUUCUCGGUUUUGGAGUGAAGAAUGCAAAUCCCGAGCUCUCUAUUUAUAGAGGGGAUUUGACCUCGUUUUCUCCGCCGACGAAAACCAGAGAAGAGGAUUCGAUUCUCGGUUUUGGGGUGAAGAAUGCAAGAUCGAAUAUAUCAUAUUUAAAGCUUUAUUUUUAUAUUAAAAAAAACAAUAAUUAUACACUAAAAUAUGGACCGUAUGAUCAUGAUUCAGUGUUCAUCGAUAUGGUGGAUGGUGGGGUGAUUUUGUGAGAUCUAUGACCGCAUGAAAUAUGAAUUAUGAUUUAGAUAUACCAUAUAAAUUGAGGGAAAAAGUAUAUAUAUUAAAUAAAUAUUAAACACAAUCAUAUAAAGUGUUUCAUCGUAAUUAAUAACUUGUUAAUUGUGAUCGGAAAAAAAAAAUUAAUAAUGUUACUAUAAACUAUUUACGCAUCAAGAAACACCCACCUGUGACUACUAGAAGGAAAAGGACGACAAAGAUGGUGCAAACUAAAGAGAUUGAACGAGCCAUAUAGACUUAGCUUCAAAGAAUAAAAUGGAACUAAUUGAAACUUGUUGAAACAUUGAAUUGAAAUGCAAAUGGAGCUAGACUGUUUUAAACUAGACUUUUGACGUCGCACGGGUCUUGUCGAUUAUAAUAGAGACCAAUGAAUAAUCUUUAACACGUAAGAUCAUAGGUCGAUCAAUAAACACAAAUUAGAUUAUUAGAGAGAUACAAUAUUACAAUCAAAUUUAUUUUACUAUGUCUUUCAAUGACACUUGAAUCUUAUUAAAUUUUACAUUUUAGUUUUGAAAAAUUAUUCAAUUAAAGACUGUUAUUUUAUUUUAUCACAAUAUAUUAUUGGGGCAUUAUCUUCUCAUUUUUUUUUUUAAAUUUUUUUUAAAGAAAAAAGAUGAAAAGAAUACAAUAUUAUAUUGUUGUACUGGUCAAUUUUAUUUAUUAUUUUAUAGUUUUUUUUUUAGCAAAUUACUUUUAUAGUUAAACAUAAAAAAUUGACUUGUAAUAAUUGUUUUAAAUUUUCACUUACAUGAAAUACAAAGUCACUUCAAUUAAUAGAAUUUCUAAAUUACACGUACAGCUCUAAAAAGAAUAAUUACACUUUGAUAUUUAUUAAAAGUAAUAAUAUCUUGGGGAGGGGGUAUAAUCUCCGACAGGUAUAAUCUCUUCCAUUGAAUCUUUGUUUAAUAACUUUUUUUGGGGAGGGGGUGAGGAAAAAAGAAAAAUAUCUUGGGUUAGAUGGGAUACUUUGAGUAUGAGGAAGGAGUUUGGAGGGUUGGGGGUUAAGAGGCUGAGGGAGUUUAACAUUGCUUUGUUGGGUAAAUGGUGUUGGAGGUUGUUGUUGGAGAGGGAUGCUUUGUGGAGAAAGGUGUUAGUGGCUAGGUAUGGUGUGGAGGAUGGCGGUUUGGAGGAUGGGGGCCGGAGUUAUUCUUCGUGGUGGAGGGAGAUUGUGAGGAUUAGAGAUGGGAUAGGUGAGGGUGGAGAGGGAUGGUUUGGGUCUUGUGUUAGGAGGAGAGUGGGAGAUGGGGCAGAUACUGAUUUUUGGCGUGAUUGUUGGUGUGGAGAUGUUCCUCUUUGUGUCCGGUUUCCGCGCCUUUUUGGCUUGUCUGUUCACAAUUCAAUCUCAGUUAGGAAUAUGUUCCUGCUGGGGGUGGAUGUGGGCGGGGAGGCGUUGCGGUGGCGUAGGCGGUUGUGGGCUUGGGAGGAGGAGUUGGUAGAGGAGUGUAGGGCUUUGUUACUAACAGUUUCUUUGCAGGAUUCAGUGUUAGAUAGAUGGCUCUAGUUACCUAAUCAAGCUGAUGGGUAUUCAGUACGUGGAGUCUAUGAUAUGCUGACAUCACAGGAGCAGCCCCAGUUACACCAUAGUAUGGACUUAAUUUGGCAUAAACAGGUCCCUCUCAAAGUAUCUAUCCUUGCUUGGCGACUACUGAGGGAUCGGUUACCUACAAAACUUAAUUUGGCAACUCGUGGCAUUCUAUCUGGGGAUGAGCGGUUAUGCGUUGCUGGAUGUGGGAUUGUCGAAGAUGUUACUCAUUUGUUUUUGUCUUGUGCAACUUUUGGUGCAUUAUGGCCGAUGGUGCGGCAUUGGUUAGGAGUGGUAGGUGUCGACUCUCAAUCAACUUCUGAUCACUUUGUGCAAUUUAUACAAUAUGCAGGUUGUUCGAGAGGGCGACGGUCUUUCUUCCACUUGAUUUGGUUGCUUUGUGUCACGGUGGUGUGGAAUGAAAGGAAUGAUAGGCUUUUUAGAAAUAGACAAAGUACAGUGCCUCAAUUGCUCGAUAAAGUGAAGUUAACUUCGUUGUGGUGGCUCAAGGCUAGUAAUGUUGUAUUUAGUUUUGGCACUCAUCAGUGGUGGUCGAGCCCACUUUUAUGUCUGGGUAUUGAGUGAUUUGUUUGUAAUUUUUGUUUAGACUCUGACAUUUUUUGUGAUUGUUAGGCACACCUUGUGCGGUAACAAUUGCGGUGUCCGUAUUAAUAUAUCUCAUUUUUGCCUGUUAAAAAAAAAAAAAAAGUAAUAAUAUAUUUUUCUAAUUAAAUUACAUAUCAUAGAAUUGUAUUAAUUAUUUUGAAGAUGUGUGCUUGGUUGAAGAGUUGUGUAUUUUCCAAGGGGUAUAGCAAUAGAUGUAAUUUAAUGCAAUUCAUGGUUUCUAACAAAUUUUUUUGAAUUUCAAAUUGAAGAAGUGUUGGAAGGAAAUAUAUAAUUAGGGUUAGCACUUAGCAAUUAAUGUGGAUCAUUUGGCGGGAAUUUUCUAGGUUUAGUUGUUGCAAACCUAAUACUUCCUCCGUCCCUUAUUAUAAGUCGCAAAUAACUAUAUCAUCAAGAUUAAGAAAAGGUGGUUAGUAACAAUAAAGUUGUAGGUUCUUUUAAAUAAAUUUCCUAAAUUACCCCUAUUUAAAAUUUUAUCAUUUCAAAAUUCUUCUCUCUACUUUACUCCACAUUUAUAAUCCACUAUCUCUAAAGUUACUCUCCCAAUUACUCCAUAUGCAGUUAUUGGAACGGUAACCAAUAGACAUAUGAAAAGUUGCUAUAUUUUCUUCAAUUUUGAUGCUAACCUUUUUUUUUUUUUUUUUAUCAGUUUCACAAUAGAACCGAUGAAUAAAAAUUGGAUAUUUCAAUGUUCCCUCCAUAUUUUUCCACCAAUGUUUAUUUUGGGAACUAACAAUAUUCCAGCUUAAAUAUUCAAGUACGAUGUGUGUUCCAAAUCAUUGCUUCACAAAAUGACAAUAGAUAUUGAUUUGAAUUUAUUAGCUGCAGAUGAAGAUGAAGGUAUUGAGCAAAUUGCUUUAGGGGAAUCACAAAACAUUGUACCAGAUGUAACACCCCGUUUCCCAAUAUAAAAAUUUCUUAAAACAUUUAUCAGAGUAAGCAUCAUAAACACGGGAUAUCACAUAUAACAUGAUCCAAAACAGUUAAAUAAUAAUUUAACCAAAUAUCUUAAACAUUGCAGCGGAAAUUAUAACAUAAUCCAUAAAACGUCUUGGCACGCAGGCCCCAUCAAAGUAAUCUCAAAAGAGUUAGUUCAAUAUCACAAAUAGCAUAUUAUUCACGUAAUAGAACGAAGCAUGCAUAUCAUAUAGCCCUAUCCCGUUACGUAUCAGAGCGACCUAUACGACACAGUGAAGGCAAGGCCAUUCACGACGAAAACUGCACACUAAGCACGAUCACCUGCAAGUUACCCAUACGAAGGGCAACAUUUUCAAGCAGAAGGGGUGAGAUUUCAUAACAAAAUAAUAUUAAUCAAUGUAAUUCGAAUCAUAAAUUAACGUUAACAUCAUAAUCAGUCUUAAAUAACUUUGCGCAUCAGAUAAACAUUUAUCACGUAAUCACAUAUUCAAUCGUCAUCAACAACAUAGCAUAUUAGACAUGACAAUGCGACAAUGCUCUUAGACUCCUUAUAUGCAUGUGGUACCAAUCGUCAUCAUAAGUAUUAAUAUACUUUAAACGUGCGGAGGACAAAGCUCCUAAUAAAUCGUGUGGAGGACAAAGCUCCUAAUAAUCGUGGUGAGGACUAAACUCAAUGAAUGCUAAUGCAUGAACUCUAUCAACAAAAAAUCGUAAUCAUCAUAUCAAUAAGCAUCCAAUAAUUUGGAGCUAAACGUCAUCUUUAUUCAUCAUAUAUAGACAUUAUGCACUUAGUUAAAUAAUAGCAGCAGCAUAGUCAAGUCACACAACAACAGGAUGAUAUCAUUAUAUCAAUUCCAAUUCAAUAGCAUCAUAACAUUUCAUUCAUAUCUUACAUAAUGUAUAAUACAUUAAUUCAUGCUCAAUUAAUAUCAACAUAUCCUAAACGGCUUUACAGAUUGCAUUAAACGUCAUCAUUAGGUUUCAUUACCAAUAAGGGUUCGCUCUUGAAUCAAAACGUGCGACACAGAUCGCACAAACACUCAAUGCACUCCAAUCUGGAAGUGCUCACGAGGCGAGGGUUCCUACUCGCCAUGGCGAGUACCAGACAAAAACCAAACUAAAGCUGUUCUGGGUUUAAUCUUGUCCUACAUUCAUCCCUAAUCAUUACUAGGUAUGUUCAAGCACUCAAAGGCACUCAAGGUCCAACUAAAAAGUCGAAAAUGCAAAAUCUAACAAGUUCUCUGCCUUAGCUCGCUAUGGCGAGUAAGGUUGCUCGCUAUGGUGAGCUGAACCAAAAGAACUCGCGAGGCGAAGGGAAGGGCUCGCGUGGCGAGCGAUGAAGUUCAUCACUUGCGAGGCGAGAUUCAUAGCUCGCCAUGGCGAGCGAUGAAUGUCGCUACGGCCAGACUUGGUAUUUUCACAAAAAUCCGAUGAUUAUCAGGGUUCUAAGCCUAAUAUUGAUUCCAAAGUUUGUCCUAAACAUUAUCUAAGGUCCAGGAACACUUUCUAUACCAAUUUAAUCAAUUCCUACCGUUUAAUCAUUAAUCCUAGGGAUUUGACCUAGUUUUCGUUUCCUCCAAUUCAAUCAUAAAGCUUGCUAAUUAAUCAUCAGAAUUACAAUCAAUUAGUAUUACUAAGUUAUUAGUCUCACCCUUACUUGGUUAUGAAGAAAUCGCAGCUCUCUCUUUGAUCUUCUCUCUUCUAAGCUUUUUCUCCCUUUUCCAAAAGUUUUCACGUACAAUCGUUUUUCUAACAAUUAGGUCUUCUCCUAUUUAUAUCUCUUCCUAAUAACUUAUCUUAUCUCACUUUCUCCCCCAAAACUCUCUAAAAUCUCAAAAUAACCCUUAACUAAAUAUCUUAUAUUAUUUUCAAAUCUUUAUUUUAUUUAACAAUAAAAUAAAUCCCUUAAUCUUAUCAAAUCUUCCAAAACUCAUAACUUAUCACAAUAUCAACCAAACCAUCACGAUAGUCGUAAAUCAUUCAAAUCAUACCAAAAUCAUGCAUAUAUUAUAUAAUUAUAAUAUAAUCGCCUAAACUCGAUUAAAUAAACAAUUAACGAAGGUGGGCGUUACACCAGACCUUAACCAGGCAGUGGAAAAUGAUUUUACUGUUGGCCUUGACCUCAAUAUGAGUUCUGAAAUAAGAAGAAGUCAGAGAGAAUUUGAUUUGAACGAAGAACCAUACUUUACAGAGAAUAAUCCUCCUGAAGAUGACGAUGACACAAAUACAGAAGUGAAUGAUGAAGCAAUCCCAAAUUCCAUUUUCAAUUCUACUGGUACCAUACUUCUUCUCUUAUUGCUUUAAAAUUAGAAUGUAGUUCAAAUUACACCACUUUAAUUAAGUGAUGCUUCUUUCCAAUCCCUGCCAUUCCUUUACUCGUUCUUUCAUCCACACAAGAGGGCGCUUUUUUUAUGCUUAUUAUUUCUUUUAAUACGUUCCAUUCCAUAUUUAUGAAUUAAUUCACUACUUCUAUACCAUUGCAAAUAGCUAGCCUCUGAAGUUGCUUCUAUUAUUGAUUUAAUUUAAUGUUACUCUAAUUUUUUUUAUUAGGAGAUAUAAAUGAAGCACAAAUUGAUGAUAGCAGCAAGCGACGUAAAUUUUUAACCACUGAAGAAAGAAAAUCAGUAUCUCGUCUCUUGUUGCAAUCUAGUGUGAAUGGAAAAUUAAAGAAAGGUACAACAAAAAUGAUUUCUUCACUGUAUCCGGUUUCCAUAAGAGUUAUCCAACAUAUUUGGAAGCAACUAAAGGACGUCGGUGAUGUGUCUCAUAAAAAGACAAAAAAUUGUGGACGUAAGAGAGUUCAAAUCGACCACACUCAAUUCCGCAAUGUUCCUUUAUCAAAAAGGACUACUUUAAGAUCUUUAUCUUGUGCAUUGAAUAUAAGCAAGUCCUCAUUGGCAAGACUUCUUAACCACGGAACUAUAAGGCGUCACUCUAAUGCCAUAAAACCAUUUUUGAAAGAAGAAAACAAGAUCUCUCGAUUGAACUUUUGUUUGUCAAUGCUUGAACGUGGUAGCAUACCGCAUAAUCCAACUUUCACAGCUAUGCAUAACAUUGUUCAUAUCGAUGAGAAAUGGUUCUACAUUACCAAGAAGUCCAUGCAUUAUUAUUUGCUACCAGAUGAGGAGGAACCAUUGCGCACUUGCAAGAGCAAAAAUUUCAUUGCAAAAGUAAUGUUUUUGGUUGCUGUAGCCCGCCCGAGAUUUGAUGCAAAAGGGAAUGAAGUAUUUUCAGGAAAAAUCGGUGUUUUCCCUUUUGUCACUCAAGAGCCAGCUAAAAGAAACAGUGUUAAUAGAGCUGCAGGGACACUAGAAACAAAACCAAUAACUUCGGUAACCAAAGAAGUUAGUAGAACUUUUUUAAUUGAAAAGGUUCUACCUGCCAUCAGAGAAAAGUGGCCAAAAGAUUGUGUACGGGAUCCGAUUUUUAUUCAACAAGAUAAUGCCAGAACUCACAUUGAUCACAACGAUGCAGAAUUUUGUGAAGCGGCUAAAUUAGGUGGAUUUGAUAUUCGCUUAAUGUGUCAACCUCCAAAUUCUCCUGAUCUAAAUGUCUUAGACCUUGGGUUUUUUAGUGCGAUUCAGUCAUUACAAUACAAGGAAGCUGCAAAAACUAUUGAUGAACUUGUGAGUGCUGUGGAGCGUUCAUUUGAAGCUUUUUCUGCUGUUCAAUCUAAUCGCGUAUUUUUAACCUUGCAAUCAUGCAUGAUUGAAAUAAUGAAGACAAGAGGUUCAAACAAUUACAAAAUUCCACAUAUUAAGAAAGCAAUAUUACAAAGAGAAGGUCAACUCCCUACACAAAUGAAAUGUGACCCAUCUAUUGUGGAAGAUGUUUUACAAUCUUUGAGAAAUGAUUCUAAUUGAUGCCUAUAGUGAUCGGGUUGUGAUCACAUUAUCUUUAAUUAUGUGUUUUUUGCUUCAUUUCAAUUUCUAAUGUUACUUUUGCUUCAUUUUGAUGAAAAAAUUCAGCAUAUCGUAUAUAGUCAUCUUUUUUGUUUCAUUGUCAAACAUUUGCUAAUAACUUGAUUAAACAAUGACAAUUCAUAUGCUAAUACUAACGUUGAUGGGCAAGCUUGAUAUUAGAAAUAAAAAACAGUUCAUUUUCUCAAAUUCAUAGAUGAGAUCAAUACCACUCUAAUGAACUGAAACAUAACAAUGUUUAGUCAAAGAAAAACAAAAUGAAAUGCAUGAUAUGUAAAAAUAAAUUCCCCAGCAGCUGCUGCACUUGAACUUCUCAUACAAUCUCAACUUUUCUCCACUUGACAUCCUCAGUACCAGGUUGGGAGAAUGAUUUCUAACAUCUGCCUCACAACUUGAUUCAAUUCGGGUUCCAGAUACAGCUUUUCACCAUCAUCACAUGGAAACUUGUUUAAAUCAAAGUCACGUGGAGUAUUUUUCUCAACUAGAAGAGCAACUUUUUUCUCCUCUUCAUUUUGCAGCGCACUUGAGUUGAUUAAGGAAGUAUUGGAAUUUUUAUCACUCUAUUUUUUUCGUGAGCAAAGUCUUUUCUUGAGAAGUCUAAUGAACAACAAAGGAGCACUUUUCCAAUUUAUUUAUACCACUGUUUAGACUUUAGAAGAAGCACCAUUGUUAUUAAUGAAUGGGACGGUGGCACAGAGAAUUGAAAAUUAUUUAAGAGGAGUAUGUGCUUUGGAAAAUAAAACUAAUUUUGAAAAGUAGCCAAUUUCUGUUAAGGGUAAAUUGGGAAAAAUUUAAUUAAUGAGGUAUAGAUAUUAUAAAACGACUUAUAUUUUGGGACAAAUUUUUUAAAAAAAAGACUACUUAUAAUAAGGGACGGAGGGAGUAAGAUUAAAGAGUAAGGGAAUUUUCUAUUGGUCAUCGAUAUUUGUGACUGCAUGAAUUAAUGAGAUCUCUAAUUUCAUAUAUUCAAUCUUGUUCUAAUUUAUUAUGUUGUUGAUUUUGUUAUAUGGACAGAGAUUGAAGUGGAAGAGCCAGAGGCAAGGACUUGUGAUUCUCAAAGUCAUAGCUUCAAAGGAGUAUGUUGGAUUAAACACAAUUGUGCUAAUGUGGGCUUAACAUAGGGUUUUACUGGAGGACAUUGUCAUGGCUUCCGUCGCAGAUGUUUUGCUCUAAACCUUGUUAAAAAAAUAUGAGAAUAUUGUAUGAGAGAUGAUGGUUCCAUCACCUUUUGUAAUUAUGUUUACAAAAGGUAAAGAAGCAAAAAGGUUGUAGCGGAGACACCUUCAGACCCUCAGACAGAUAGUCAAUAUGUCGCUGCUGAGAGUCAACAAAAUCGGGAGAGUCAACAAGCUCAAGAAGCUUUUUUUAAUGAACAAACUAAGAGUAUAGUCAGAGUAUUGGGAACUUUUGUUGCUCAUAUUGUGAAGGAGAAGACUGUUGAAGAUGCACAGGAGGUUCUAGAGUUCACUGAAGCUAUUCAAAGCUCAGCUGGUGUUGAAGUUGGUGAGAUGCUAAAGAAUACAAUGCAGGUGAAGAGGGAGCCCAUGCUCAGAAUUUGUUGCUUUAGAUGUUGGAUUCUCAGAGGUAAUGUUUCUCGUAGUUCUCUCUCAGACCCUAUCAACCUUGACCCAACUUCACCUACAUAUAACACUGCUAAUCUAGAUGAUAUACCCUUAAGUAGAGUCUAAAAAAAUCUAGAUAAAGCUUUAUCCCCAUCACUGCCCACCCAAGCCUAAGUCUAAUAACUUCAAAGACAAAGAGUUUGAUUCUUUCUUUGUUAAACCUAUCCAAGAUGUAGAUCCUUAGGGAGACACUAUAGUUUGUCCUCCUUAUUUAGAUGUAGAUGCUAGGAUAGAGAAUCUGUCUAAGCAGAAAGAGAAGGUUCUCUCUAGAUUAGUACAGACUCAAGCUUAUCAGUCAGCCUUUCCUUCCCAAUCAUCAACCAGUGAUUCACCUGUUAUUGAUAAUCUGUCACAACAUUUAGAUGGUGAAUUACCUGAUUAUCAACCAAACUCAAAAAUAACCUCUGAUACAGCACCUGAUUUUUCUGUUCCAGAAAUCCAACAACAACCUGAAGCCCAACUACAAAUGGCCUCUGAAACUUGUACUGCAUUAGUUAUUCAUCCAGACUUCAAGCCAAACUCUCCCUUAGAAUCACAUUUUGAAACCUCAUCUUCUGAUCAUUUUGAAUCAACUGAACAUUCAACCUCUGAUGCUAGCAUUUCAGUAUUAGAAGACUAAACAUAUGUUGUUCAACCUAUCAAUGCUGUAAAACCUGAGAAUACCUUAGAAAAUGCAUUUGAUACCUUGCUCAAUAAAUCCUCUGUUCUUGAACCUCUUGUCAAACCAAUUCUUGAUAUAUCUAACAUGGAUAUAUUAGAUUCUGAUGAGGAAGAUGAACAUGUUACUCAUAUUGACAAAGAUUUAGGUUCUUUAUUAGCACCUGUAUCCAUUUUAGAACCUGAACUAGACACAUCCUCAUCUUCCACUUCUCAAAAUUUUCAAGAUACCCAAUCCAACUUCACCUCAACGAAUCAAUGUUCCACCACCUCCCACCAUUUUACUUCAAUCUACCUUUCUGAGAGAGGACUGUGAGAACAUUUUUAAGGAUCUGAUGCAACUUGUCAAGAUAAGGAAGGAUCCAAUCCACUCUGAAAACUAUGAAGGCAAGUGGAUUUCUUUAAGAGAAGUUGUUGAGAGAGUCUUCAAUGAUUUGAAAAUAUUAUCAGUGGAAGCUCAGAAUCAGUCACUCAACAACUGGUUUAAAGAAGUCGUCAGAAGUAUGGAAGUUGUGGAAGUCAGAAGGAACAUAUUAUAUAUCUCAGACUCACCCUUAUUCCUAGAUCUCUCCUCCAUUAUUACUCAUUCUAUCAAAGAGGAUCUGGAUACUUCUUGGUUGACUCAAGUGUAUGUCAUGCCUCAAAUACCAGUUCAUGAAAAGUUGAAGAAGCAAGAUCAUGAGAAAGACAAAAGGGUUGAGAAGCUUCAGCAAGAGCUGUUUGAACAAAAGAUGAUUUCUGAAGCUUUGAAGAAACAAAUGGCUGGUAUGAAAGAAGAGCAGAAAGCUCGCGAAGAAGCUCAAGCUAGGAGAUCAGAAGCUUUGAAAGAAACUGUGAAGAAGCAACCAUAAGAUAUCAAGGCUAUGAUGGCAGACAUGAUGGCCAUGAUGAAACAGCAACAACAGUAGAAACCUUAGAUUGCAUACCUUAAUUUCUGUUGUUUAUUUAUUUUUUUCUAUGCUUCUGAUGCUUAAGUUUCCACAACUCGAACAUCCUGGUCCUUAUUUAAACUGUUUAAAUUAUAAGCUAAUACAAAGCUCUUAAAUCUGAUAAAAUAAUCAUACACUAUAAAAUUGUUUAUCUAACCAUUACCAAGAGUUUUUUUUUGGGUACAACCAAUACCAAAAGUUUUAUUCUUGAGUGUAUAAACUUAGGGUUGAGAGUUUUGAUUUAUUGUGCAAAUAAGAUUGGUUUGUUUGAUUUAGAUGGUUGACGACCAUUAAGGGUCCAUUUGUUAUAGCUUUUUUCAGAAGAAAAAAAAUAUCAUUUAAAAAAAAAAAUUAAAAGUUUUGCAUCCGUUUGUUACAAUUUUUAAAAAAAAAAUCAGAAUCUAAAAACAGCUUCAAAUGAGAAGGUGUUAAGAGCAACUUUACAAAAAGUAGAUUUUUUUUAGAGGAGAGAGAAAAUAUUAUUUUAAACAUUGAACUAAUUUUGUAACAAAAAUCCCUUUUAUAUAGUUGUAUCCAAACAAACUGAAUUAUUUGUUUAAAAAAUGAUUUUUAUUAUGGUAAACAAACACAAAAUAGAUUCUGAUUUUUCAUUUUUUUUUAGGGAAGAUUAUGAUUUUUCAUAAAUCUCUAAAUUAUAAUCUCUAAAUUGUUUCAGGUCAAAAUCACUGUUAUUUUAAUCCGUAACAAACGGGCUAUAAAAGGGGUUUUUCGUUACAAAAUUAGUUCAAUUUUUAGGGCCCGUUUGUUACAUAUUAAAAUAAAAGUUGAUUUUGACAUAAAAUAAUUUAGAGAUUAUAUUUUAGAGAUUUUAUAAAAAAUCAGAAUCUAUUUUGCGUUUGUUUAGCGUAAUAAAAAUCACUUUUUUUAAACAAGUAAUCUAGUUUGUUUAGAUACAACUAUAUAAAAGGGAUUUUUUGUUACAAAAUUAGUUCAAUCUUUUAAACAAUAUUUUCUCUCUCCUCUAAGUGUCUGUUUGGGCUCACGUUUUUCUCCUCAAAACGUGCUUUUUCUUUGCCAAACGUGGUUUUCAACUUUUUUGUUUUGUUUGGGUACAAUAAAAGUGCAUCCAUGUUUUGGUGCAAAACGCUGGUGGGGAUGAUGCUGAAAUUCCUAGCUUCCACGGCAAAGCAAAAUUAAGUUUGGAUUUCAAUUUUAGGGAUUGAUACACUUUACCAAAUUACCCAUAACUUUCUUCUCCAUCUCAUCAGAUCUUGCACUCCAACCACCUGCACUCCAACCACCUGCUUAUUGCAUUUUCCUUUGAAACUCACAACCACAAAUCUGAAACCAUUAAAGGUAUUAAUUUGCCUUUGAUUGUUGCUUGUUGAACGGAGGAAUGGAAUAAAUUCAGACGGAGGAAGAAGAAAAGGUAUUGAGAGGACGAGCAUGUUACAGAAGAAUAAACAUGUAAUAUAUAAGAAUGGGUGGAGCUGUGGAGGUGAGAGUUCAUUUUUUUUCUUUUUUUAAGGAAGGAAGGAUGGAGGUGAGAGUUGAAAUGAGGUCAAUUUCUUCAAAAAAAAUAAAAAUAAAAAUGAAAUGAGGUCAAUUACCACUAUAUGUAUUUUUUAUUAAUUAGAGGUUCUAGAGAAUUCUUAUUUGGUUUUCUUUCAAAUUUAUUUUAUUAACAUUAUUUUAAAAUGAAUAUUAAAAAAUAAUUCAAUUGAAUCUACCAAAAUAAUAAUAAUAAUAAUAAUUCAAUUGAUAAAAAUAUAUCCAAAAAAAUCUUAUAAAUUUUCUUAAAAAAAUCUUUUAUAAAUAAAUACUUAAAAUGAAUUUGUGAACCAAUACAAAUCCAUUUAUGAUUUUAGAUAAGUCAAGAAUAAGAUAUUUACUUUUAAAUACAAUUAAAAGGAUAGUUUGGUCAUUAUAAAUUCAAAAUCAAUUUUGAUUCAAACUAUCCAAACAACGUCAACUCAUAAGAAUUACUUUUAGUAAAGUGUAUCCAAACAUAAAUCAAUUCAUAUUCAACUGACUUUUAACCAAAAUCAAUUCUCUCAAACUCAAUUCUAUCAAAAUCAAUUCUCGUCACCGCCAUAUCAAACACACACUAAAAAAAACUAUUUUUUGAGAAGCUGCUCUUAACAGCUUCUCAUUUGAAGCUGUUUUUAGAUUAUUUUUAGAUUCUGAUUAUAUUAAAAAGUUGUAACAAACAAAUGCAAAACUCUCAAAAGUGAUUAUUUUUUUAAAAUAAGUGAUUUUUUUCUUAAAAAAGCUAUAACAACCAUAUUUUCUCUCACCUCUAAAAAAAUCUAUUUUUUGAGAAGUUGCUCUUAACAACUUCUCAUUUGAAGUUGUUUUUAGAUAUUUUUUAAUUUCUGAUUUUUUAAAAAAGUUGUAACAAACGGAUGCAAAACUCUUAAAAGUGAUUAUAUUUUUUUUAAAAGUGACUUUUUCUUAAAAAAAAAAAAACUAUAACAAACGGGUUCUAAGAUUCUUUGAAUCCCAUCUAUCUUUUUAUUGGGUUAAUAUAGGUUUGCUACUAUUUUUUUUUUUAAGAAGUUAAAUUAGCCCAUCCAAAUUAAAUUUUCUACUAAUUAUUAUAUAAAAGAAUCCUUAUUGAAGAGAAAUAUUAACCAUUCAUGUUACUAUUGCAUCGGAUGAGCGGAGUUUCUAAAAAUUAAAAUUGUUAAAAUCUUAUUUGUGAUCUAUAGUUUUUAGUUUUCAUAAACAAGUAUUUAUGUAAUAAAAGAAUUCAAGUGACUUAUUUUUUUUUUUUAAUGGCAAAUAAUAAAAGAAUUCAAGUGACUAAUUUUUUUUUAAUGGCAAAUGUUAGUAUAUAGAAGUUAUGUUAGUAUUUUUGUCUCCUUUGCCAUGAUUCAAACUUGGACCUUUUAUACCUUAACUCCUUUAAUCCCAAGUGAGCCAUCCAUCUCCCAUUGACUCAUACUUUCAUGAUAGGAAAAUAAUUAGAAAUUAAAGAAAAUGAAGGAAGAAAAAUUAAGGUCCAAAACUUUCAUACGCUAUAAUAACAUAAAAGUUCUGUUAAAUCAUUCCCUUCAAUCAAAUCAUCCUACGAAGCACGAACACUCCUCCAAUUAGGCGUGUCGUGCCCGACACCGACACUUGUAUUUACACUAAAAUAUGUGACUUUUUCAAAUUAUUAGUUGUGUCGGCGUGUCAGUGUCCGUGUCGUGUCCGGUGUCCGUGUUCGUAUCCGUGCUUCAUAGAAAUCAUCUUAUGUAGAAAUGUGUGGUCAAUAUAUCACAUAGAAACGUUUCCUUCAAUUUUCCUUUUCCCGCCAAUUCAUAAUAUUGCAAUGACAAAGUUAGUUAAAUUCUGUUAGGUUUCUGUUUAGAAUAUUUAGUUUUCUGUUGUCAGUUAGUUGAUAUACACACACACACACACAUACAUAUAUAUAUAGAAUAUUCAUUCCUUCAAUCACAUUCACAAUUUUUCAUACUUUAAAUCAUCAUUCACAAUCAAGAUCACUCUAUUUUUCUUUUCCAAUCACAUUUUCUUUUCCUUCAAAGAUGCAUUCUUGGCUUGAAAAUAUAGUUAAUCUAUACAGGAACAUGAGGAAUGACAACUUUGCUUUAUUCGACGAAGACCCUCUCGGGAGAUCGAUUAAUCUACAAAGCCAUUGCUAUGGAGAAUUUUCCAGUGCUGUUGUUCAAGCCAAUACUACUAUGGAAGAUCAAAGCCAAAUUGAAGUUGCCUCUAACAAUGCACUCUUUCUUGGAAUUUACGAUGGCCAUGGUGGCACCCAAGCUUCCCGGUUCAUCUGUGAACAUCUCUUCAAAAAUCUAUUGAGUGAGUAUCUUUCUUUGAUAAAAAAGUUUAUUUCUUUUUAUUAAUCUUUGAACUUUUUUUAUUGGUUUGAGAAUUAACGGUAUUUUUAUUUUAUGUUAUGUGUUUACAUUAUAGGGUUUGCUAAUGAUAAUGAGAAUGAUAUAACUGAAGCUACCCUGAGAAAUGCUGUUUCUGCUACUGAAGAGGGUUUUUUGGAUUUUGCAAAAAUGAAUUAUAUGCAUCAGCCAAAUCUUGGAUAUGUUGGUUCAUGCUGUCUUGCUGGAAUUAUAUGGAAAGAGACACUACAUGUUGCAAAUCUUGGAGAUUCGCGGGUUGUAAUUGGUACUAUGGUUAAUAAAAAGAUCCGUGCUGAGCAGUUAACAAGAGAUCACAAUUGUAAUGAUGAAGCUAUUAGAGAAGAACUCAGGGCAAUGCAUCCUGAUGAUCCUAACGUUGUGAUAAAUGAUAAUGGAUCGUGGCGUGUUAAAGGCUUCAUUACGGUAAUUUUUUGUUUUUCUUUUAAUCAAUUUAGAUAGAGUUAUUGUUUGAUUUGAUAUUGGUUGUAAUGUUUUCUUGUAUAUUGAUUUAGGUUAGUAGAGCUAUUGGUGAUGCAUAUCUGAAGAGGUCUGAAUUUACUUUGCGCGAAUCAUUCCCCAAAUUGGAAAUAGUUCCGGAACCCUUUACAAGAGGUGUGCUAUCAGCAGAACCAGAGAUGCAUACUAGAGUUUUAACAGAUAAUGAUCAGUUUAUUAUAUUUGCUUCUGAUGGACUUUGGGAUUUCUUGUCAAAUAAAAAAGCUGCUGAAAUUGUUCGAAAGAAUCCUAGAAAUGUAUGUAUAUAUCUAUAACUUGUUCUUUUCUUGAUUUUUCCAUUCACAUUGAGAAGAAACACGAAGACUUAUUUAGCCUUUAGAAAAUGAAAAUAAGUCUUCGUGUUUUUUGAUUGACGACAAUUUGAGUCUUUACAGUUAUAUUUGCAGGCUUUUAAUUUAAUUAUUCUGUGGUGGAUUUUGCAGGGAAUUGCGAAAAGGCUUCUGAGUACCGCUCUAGCGGUAGCUGCUAAAAGAAGGAAGGUUACCUAUAGGAAGAUUCAGGCCGCUGCUACGGGACGCAACAAUGUGAGCCGGAGGUCUUUUCAUGAUGAUAUAAGUGUGAUUGUGGUGUUCUUGGACAAAACGUCGUUUCCGAGGCAGCCUGUACUUAAUUUGUCCUACACAGGCUCAUCUGACAGGCCUGUACAAUCAGAUUUUGCACAAUUUGGAUUAACCACUUCAAGGCUGGAUUCAAUGAGGCAUCGGAGUCUGAAGGAUAUUAUCCAGUUUGAAUCAGGUUCAUCACAUGCAUCUAGCUCUCAAGGCCCUCGGACUCCUCUGGCUCUGAACCCUCAAACCCUUGAGGGCGAGAGUUCUCGGGCUCAGAGCAAUCGGUAGAAUCUCAAACAGUGGUUUUUCCUCAGUUUUACGUAUCAUGAAAUUUUAAUAAGUGUUCUGGAGUUUGUGACACAAAGGAUUAUGUCUGAUAUGUAGCAAAAAAACUUGUAUGGUUCUGCUUUGUUUUGGAAAUGAAAGUUCAAAAGUAUUCUGAAAUGUUGCAUAGUGUUUUUACAUUACUCUAAAUUAAAUUUCAUGGUUUCGUUCACUCUUAAUUAAUUUGAUUCAACAUUUGAUUCUACAUGGUAAUAAGGAUAUUCUUAAAUAGCAAGAAGAGUUUGUUGCUAGCUUUUUUAACAAGAAUUUGUUCUAGCUAGCAUUCCUUCUUUCUCAAAUUCAUGUAUAAAUAUUUACAGCAUAAACUAUGAUUAAAUGUGGAUUCUAUGUGCUCAUAAAUGGCUCUGAACCCUUAAAUUCCUUUGCAUGAAUCAAUAGCCAUGUUAUUAAUCCAGUUAGUGCUAAAGAUUGUCAAAACUACACAUCUAUUAUAUGGCCUCAAGGGAAUGAUUUUUAUUAUUAAUCAAUAGCCAUGUUAUGUGGUUCCAUUAUAGGGCAUGCUAAAGAUAAUUAGAAUGAUAUAACUGAAGCUACCCUGAGGAAUGCAGUUUUUGCUACUGAAGAGGGUUGUUUGGAUUUUGUAAAAACGAAUUAUAUUGCAGAGCCAAUUAUAUUCUUGGAUAUUUGGUUCAUGCUGUCUUGCUGGAAUUAUAUGGAAAGGGACGCUACAUAUUGCGAAUCUUGGAGAUUCGCGUGCUGUAAUUUGUAUUAAGGUUAAUAACAAAUCAAAACAUGAAUCCAUGUUGAGCAGUUGACAAGAGAUCACAGAAUUAAUGACCAAGCUAUUACAGAAGAACUAUUGGUGAUGAAUAAUGAUGGAUCGUUGCGUGUUAUUAAGGUAUUUUUUAAUCGAUUUUGAUAGAUUUUAAUCGAUUUUGAUAUUGGUUUAUGACUGUUAUCAUGUUUUCUUGUAUAUUUAUUAGGUUAGUAGAACUAUUGGUGAUGCAUAUUUGAAAAUGCCUGAAUUUACGCUGCACGAAUCGUUUCCAACUUUUAACAGAGAGUAAUAAGUUUCAUAUAUUUGCCUCUGUUGGACUUUGGGAGUUCUUGUCAAAUGAGCUAGCAGUUGAAAUUGUUCAAAAGAAUCCAAGAAAUGUAUGUAUAUAUCCAUUAAUAUUGAUUUAUUAUUUAGCUUAUAACUUAACUAUAUAAUUGAUAUCUAGAAUAUUUUGGUCCUUAUUAAUCACUAAUGCUUAAAUGUUAUAUUUACAAGUUUUCUGGUCUUUAUAUUUAUUGCUCAAUUAUUUCUAUCAAUAUUAUCCAUAACUUGAUGGUCUUCAAUAAAAGCUAAAAUAAUUCAAUGGUCCCUUAAUUAAUUUUUUAGUUUUCAUUUUGGUCCCAUAAAUUUUAAAAUCAUCAUUUUGGUCCCUCAACGUUUGCUCCCUUAUUCAAAAAAGUCUCUGCCUGUUAACUUUAACCUCAGAUGUCUAUAAUGAACCAACCUUAAGAGUGGUCCACCAUAGAUCCUAUUAAUUAUUUUAAUUUUAACUGUUUGAUUUUUUUUUUUUAAAUAGGACGGUUAGAUUUUGGAGGUCCAUUGUAUCUAAUAUUGAAUCAUCACCAACUAAUUUUUUUUCCCUUUUUUCAUCUACUUCAUUUCUCUUCUACAUAAUAUUCAUCAUCAACUUCAUCACCGCUCAUAAAUAUUCCAUAAACAAAAAACAAACAUGAACAUCAUUAUCAUAUAAAAAAAUUAAAAUAAUGUGAACUGUAUAAUUUUUGUCACUAACAUUCAGAAUUGUAAGAACUUAAAAGCAGAGAAAGAAAGGAACAAAAUAGAAAUCCAUUUGUGUUAUCAUUGUAUGAUCAAAAACAACACAAAUUAAUAACAAAUGCAACAUCAAUAUUCAAACCCUAAUCCCAAUUUAAAUCCAAAUCCACACAAUUCAUCUAAAUUACCAACCACCACCACCAACCACCACCGUCCUACAAUCGGCGAUAGAAAUCGGCGGCAAAUCUGCUUUUCUCCGAUUCGUUUUGGAAAUGGGAUUCGAUUCGGAAGUGUUGUUGAGGGGAAACCUUCUUCGUCAAGUGCGUUGUUGUUGUUGUUGUUGUUGGUGGUUAGGGUAAAUGAAAAGAAGAUGAAGGUCGAAAUGGUGAGAAAGUGUGGACGGAGGAUGAUGAUCUGAAGAAAAAGGUGAAAAUGGUGCUAAGUAUGAAGAUCAUGAUUUUAGUUUUUUUUCUUUUGGAUUGUUGUUGAUUUUAUUUUAACUUUAACUCAAAAAAAUUGGUACUUUUUAAGUUGUGUUUUUUCUUUGGAUUUGUGUUGUGUUGAGAGAAGAAGAGUGAAAGAAUUCUAGAAAAAAAAAAUAUGGAGAGGAAGAGUAAGGAAAUCUGGAAAGGAAAAAAAUUGUGUUGUGUCUUUGGAUUUGUAUUUUGGAAAGAAAAAAAAUCUAGAAAUGUUGAUAUAGAUAUGAGGAAGAAGAGAGAAGAUGAUGAAAAGUGAAAAAAAUUAUGUGCUGACGGUUCACUGUUAAAUACAAUGGACAUUCAAUCAAAUGGUUCAAAUCAAAUCAAAAAAUUUAGACAUUAAAAAACUAACGGAGCAAAAGUUGAAGGACCAAUUGAUGAUUUUAAGAAAUAUGAGACCAAAAUGAAAAAUGGAAAUUAGUUGAGGGACCAUUGAAUUAAUUUAGCCUCAAUAAAACUACCUAAUCUAGAUCACUGGUCCUUGAUAAAAUAAUUGUUUUACAAAAAUUAAAACACAUUAAUAUUAUUUUCCUAACCCUUACCAAGAAUUUUAUUGAGUAUACACACUAAUUGUUUUUCAGAAUUAAAUCGAAAAAGGGUCAUAAUUGAAACCCCCUUUCUUGAGACGUUUAUUGCUACUUCAAUUGGUAUCAAGCACAGUCUCUAAAAAGAAAGUCAAGCACUUAACACGUGCUAGAGGAAAAGAUUUAGGAAGAAGCAAUGUCAAGAGAAAAGUACAUACCAGAAGGCCUGUCUUGUACAUGGCCUCCGUUUUUCGAGGAAAAAACUACUACUUCUAGAAAGGAAAAAUUCAACUAUUCAUAAAGUCUUAAGAUAAAGCACGACCCUUCUGACCCCUGUGAAGUAUUUUGAUCAUAUCUAGAGUUCUAGACGUUGGAAUAAGGUCAAACAAACGCCCAAUUAAAGCUAACAUUCAUAGCUACAACUUGCAAGAAGGCACCAAAACCUAAUUCAGAAUAGAAAAGACCAUGUUUAUAUUUAUUUUUUUUGGUUACAAAAAUCGAAAAGAGCACGAUCUUGUGGACCCAUGUGUAGUAUUUUGAUCAUAUGUAGAGUUCUAGACGUUGGAAUGAGGUCAAACCAACGGCCAAUUAAAUCUAACAUGCAUAUCUACAACUUUCAUGAUACACCAAAGCAUAAUUAUGAACAUAAAAGUUCCAGUUUUUAUUCUUGUCUUCGUCACCGAAAUCUGCGAUUUAGCCUUCAUGGACUUUUCCUAACUCCGUUUUCAACCCUAAACUCGUCAAACAUGAUUCUAAUCUUCACUCCAUAAUUAACCUAUCAUUCAAACACUAAUUCUUCGUUAACCUACCGGAUUAUCCACUCUUUUAAAGACUAAAACUCAAUUCAAAAACUUAAACUAGUUUUCCUCAAUUCUCAUCUUUCAAUUCGUUCAUUGUUAUUCUCUCAUCAAAAUUCUCAUCAUAACAUCAACAACUUAUUAAAAUUUAAGACAAUCCUCCCACCAUAGAUUAAGAUACCCUAAAGUGCAAAUAUUCUCCCCCUUACUUCGAUAUUUUGCAAAUUGAUGAAUUCAUGCGGUUAAAUAUCUCCUUGACCGUCUCUUUAUGCCUCCUCUCCUCUCUAGUUUUCUUCUUUUGCCUCCGCUAUCUUUUUUCUCUUUUUUGUUGUAUCCCUAAUUCUCUAAUCUCCUCCUAUAUUUAUAACCAUCAAGAGUUUGUUUCUCACUCAAUCUUUCUAACAGGGUUACUAUCCGCACCUCUAUUUUGGUUACUAUUCUUGUUGUAACUUCACUGCCUUGCUACUCACACCUCCUUCUGCUUAAUUCAUUAAAACACUACUCAUCUCACUAACUACCUCUUUUCUAUCCAAUUUUACUAAACCAUCUCCAUUUGAAAUCUACUUUCUUAUUCUUUCCAAAAACUAUAUUUUCUUCCUAAAUAUUAUUUUCUCCCGUUGUUUAACCCAUCCAUUUUCUCCUUACCUAUUCUCCCAUUGAAUUCAAUUAAUUAAAUUAAUACUAUCUAACAACCAAUACUAAUAAUAACAAUAAUACUAUUGUGUCUUAAAAAAAACAAUAAUACUAAUGUUAUCUAAUAAUAAUAAUAUUAAUAAACUAAUAUUAAAAUCGGGGUGUUACAUUUUUAGUACUUUUCUCUGCAUUUGAAAUCAAAUAAGAUGUGAAUUAGAGGAGUUGUCAAUGGUUGAGGAACAAAUUGUAUUGUUUUCACUAAAGUCGUUGUAAUUCACUUUUAUUCAAAAUCAUGCAACUCCAUAGGUGUUUUGUUGUGAGAAAUCAUGUAAAUCAACAAAUCCAAACAUCAAGUGAAGGAUUAAGGAUAGAAAGAUUGAAGAUCAGUGGUUCUUAGAAGGUUUUUGAAGACAAUACAAAGUGAGAAAAACUCAUUUCAAGUUCCUAGGAGUUUCUAGACGGAAGAACGAUCGAAAACGGGGAGAAAACACAUGAUUUCGCAUAUAGGGGCUGCCUCAGGUGCCCCUCUAUGCGCCUCCUACGCACAACCAUGGGCAGAAAUUUCUUGUAGCUUGUUUUUCUAGCUAAAACGGUGGAAAAAACUUAGUUUUCUUCUCUUAAACCCUAAGUAAUCAUUUACUAUAAAUAUAGACUCUUGCACAUAUUAUUAUUAAUUCAGAAAGUUAGUGGUUCAAAGCGAGGGUCAAACAUCAGAGUUUUCAAGGCAGAUGAUUUCCAUCCUCCUCUUGUUCUCUCUAGGGUAUAUUUUUCUAUUAUUUUGUUAUGAUGUAUGUUGUCAUGAGAAACUACACCUCUUUGGUUAGGGUUCUAAGAUGAACACCUUCUUAUUUGUUGGUUUCAAAUAAUAAAUUUUUCAUUUACUUAUGUUUUUCUUGUGUCCUAUUCAAUUCAUUCUUGCAUGUGUUUAAUGCUUUUUUAAUUGAGGAUAUGUAUCGGUAAUCUUGAAACUUGAUCUGUAGAGAAUUAGUAGGAUUGACGACCCAAAUUUGUUACUUUCUUCAUAGCAGAUUCAAUUGCUUAUUUCUUAAUUAUAGUUAAUGAAAUUAAGUAUGAACCUUCGUAAUUUCUAAAUGUUUUUUUCCGAUAACGCCAUAAUUAUAACUAGGUUAUCUUACUACAGAAGUUUUCGUUAGAGUUAAUAAAGAUUUCUAAAUUUAUUUUAUUAAAUCAUAACUACAUACCACAUAACUGAUUUUUUCUAAGUUAAUUCCAACAACGACGAAGGGGGAUUCAGGGAUUUCCAAAUCAUCGUUAAUCAUCUGAAUCACAAGCCUAAUCUUGCAUUGGAUAGAGCAAUUAAUUAAACCAUGCAAACAUAUUCAAAUCUCUUUUAUUUUUCCUCUUUAAAAUAAGUUUUGCUAAUUGCUAAGUUGAACGGCAAUCCUUGUGGAGAACGAUAAACUUACUAUUUUAUUACUCGUUACGAUUUUGUGCACUUGCUAAUUUCGUCGAUGAAUAGCCUAAAAUAUCAUAUGUUGCUCCGCGGUUAGGAGUUUGGAUUAUAUAAUCCAAAUAAAAGGUAUUGAAAAAAAUAUAUAGGAUACACAAGAAACACAUAGAAUGAGAAAUGGGCUUUCCAUUGUCUGGUAAAUGCACAUUUUUCUUGACUAGAAACAUGAGUUGACAAGAAACAUGUGUAUCGGUAUUUAUAAGGCAGAAGUAAGGUUUUUGCUAUUAGGCUUUCACUUGGACAGAUAAGAGACACUUGUAAUGAUGGUGGCAUUUAGGGUGGGUGAGGGAAAGAUUUUUCCACCAUAGGAGAAUUGAUUUUAACCGUUAGAUCUAUUCAAGAACACAAUUUUACGAUAGUCCUUCAAUAGCAUAUCUCCCUUACAUUCUUCUCUCUACCCACAAGAACAUAACCACCGACAUUCUCUCUCCUCCCUUGCCUUUGAAUUUUAAGUUUAAAGAGAAACCGUGUGUGCUGUGUAUUCUAUGGAUUCAUUGCUUGUUGGAUCUUUUCCCAAGUCAUAUUCAUUCACCACCACACUAGUAUGAAUUUACUUCUUGCAUUUCAUUUAUUUUCAAGAAACGAAAAUCACAGUCGUACCCAAAUUCACAUAAUACCUCUUCCAAACCAAACAAUUCUUCCUAACUGGUGUUUUGUUUCCAUCAUCAGUGUCCAUUCAAAACCUGUUAUGAACAUCAUAGUCCUACCCAAAUUCUAAUAUUGAUAAAUGAAAAAUCUUAAAAAUUUGAGAUUUUUGUAAGAAACCCAAUUGAAAAUUCUGAAGAUAAAUGAUUAAUUGAACUCAGUUAUUAUGUUAAUCGAUAUGAAAAUUUUGAUCUUAGUUCUUCAUUGACAUUGAUUUGUUUUCCGCCGCCCAGACAUGCUAUGAUGCUGGUGGUGGGAGGAGAAUGGUUGGGGAAGAUAUUGUGAACAAAAAUCUAAUAUAGAUAGAUCAUGAUAAAAUCAAUGCACCCUUUUAAUCUAAUGGUUAAAAUCAAUUUUCCCAUGGUGGAAAUUUUUUCCCUCACCCACCCUAAAUUCCACUUGUAAUGUUAUGUGGGUGGUUACAACAUUAGACACGGACUAGAUGGUCCAGAUUAAACGUACGGACCGUGAUCCAGUGGGAUUUGUAGCAAAUUGAUGAUAUGAACUUGUUUUGCAUAGGGUCUUGAUUGGACUCGGGUCCCAACUAGGAAGGAGCCUUGAUCCAAUCAGAAACAACAUGCAUUAGCAAAACUAAUAGUCAAUUACCAUCUUACUCGUUUCGUUAUCAAUUAUAAGAAAAUUUUGAUUUUUUAGGUUCAUUCAAUUAAUAUAUGUGAUCUAUAUUAUGAACCACAUACAUCAUUAAUUGAAUGAACUUAAAAAAUCAAAAUUUACUUAUAAUCGACAACAGAUAGAGACUUUAAUGAUACAUUCAUCCAAACUCGAAACGGAGACUUUACAGUCGUAUGCAAAUUUUAUGUUGUGCUUACCAAUUUGUAUAAGAUAAUAAAAAAAAAAUCCAAACAUACAAUUAUUGUUUGUUUAUUUUAAGAUGGUCUCUCACAAUCAUAACAUCCUGAUCUUAUGAAAAAUAAUAUUCCCUCUGAUCUCAUUUAUAAGCAAAUUUUCACUUUUAGAUUCAUUGAAUAAAUGAUAUAUGUGGUAUAUGAUAUACAAAAUCAAAUAUACAAACAUAAAAUUGAUUUUAAACUAUUGACAUGUUUGUGAAACUGCCCUUUUGGCUUCAUGUUAUUAUUCUUCAAUUGACUUUUAGAUAAAUAUAUUUAAAUAUAAAUCAAUUAAUAUUUAAAUCAGUUUGAAAUAUUAACCAAAGUCUACUUUAGUCACACAAUUAAACAACUAGCAAAUACAACAAAUUGAAGUUACUCUAUAACUACACUCUACCGUUUACAUUACACAAGAGCCAUCCAAUAGAGAAAAUAAAAGCACUCAAGGUCAAGAGAAGCAUCCACCACACCACUGAAAAUUGCUUUCUAAUACAAAUUAGAGGUAGUUAAGUGGACGAUUUGUUUAAUUCUCCAUCUUAAACGUCACCUAUCUCUUCAUGCCAUUUUUUAAAUGUAUAUUUUCUAGUGGACAAUGUUUAUGUAUCAUAGUCACAAAUCUAAACAAGUUAGGCGCACAUAUAAAAAAGGACAAAAGAAAAUAGAUUUUUUUUAUUAUUGAAAUAAUUAGAUAAUGUGUUUUUAUAUUUGUGAAUCUAAAUAUUUGGCUUUGUGAUCAUUUUCUUUUUUAUGUUAAUAACCCUUCCGUUUAUAGAGAAAGGGAUUCUUGUGAUUCGGAAUUCGGUUGAAAUGUAUGUAAAAACUGAUAAAAAGUUGUUGAUCGAAAUCAUAUUGUGAUCAUAUAAUAACUAGAUAAACGAUAUUUGCAUAACUAUUUUGUAAUGAUUUUUGUUGAAAUUCUUUCUCUCAUACUCUAUUGUAUUUAUACUCUCACUUUAUUGCUUUAUUUUUUAUGUCAAAUUCUACAUUUUUUUUAUAACUUUAUAAUUGUCGCAUAAGUUUACCAAAACAAAUUCACGGUUCCUGUCAACUUCAAUUACGUCCCUAGGCUUCAAUGAGAGGCCCAUACACUUUGACUUCAUGCAAAUCAGACCAGCAAGUGGAGCAAAGAUUUAUUAAUGAUGAAAAAAUAGAGAUCAGUGGGUUUAUAAAUUCCUUCUGGAAUUUUCAACGUGAAUAUAUUCUUUCUUGACCGGUUAAAAUUCCUGUUAUAAAAAAAAAAAAAAAAAAAAUUCCUAUGUCUCAUAUAAGAUGAAUGGUUAAAAAUUCUUAUGUCUCAUAUAAGAAUAUCUUAUUUUAUAAUUCUAAUAAUAUAUAUUUUUUCUAUUAUAUCUUUAUUGGUAUUAAUACAUUUUCUUGAGUAACAUGUUUUUAAAUUCUAAUUCUAAUUCUUAUAUUUGUACCUUUUAAGUAAAUAGUCAGAAGUUCGAUAUCUAAUUAUUGUUUUUACAAAAUGAUUAUUGUGUAUUAUUCGUUGCUAAAUUAAUAAAGCCUUAGAUGGCCACAACCAUUUAGGCACACUCAUGUAUUUCAAAAAAAAAAAAGGUAGAAAUAAAAAAUAAUUAAGCGCACAUGAUAUGAUAUGUUUGUAUGUCUAAGUGAUGUGCUCAAAUUAUUGUUAUCAUACAAGUAUUUUUCAUUGGUUAUAAUAUCGUGAUGAGCAAUGCUCUUUCUCACGAGAGAAAUCAUCCCGAGUCGAUAACGAAAAAAUACUUAGCCAAUUAAAUUCGUUAAUUACCGGAAAUCACCAAAAAAUCACAACUAACAUGAUUUUUAUUCACAACUGAAAUCACCAAAAAUUAACUCAUACAUCGACAAAUUUUUUAACCAAAUUAGAAUUUCAAUUUUUUUUUUAAGGAAGAAAUUCAUUGCAUUUCAUUAGCUAAAAUGUGUCAAAUACAUGAGGGUACAUCAUCUAUAAUAUGAGGAUAGAAUUAUAUAGGGUUGCCUGAGCUAACUCGUGAGCGACCCUAUUCGCUUGCCUCCUGUUGAACUCUACAUGCGAGUUCUGAAAUCUAUCCACUAACAUUUGGUUACAAGUAGUAAUAAUACAUCCAAAUUCGCUACUAUCAUCUAUAUUUUAAUUGACACAAUCAACAACUCUUUUACAGUCAAGUGCAAAGUUCACAUUAUCAAAUUGUUGAUUAGAGAUCCAAUCCAAAGUUGUGUGCAUACCGACAGCCUCCCCUACAUCUAUAUCACAGAGAGGAGCAAACCAUUCCGUCUUUGCAAGAACAAAAACACCAACAUCAUCUCUAAGACACAUGCCCAAACCAGCCAUAUUAAGAUAAGUGGAAAAAGAUGCAUCUAUGUUGCAUUUAUACCUGCCUUGUGCCGGUUUUUUCCAAUUAUCCUCUUCUUGCCUUGUAGGCCGCGCCUGAGGCAUGGUGGAUUGGGCGUUGUUGCAAGACCUGAUAGCUUGAGCUGCUCUCCACUCAUCUAGUAGGUGGGUUGCGCGUUGGAGCACCUGCGAGCUGAGUUCAUUAUGUUGCUGCCAAAGUUUCAUGUUACGACUCUUCCAAAUACUCCACAUAAUUGUGGCCAUGAGCUCGCACUGUCCUGAAAAAAAUUGUUGCAAAAGAGUGAAAAUAAGUGCAUGGAUAUUAUAAUCUUGAUGAAGAAUCCUGUUUAUUGGGUCCCAAAAAUUCACAUCGCGCCACACUUGAACAGCUUUAAGACACUCAAUAAGAAUAUGGUCAUAAUUGUUAUUGCUCUGAACACAAUCAAGCGGGCAAGAGACUCCUCUACUAUCUUCAAACUCUUUGGUAUUGUUAUUAAUAUAAAAAAAGCAUUGAUGCCGUGUCAAUAAAUUUUUUAACAACUUUUGGAACAACCUUGUUGUUCUUUUUUUCUAUCGGUAAAAAACAAGAGAGAGAGAGAAGAAAAGAGAUAGUAAGAAUCUAAUGUAAGUAUGAGAGAGAAAUUUAUUCAAAAGUUAUAUUAAAAUGGUUGUACAAAUAUCAUUUCUCUAAAUAAUAUCAUCUUAAUGUACAUUUUGAAAAAAAUUUAUAGACAGAACUACUCAAUCACAAAUGAAAAAAUAUUAGUGGCCAAAAUUACUCCAAAAGAUGUGAGGAGCUAAAGUCGUAUAGCUGCAAUACUUUAGAACUGCAAAAGUUUAAGCUUCAUUAGUGAGGCCAACUUUUAGUCUCCAAAUUACACUAUGUUAUAUUGAUACCUAAUUCUAAAUUCUAAAUCUUUGCCCCCACAAACAUAUUUAAUUUGAAGCUAUAGUUGUAGGGUGAUGGUCGUUCAACUAGCUUUUCUUAUGACAAGUCAAGUGGGUUGAUGGCUUGAUGCUAAUAGUAGACGGGUAAUAAUAACUUGUGUUCUAAAAACACAAUUUAAAGAGCUCAAAAUAAAAUUAAAACAUAAUUUAUAUUAAAAAUAUAAUUUUUGAAAAUUUUAAGACAUUAAAUAUAAAUUUGUAAAAAUAAUAAUUAUAUAUUUAGUUUUUUAACUUAUAUCUCAAAGAUGCAAGUUAGUUUUUCCAUACUAGACUUGGGAACAUUUUUUUUAUUAAUUAAUACUCAUGAUGCAAGUUAGUUUUUUUUUUAUUAAUUUUGAGUACUUAACUUCGUGGAGCAAAGCAUGGAAGCUCUUACUAUUAGAAAGAGGCUCGAUUUUGUUUGGAAACCCUUUCAUUGCGUAGGAUACAGGUAUUGACGAUAGUGUGCUACUCUAAUUCUCUUCUUUACAUCAACCUAUUAAUUGUUUUUAUGUGAAGUAUCAUAGUCUAUCUAUGCAUUGUUAAUUAAAGACAUUAAAGAGCUUCUUUUAGAAAGAAAUGUCAUUGUUUGUCACACCAUUCAAGAAAGAAAUCAAUGUACGGUUUUUUUUUUUUUUUUUUAAAAAAACUUGCAGCUUCAUAAAAUAAUGAUUUGUUAGAACUUAAAACUUUUUAGCUUAAUUGCACUUUUCUCCCGUAUAGUUUGUCAAUUGUUCAAUUUUGCAUCCCAUAAUUUUAAACGAGCGAUUUUGUCCCCUAUAGUUUUUCCCCUUUCUGAUUUUAUAGUCCCCAUGACAUUUAGUGCUGAUAUGUCUGUUUUUUUAUUAAUUAAUAUGUGCCACGUGUGUAAUUUCAUUUUUAAAAAAAUAAAAAAAAUGGAAUUACACACGUGGCACACAUGAAUUGAUAAAAAAACCAGCACUAAAUGUCACGGGGACCAUAAAAUUAGAAAGGGGGAAAACUAUAGGGGGCAAAAUCGCUCGUUUAAAACUAUGGGGUGCAAAAUCGCACAAUUGGCAAACUAUAUGAGGAAAAAGUGCAAUUAAGCCAAAAAAAAUUCAUUAGGGAGUAGUUUUGUUCCAUUUUUCUUUUGUUUUUGUUUGUUUGUUUAGCCUUGUAAACACUUCCAUUGUAGGCUUUUUACUAACAAAAUCUUAUAUUUGAACAUCCCUAAAUUUCAUAAAUCAUCUCUCUCUCUCUCUCAUGUCGUCUAAUCCAUAAUAAUAUAAUAAAAAAAAAGGAAAAAUAUACAAAAGAGGGAACCAAACCAAAACCACGAAAAGAGAAGCAAAACAUAAAAACAAAUUAUGAAAAAAGAUAGAUUGACAAACCAAAGUAGUCUCGAAAAAUCAGCUGAGCGCUUAUUGAAUCCCCCUCCAACCAAAUGCUUAAUCAAGCAGCAAAGAAAAUCAAAUGCCUAACCUCUCAAAAUUUUCAAAAAUUGUAAAUUGGCCCCUUAAAUUAAAUUUACAAAAUUAACUCAAAAAUUUAAAAUUUGUAAAAAUAGCCAAACAAUAUUAACAAUGAAAUUUUUUAUUACUUUAUACAAACAAAGAUAUUGAAAAAAAUUGAACAAACAAAUAUGGGAUGUAUUAACAUCCCCGUGAGCUUAGCUCAGUUGAUAGGGAUAUUGCAUAUGCAGGAGUCGGGUUUCGAACCUCGGACACUCCACUUCUCCACAAUUAAAUUGUGUGAGCUCUAACCACUAGGCUACUUGACAAAAAAAAAAGACAGAAAGUCUCCUUAGCGCAAAGUGUACCAAGAAUACCUCUUGUAAUUACAAACUGUCAACAAAUGUUACACAAAAAGGUUAGUCAAUACCUAAAUACGUCAAGGGUUCGACCACCACCUAUUGAAGCCAUAAACAAAAUUGGCAUUGUUUGCUUUAAGCCACCAUAAAGAAUAAUACUUUACUUUAUCUAAUAGCUGAGAUAUAGAAUUUUCUAUAUUUUUGAAUAAUCGACUAUUACGUUCAUUUUAUAUAAUCCAAACACAGAAGCCAAACAAAUUGUAAAAUAGAGCGCUGAGCUCACAAACCACCUAAAGAAUGAGUAAAUUAAAUGAAAUAAUCUAAAAUACUAUGAGGAGCCGAUCCUAACAAACCAAUUCAGGACCGCACCAAAUGUCAAAGGGAAACUAUACAUACCGCUAGACAAAAUAAGUGUUGAACCGUUUCCACACUUAUUGAAAAAUAAAAAGCCAAUUCAAUUGAAAUUUAAAUUAUCUAGAAUUUUAGAUUAUCUGAAAUGGAGUAAUCUAGUUGAGCCAAAUUGGCAACAAGGUUGAGAUCAUCGAGGUACUAGAGAUAGCCCCACCAUGGACACUAGCUCCUCACCAAAUUUGGAUUAUGAAAAUAACAGCUAUGGUGAUCCUUCUUUGUGUGGUCCUUUAAGCCUAGGCUAUACUUAUUCAUCAUAAAUAUUUGGAAUUCACUUAGGUGAGGCUAGCUAUUGCCAAACUGUUCGUGUAGAUCCAGAUUUUGAUUGAUAUCAUCAAGUGGCAUUUCAAAGACAAGUCAAUGUAAUUUUGACAAAGGAAUCUAUAUGUAGUUUCAAAUGCACCGUUUUUGCUAUUCAUCUCAUAAAAAGGUAGUUUUUACAUUUUUUGAUAAAGUUUUUACUUUUAAAAAGACAACUUUUUAUACUUUUUAAAAUAAAUAAAACUUAUUUUUUACGAGAGAAACAACAAAAACUGCACGCAUAAAUUUGCAUAUAAGUUGCCCGUAAGCUUAGCUUAAUUGACAGGGACAUUACAUAAUUUAUGCACGGGAAGGGAUACCCCACUUCUCCACAUUUAAAAUGUAUGAGCUCUAACCACUAGGCUAAUUGACAAAAAAAAAUGCAUAUAAGUUUAAUCAUAUGACAAAUUCAUGCAAUUAUGACAGAACUUAUUUUUAAUACCAAAUACUCCAAUUUUAACACAAUUCAUACGGGCAAUUUUUAAAAUUGAAAUUUUCAUAAUUGUUAAUGACAAAAUUUGGCUAACAUAAUUUUUUUUUGAUAAAUGUCAAUUGAGGAGGUAUGAGUAUGAGCUAAAUUUUCGUCUUCUAUCCCUUCCAUGGACCUAUGUAUGUUUGCUUGCCUAUUCACCAUUCUUUCCCCCUAGUUACUCGUUGUCUAUCUCACAUUAUCAUUUCUCAUCCCUAACUCUCAACUAAUUGAUAAAUAAUACUUGUACAACCAUUAUCAUAUUUGAACAAUAUUCUCUCAUACUCUUAUUUUAGCUUAACCAAGGUUCUGAGUUUAAAUUCACUCUUAGGCAUGCAACAAUGUUAAAACUUUCAUAGAGAGUUUGCCACUUAUUUGGAUUCCACCAUAAUACUCGAGUGAUUGGUCUCUCCAAUUGCGCGCAAAAGAUACCCGAAUUACACCAGAAAAUAUUCUCAUUGUACUCUCUCUAUUGUUUUUUACCAAUAAAAAAGAGAAAAUUAUUAUCCCAAAAAUUGUUGUAAAAUAGUUGUAAAAAUAUCAUGAUUACAAUUAAUUAUCGUACCUCUCAUUCGUUUCUCAAUUCUUUAUUGUAUAAAAAAUAUUUAAAUCUAUAAAAUAUUUUCAUGAACAUAGUUCAAUCGAUAAAAAUAUUGCAAUAUUUAAAAAUCAAUGUUUAAAUCCUAAAUUCCACAUUAACUCACCUUAAAUGGUGGAUUUCUGACCAUUAAAAAACUUGAAAAAAAUUAAUAUAGUAUACGAAUUGAGUUUACUCGAUCCCUUUAGACAUUCUCUUCUCCAUUGAGUUUUAGUUAAGUUAAAAGUCGACGCAAUCGUGCAAAUUCUAGCUUGUUCAAUCAACAUCAAACGAUCUAAAUUUCAACUUUAAUUUUUUUAAGGAAACUUUAAAAUUAAACAAAAUAAUUUAAAAAUAUUGUAAGAUUUAAACGCUAUCAUCUUGAUCGUAUGGUUCAGAAAUGUUGAAUGCUUCUAAGUGCAUCCACCACCAACCACAUUUAAUCAAAUUCCAAAAAAUAUCUCAUCUUUUUGAACCCUCUGCCUACAUAUUCUCUGCCUUCAAUUAUCCUCUAUCUCUCGCCGCGUAUCUCUACUAAUUAUUAUUAAAACAAAGCAAAACAUGAAUGUGAGAUUUCCUUAACUUUUCAGAGAAUCCCAUUCUUAUUUCAACCACUUUCUCUAUCUGUUUUAAAAUGAGCGUCGCUUUAGUCAAUUGUAUACAGAUUAAGAAAUUAAAUAAAGUAAUCAAAUAUCAUAGCAAUUUCACUACAAUAAUCUUAUUUUAUAAGAAUAAGACAAAUUUAAAGUAGAAAUGUAGAGUGACAUUCAUUUUAAAACAACUUUUUUAUAGAUAAAUUGACACUCAUCUUAAAUCGGAGUAUUAUAUUUUCUUCUUAUUGCUGCUUUUCUCAAACGUUUGAACUUUGAAGUUUAAUUCACGUUUGAAACACACCAUUCAAGAGUUCACACCCCAGAUUUGACUUAUUCCAUAAAAAAAUGAAUUAGUUCAAAAUUACCAAAAACCCUCAAACAAAAAACCUUAAAAUACGCCAAUAAUUCAUUUCGAUUUGCACAGCCCAACAAAUACAAUGAAUCAUGGAACACGCAAAGAAUCAUAAAAAAAUAAAAAACCAAUCAAUAAUAAAUAUAAGUAAAUAAAUAAACAAAAUAUUUAAUAGUAUUAAUUAAUAAUACGGGUUAAUUGUUUAAAUUGGCCCUAUAAAAUAUGCGAUGUUCAAAAAAUGAUCCUAUAAAAUAAAAAGUACAUAUUUUAACUAUAUAAUUUGAGAUUCUUCUUAUUUUUUACCAUAUAAUUAUAAUAUACUUAUGGUCCAAAAUAAAAGUGAUCAAGAGAUUGAGUUUUUUCAUUAUUUUUUCACCAUAAUCUUUAGGAUGUUAAAAUACGGUUUUACACAAAAAAUUAGACAUAUCCCGCCAGGGCAGGAUUUAUUAUCAAUUUUUAUUCCCUAUAGUUAUAAAUUUCUUAAGCAAUUCAUAAUUAAUUAGUAUUUAUUUAUUAUCAAAACUUUGUAGUGAAGGUACCUAUGCUGUUUUAGCCAUGCUUAAAAAAUUAGAUAACAAAUUUUGACGCGUGAGUAUACGCUUACUUGGAGCAAAAUUGCAAUUUCGCACAUUUUGAUUGAAAAAUAAAAGUAAAUGAAAACGUCUUUAAAAUACUAUAGAACUUCGUAGAUUAUUUUUAUGUAUUUAUAUGAAUGUCUAUGCAAACAAUCAGCUCAAAAUUCAUUUGCUAGAUUGAGGUUUUCGUUGUUUUAUUUUGAGUUUUUAUCGCUUUAAAAAUUCAUAAUUAAUUUGUCCUUAGUUGAAAAAUGUUAAUUUAUUGUGUAAAGUUAAAUUUUAACGUUCUAACCAUGCCUAUAAAAAGUCAUCUUUCAAAUACUAAGAACCAUAAAACCGAUUAUAACAAUAAAAAAUAUAAAAGUAUUUCAAGCGUGAAGUUAACUCAUGUUAAGGUUAUUUUAGAAGUUUGGUAUGGGAAUGAGAAAAAAAAAAAUUGUUCCAUUCUUUCCCCUACUUACUCAUUCUCUAUCUCACAUUCUCAUUUUUCUUCCCUACCUCCUAACCAAUUGAAAAAUGAUAAUUGAAUACCCUUUGAACAAUUUUUUCUCAUACUCUAAUUAUAUAUUGAGUCUAUCGACAAAUUUCAGAUAGUCUAGUCAACAUCAAACAAUCUAAAUUUUAACUUAAAAAAUUGAAAGAAAAAAAAACUAAAAAAAUAUUUCAAGAUUUGAACGCUAUGCUUUUUUUUUGUUAAAUAGCUUAGAGGCUCAAAUUCACCUUUUUCAAAGUAAAUAAGUUGAGUUAAGCUCACAUUUAAUAUGGUUCAGAAAUGUUGAAUGGUUCUAAGUGCACCUACCACCAACCACAUUUAAUCAAAUUCCAGAAUAGAUCCUAUCUUUUUCAACCCUCUCGCCGCAUAUCUCUACCAUUAAUUUAUUUACACAUAGCAAAAUAUGUAUGUUAAAUUUCCUUAACUUUGCAAAGAAUCCCAAAAUCAUUUCAACCUCUUUCCUUAACUCUGCUUAUUGCUUUUCUGCUUAUUGCUUUUCUCAAACGUGACUUAAAAGCUUAAUUCACGUUUGAAACGCCAUUCAAGAGUUUUCCCCAAAAUUACCAAAAACCCUCAAACAAAAAACCUCAAAACACGUCAAUGAUUCAUUUCAAUUUUCACAGCCCAGAAAAUACAUUGAAUCAUAAGAACAAGCAAAGAAUCAUGAAAAAUCAAAAAUAAAUAAACAAAUAAACAAAUAAAUAAACAAAAUAUUCAAUAGUAAUAAUAAUUAAUAUUAAGAACCCUUAAGGCUAAAACCGAUUAUAACAAUCAAAACUCCUCAAGAUACAUAAAAUUAAAUCAAAAUUUUUCUUCUCUAGAAUCAAACGGAAUAAAGAAUAACAUCCAAACUACUUCCACCAAAACCACCAGAAGAUUUGCCACCGCCGCCGCAACCGUUGACAGCAGCUCCUCCUUCAGAAUGAGGCGGAGGAUGAUAAAACUUCCUUCCCGUUUGAGGACAGUUGGAAUAAGAUCUUGCAACAAUCCUCAUUCCUUGAUCAACAAUCUCAACCCACUUUCCCAUCUCUGAAAAAAAAAAUUGAAAGAAAAAGAAAAAAAAACCUAUUUUCUCUUCUUUCAAUUGAAAUGAAUCUAUGAAAGAAAAGAAAAUAGAAGAGAAAUGAAAAAAAGGGUUUGUGUUAUAAGAAGAUGAAAGACAUUUGUAAGAGAGAGAAUGCGUUGUGAAAACAGAAGGCGUUGUUUGUGUGUAUUUAUAGUGCGGUAGUGUCAUUUUUGGACUUUUUUUCACGCGACCUUUUCUUCGAAUUUUCAUUUUUUUUUUUGUUUUGUUUCGAUGCUAGUUGUUAGAAAGCGCGUUUGGUUUAACUUUUUUUUUUUUUUUUUUUUUUUUUUUUGUGAAAAGUAGUUGCCAUUUGACUGUUUUGAAGAAAAUUCAGUGUAUGUGAUGUUCUGGAUUCUUCGGUAAUAAAUAUAUAUAUAAAAAAAAUAUGGUGAAAAUUUAUAUUAGUUGUACAAAAAAGAUUGUUAAAUAGCAAAAAAAUUAAAAAUUAGAUGUACUAAUAUUUAUUAAAAAAAGGAGUAAUAUUUAAUGAUUUCUUUUAUAAAAAAAAGGCAUAAUACUUGACGAGAAAAAUUAUAUUGGACUAAAGUUGUAUUUGAUUUGUAAAAUAGUAAAUACUAGAACUUUUACAUGUGCUACCGCCUGAGUCAUAAACAAUAAAAAAGUUAAUAAUAUUGCAAUAUGAUCUAUUAGAUAGAUAAGAAAACAUAUAACAAAAUUCAAUAGUUAAAAAAUGGAAGAACUUAGCUAUAAAAUAAAAUAAUUGAAACAUUUUGAUCCCUUAACUCAAUUAGUAGUCCUCUUAGAGUCCACUUCUUCCCCAUACUACAAGGGAAAGGGAAAAUGUAAAAACUACCAUUAAACCAGCCCAAGCAAGACUUACUAUAUCCAUGUAAAUUUUAAGCUAAUAUUUUGUAACGAUUAAUCUUUUUUCAUUCUAUUUUUUGGAUCUAUUUAUAAGAGAUAUACGAUUACUUUUUGUUCAAUUUAUGAGUCUUGUCAUUAAUACAUUUAAUUUAAUACAAAAUAAAUCUUUUUCCAAAUUUCACAAAGGGCCAAGUCAAAUUUUUACAAUAAAUUUAUUUUCUUAUGCCAAUUAUUAUCCUUCAGUUCUUCAAUAUGUAAUGACAAUGGAACCUCUCUACCGUAAAAGAGGGUACACAUAAGAGAGUUUGCAAUAGUGUCAUUUGAGAUUGCAAAGUCAAUUAGUCAGGCAAACAUAAGAGAGGGUGGGUAUUGAAAACAAAAACCCUUAAGAUGAGUUUCUUCCAUAUGUUGUUUUAGAUAUUCUAAUUUGCCAAAGGCCCCUGCAGCUUGAGGAAUCACCAUGAAGCGUCAACAAAGGAACACGUCAGAACAAAGGAAGGGGGGGUGCAGGGAUUAGUAAUUCACAAAGAAAGAAUAGCCUAGCCAUUUCUCAUGGAGUAUAAGAAGCUUUUAGUAUGUAUAUGAAGCUUUUUCACAUAUAUAACACACAUAUUGUCAUUCAUGUAGUGUAGUUUACUCUUACGUUGAAUACAUACUGUGCUUUCUGACUGCAAUUUUUGUUGCAUUGAAACUUGGGGGAAUAUAAGUUCUUUCUGUAAUGGGGGAUGUUGAGAAUGUGUUACAGUCGUCAAAGAAAAGGGUUGUUGGAAGGAAGCUCACCUGCGACACUCUUAUUGACAAUGAGGAAGAUGACGCUGACCUAGAAGCCGGGACUUUCAAGAAAGCAGUGAGGAGGUUCUUGCAACCAGAGAAUAAUCAAAGUAGCACGUCUCCAACAUAAUAAAUCUGCGCCAAACCCUUUCGCUGGUAUACUCUUGCCUGCUCCUACUGAAUCCACUGCCAAGUCUAGUGAAGCUACUACUUAAUUAAACGCAGCCAGAGAAAGCUAAGAAUGAAGAAACUAAGCAGCCAGAGAGCAAAGCUCCUGGGGUCGAGGACAAAUCUACUUCAAACAACGACGUUGCAGACAGAAAAAAUGCAGGUAAGGAGCUUGCACAGACACAAACACCAAAACAGGACACAUACAUAUUACCACCAGUCAACUAUCACUCCUUACUGGCUCCCGUUUCAUUAUGUUGUCGUUGCCGCAUAAAAGUUUCCAACCCUAAGCUUCAAAAGAUGCUUCUUUUGUUUACAAAUUUGAGAUAUGUCAUUCUGAAGCUGAGACUGUGGAACAUUUAUUUGAUGAACUGUAAUUUGUCCAAACUAGCUAUGUUUGCAUCGCCUUUGGGUUCCCAUGCUCCCUUUAAUAUGGACCUGCAUAGCUAGUUGUUAGAUUGGCUAUCUUGUGCUGUUAAGGAUGACUCGCAGCUGUUCUGCACUAUCCUCUGGAUGCUUUGGUAUGCUAGAAAUCAAGCUGUUUUUAGUGGGGCCACUACAGACCCCGUUAAUUUAGCUCACAGAGCUGUUCAGUUUAUUCAGACGUUCAAUCCUGCUAAUGUCAAGCAAAGGCCUCAACCACCCCGCUAAAGGAGGGACAAUGCUGGCACGUUCCAGGAUGUAUCCCAUCAUAUGUUUGUGGAUGCUGGAUGUUUUUCAAGCGGACAAACAGGAUGGGGGCUGAUUCUGAAAAACAAGACACAGACAGGAAUAGUUACUCAUAGCAAGUGCAAAUUGGAAUCGGUGGAGGUAGACCCUUGCUUGGCCGAAGCACUAGGAGUGAGAUGGGCGCUUCAAGAGGCAAUGAGGUUAGGCAUCCAAAGAUUGAUGCUCUCAUUGUGGUGAAUUGUGUCAACAGAGCUGGUGUAGUAGCAUUAGCAUCCAUUGAACCUGUAAUUGUUGAUUGUUGGAAUUUAAUAGAGCUAGUCCCAUUUGUAAUGGUUACUCAUGUUAGUAGGAACUAGAUGCUGUAGUUUUAACAUGAGAGAACUCAUUCCCAUGUUGACUGACAUUUGGACCAUGUGACCGUGUGAUUCAAGGCUUGAAUUUGUGUUGUGGAAUCAGUAACAAGCAAAUGCAAUACAAAAACUACCGACUAUUGAGUACAGACCAACAAAAUGGGUUUGCUAUCUGUUUCGUUAAAACCUAAAUUAAGUGCUUAUAGAAUAAGUUAUUUCUAUAACAAAAGAUAAAAUAAUGUUAAAUUUUUUUCAUAUAAGAUACAAGUUGUUUUCAUAAGCCAUCUUAGAGAGCUUACUGAAAUAACUCGAAAAUAGCUUAUAUACAUGUCAUAAGUUGUUCCCAUCAGCUCUUUCCAAUAGUCCGACUAAAUGCAUAUGCCAGUAGAUAAUGACCUCAUCCAAACAAGCCCUUGAUCUUUAUAUGGAAACAUAAAAACAACAGUAUAGCACCUUUCUGAUCUUUUAUAAGGUGUUGAGAAACUAGGCAUACAUUUAGAAAGCAGACGAGUGCAAAGAAACGAAAGUCGAAAACGACCUCAUCACACAAUCAAAAAGCUUUUAAUCAGAAAACGGAGUAGAUAACUUUUUGUUUUAAAUAAUGAAGAUGAAAAAAUCUAGUUCAUAUCAUAAAAACUCUAGCUAACUGUUGUAUAUUUCAGUAAACUCACUCUGCGUAUAGAUUUUCACAUAGCAACCAAUCCUUCAGUUUCUCCAAAGGUCUACAGAACAAGGAGGAGUAAUGAAGUAUAACAGUUUUCAAUUUGUUAGAUACUACCUCAAAAAGAAAAAGUUACCUGAAACUCCAAGGGGUACAAUUUCUUGGAAAAAUUUAAGUAUUAUUAUAAACUAUUGUAUUGAACCUUUGUGUCUAAGCAUGUAAGUCAUUUGUUUGAUUGAAUGAACUUGUAGACAGAACAAGACAUAAAUAUGAAUUUGAAUAAGGGAAAAGAAAUUUUUGAUGAUUGGAGUCUUGAUCAAGAAAACUUCGAUAAUUUGUAAUGUAAAUCCAUAUAGUUUAUAAGUAAGACUCUUUCUUACAUAUAUUUUACAUAUAGUUUUGAAAAAUUUGUCAACAUGUGAGACGGAAGUCGAACAAAGAAUCUCUUAGUUGGAGAUAUCUUUGGAUCAAAUUAAAGAGGCUAUAGUGAACUACAUGCGCCAACAAGUUGUGGUGUCUGAAGUCAAUGCUUCUACCCCUAAUAUGGAAAAUCUAUUACAAACCAAUUGGCACAUGCAUAACAACAUUCUCUUUGAAAGAACGUGAUUUCAAAGGGAAUGUUGUUUUGCGACAAUUGGUUUGUAAUAGAUUAUCCACAGUACGGGCAGCGGUGCUGACA
rnacentral:lncRNA from 1 species